AUGCAUGCAUGCUCCGUUACUACGUGAGACGUGCACUUAUGUCUCACUGAAUAAAAGUGAUUAGUGCUGCAAUUAGUCGUCGUGACAGUUGUUACUGGGUUACUGUAGCAGUAGUAUUAGCUAGCUUGGUACUAAUUAUGUAGUCGUACGUGUGAUUAGUCGAUGGAUCUUUUAAGUAUCUUGGCCACAAAUGAGAAACUGUGACAGGAGAAGAUGAUGGAAGCAUCGAAGAUUUUGCAGGAGACCGAGCUGUUGAGUUCCAAGCACAAGGAGACAGGAAGGCACAAGAACGUUCCCAUCAAUGGCAUCCGACGGCAAGACAACAAGAGCUGAGAGAUCUCCUCGUAACCAUCGCCGCCGAGGCUUGGCCGCUUGCGAUCCCGGCCUCUCAAAUCUACCGACCAUAACGCCAUGCCGCCGCGGGGCCUCUACCUCUAGUAGCUUAGAUCCACCGCCACCGCCGCCGACACACCAUGUCGCUGUCGUGGCUGACGAGCAGCAACGCGUACAAGUCGCCGGCGUUCAUCGCGCUGGUGAGCGCGCUGUGCGUGGCCGUGGUGCUGCUGCUGCACCAAUGCGUCCUCGUCAACUGCUGCCACGGCGGCGCCGCCGCCGCCGACCGCGACCGGCGCCGACGCAGGCAGCAGCACCACCAGCGGCACGUCGUCGGCGUGGUCACCACGACCACGUCAACCGACGCGCGGCGGCGCCAGCAGGACGGCAACGACGACGACGUCAGCGUGGAGGUGAGCGCGACGUCGCGCACGCACCUCGUCGCCGCGGCGGUGGUGUGCCGGUACCGCAAGGAGGAGGCCUGGAAGGAGACGACGUGCCCGGUGUGCCUGGCCGACUUCGACGACGGCGAGGCCGUGCGGGUGCUCCCCGAGUGCAUGCACUACUUCCACGCCGAGUGCAUCGACACCUGGCUCCGCGGCAGCACCAGCUGCCCGAUGUGCCGCGCCGAGACCACGCCGUCGCCCACGCCGACACCUAGCUCGGCGUCCGUGCGCCACCACCUCGAGCUCUCCGUCUCGCUCGAGGAGAUCCUCGUCAGAUCGUAGCAGCUCCCGGACCAUUUCCUCGGAGCAACAAUGGCGUAGGCUGCGGCUGGAAGCGUAGCGAGAAACAGAGCAACGGGAGGAGGAGGAGGGAGGCGAAGCAGAGUGCUGCUUGCUCUGCUUCGUUUGCAUGCUUGGAAGCAGAGCAUGGCGGGGAUUUCUUCCAUUUUUGGAUAUAGCACAGAAAGAUUUUAAAAUUAGGUGGAAAUAUUUUUAUUUCUCUUGAUUGAUCUCAAAUUAAUUUUGGAUGUUCUUGAUUUAUAAUAGUAUGUUUUUGCUAAAUCAUGAAAACUUAGCAAGAUUAUACUUUGUUAGUACCGUAGAAAAAUCUAGAUAUUUAAAGGUGCCUUCAGUUUCCAUACACAUUUGUUUAUAUUAGGGACACCCUCAUGAAGUUGUGCUAAAUAAUACAAAGUGAAUUUGUUGAGAAUAAUUACGCGUUUAGAUUUAAAUUCCAAAAAAUUGAAUUUUGCUCUUAUUCUAUUUCAAAUGUUAGCAAUGUGUCAUAACUUAACGCUCUUAUGACACUAACAUACAACCAAUGACAUCCCCUACGCCAAGAAAAAUUUGGAGGAACAGACAGGGUGUUUGGUUUCAGGAACGCGUUAGUUCAUGGUCUUGUCAUUGCUCAUAUUUUUGUUUUAUUUGUGGACUAGAAUGUGUUGAUGCAUCAUCAACUCAUUCAAGCACAUUUGACAGAUGAAUUUAUGACGCACCAUAUCAUCGAGAGUAUUUUAAUUCCUAAAACCAAUAAAAUCCUAUUUAACUUUUAUAAGGCGAGAGUCCUGGAUUUCCAUUGAACUUGUAUUAACCUUCAUAGGACAUUAGACAAUAAAUGUUACUAAAGCAUAUUAUAAGGCUACUAAAUCCUCAAUUUAUAAAUGUUACACAAUCCCUACUUAGAGAUGCUAGCCUCUCCAUCUAUAGUCACUUUUCAAAACACUCCACCAUUUCCAAUGGGUAUUUACAAAUUUUCUAUAAUGAAUACAAACACCUAAUUUUCAUCCAAAAACCACAGUACAAUGUUCCAUCUCAAUAUGUGUGUCACUAAAGCAGAAUAACUCGGUCUUAUGAAUGCUUAUUUGUAGACUUGAUACUCGCUAAAAUGGACAAAUACUAAUUUUAUGUCAUGACCUUGCUUUAGAUCAUGGUAUAGUAGUAGAAACGUAUAAUUUGCAUACUGUAAAAUAGAUAAGUCACCAUCAAUGGUAUGUGACACUGUUAAAGAUGAGACGUGGAAAAGAACCUCAUAAACAUAUUGCAAAAGCUUGGUAACAUCACCAUAGUAGCAUUUAUCGAAAUGUUUUUUUAGAUUCAGAUAAAUGUGGGAUAUGUCGAAGUUCCUCUAGACUCAUCAAGAGUAAAGGAAGUCAUCUCACGUUCCUCUAGUCACUGCGAGUGAUCUCAGCGGCACUAUCUGAAUUGUUAAAUUGUAUAGUGAUAUCGACAUCCUUUUCUUUGUCAACUCUGUUGUAUAUGAGGAGCCCAACAAUAAAAAAGUCUUCAUAUAAUGUUUAGUUUAUUGUUCCAACAUUUGACCAAAUUCCAACAAUUUACCUGCUUAUUUCCUGUUUCCAUAUCACGAUCAUUGAAAUCAUCACAAACCAACCAAGUUCGUUCAGGCUUGACCCUUCUACCAACAUUUCUACACGUACAUAUCUAUCUUAAUCUUCUCUAGUACAAUAAUGAAAAGUCAUACGUACGGAAUAGCAUGGAUGGUAAUCCUGGCUAAAAAAUGGAACAAGGUAGGAGUACAGCAAUUGCAAGAGCAACACGUACGGGACACAACCUAAUAAGCAAAUAUAAUAUUCAGCAGUAAAUUAUAUAUUCUUACAACUAAGAUUGUACCGGUACAAUCGAUGGGAGAGAUCCAGGCUGUUCCCCCUUAAGCAAAGAAGACGUGUUAAACAAUUAUUACCACUAAUAAGGACAUGUUAAAAGGACAUUGUCUCAUUGAAAUCAGCAGUUAAUCAUCACCGCUAAGGACAUGUUAAAUUCAUUGUUUGUCAAAGCAAAUAGAGGGAAACCCAGUUGUGGAAAAGACAAAUAAAAGGAAUUAUUAAACUUCAAAUGGAAAAUUCUCUGAUCUACGACGACAAAACCAGGACUCCACAUCAUAUACAUCCGUACGCAUACACAUUGUAAUGGUACUGUUUUCAUUUCGUUUCAAAAAAAAAAAAACAAGGCAGAAUAAAAUAGAUGGUAACCCUAAUAAUGAACCAGGGUACUCCCUCCAUUCAAAAACAUAAAUCUCAUUUUUUUUCGAGGAGUCAGUAAAACUAUUAAUUAUAUUUAUAAAAAAUAUAUGUUGUCAAUAUUUAUACUUCCAAAUAUGUGUUUAUACUAUAUGAAAAUGUUUUUCUUUUUUAACUUUGUGAUACUUGUUAUGCAACAUAUAAUCGGUAGUAGUUCUUGUAUGUGUUUUUUAAUUAAGGAUUGUUUGACCUGCUCCAUGAGACUUCCAUUCUUUCUGUGCUGAGCUAGUAAUAAAAAGGCAAAAAUACGUGGUGCAAACCACAUACUAUCUUCUGGUUGUUACAAAAUUUGAAUCUAUCAAAACAGAUGAAAACUAUCUUUCUAAAAAUUCAUACGAAAAUGACAAAUUUGAGGUCGAUAUGCACUAAAAGUCAACAACAUGCAUCUAAAACAUAAAAAACUUGUCGUUGUUUGCAUAAGUUUUUCUAAUUUGAGUUUGAAUCCCAACAUUUGCACAUAAGCACGUAUUUGUAUGCACUAUGGAUAUAUAUCAAAUUUCAAAAUUAUUUGAACUACAAUAAGACACAUUUCUACAAAUAUAUGGUUUCCGUGCUUGCACGGUGGUUUCCAGCAUAUAUUUGUCCAGAGUAAAAAUGUGUGCAGUUAAUUAGUGAUCACCAAGAUUGCUCCGCCUGGCACCAUCGUGGGAGUCUAAAAAUCGGAGAGAUCCAGGCACUCUUUUUUUUUUUUUCUUUUUUUAUGAAAGAUCCAGGUACUCUCGCUUGAGCACCAAGCCUCGACGGUGUCGUCGUUUAGCUGUUAAUUAGCUAGCUCCCAUUUCCCUAUAUAAACAAAGAAACAUGAUGAUCGAUAUUGGCUGCCCCUGAUUCCAUAACUCGUCAGCAGGUGCAGGAUUUCAGUUUCGUCGUCACUUCCGAGUCCGGCAUAUCCAUGGCGACGACCAACACUGGCGCGUACCAGUACGGCAACCCCUACUCCAACAGGCCGUCGCACCACAUCCCGCCGUACUUGAAGGUGGUCGGCGCCGUCGUCUUCAGCCUGGCCGCCAUCGCCCUGCUGGCCAAGCUGCUCCAUUUCUGCUGGCUGCGCUCGAUGAAGGACGACGCGCAGCAGGAGGCCGACGCCGGCGGCGAUCGUCGUGGACGACGGCGGCCAACGGGAGUCGACGGCGACGGUGGCGGCGUAGUAGCGCCACGCCGGCAGCAGCCGCCGGCGCCGGCGGCAGUAGUGGCCGUGGAGAUGGUGCGCGCGAUGGGUCCGCUGGUGUGCACGUACCUGAGGGCGGAUGGGUGGCCGGCGGAGGCGACGUGCGCGGUGUGCCUGGCCGGGCUGGCCGACGGUGACGCCCUCAGGGUGCUGCCGGUGUGCAUGCACUACUUCCACGCCGCCUGCGUCGGCGAGUGGCUGCGCGCGCACGAUACCUGCCCGCUCUGCCGUGCACCGCUUGCUCCUCCCGCCGCCGCCGACGAUGCCGCCGCCUAGUGAGCAAUCGAUGAGCAACCGCGCCGCCUAGAUUGACUGACUGCGCUUUCAUGGGAUACGUGGUUUCCAUCCAAGGUGGGUCGGUAUGAAGACACGGUGUAGGGGUUUGUACCUAAUUUUUUCUGUGAUAAGAGGAGUGGCAUGUGUAUCCAAAGGAAUGAUGUCCUCAUCAUCUUCCUCCUCUUGCUUCGUCACUUCGCCGACUACGUAUGCAAACGGUACAAAUAUUAUCCGAUCAUCCGUCUGUCUGAAGGGACUGAAAUGCUGAUACAGAUAUUUUAUUGGACGUCUGGAUAACGUUUUUGGAUGACUUCUCUGCUAUUAUUGUCGGAUGUCAGUAUAACUUCUCGGAUAUCUAAUACGAAAUUGAAUGCUUUACACAUAUGAUGAUUACAAAUACAAUCUCAUCAAUAGGAUUUUGUAUAUUUUAUUCAAAUGUAUCCAAAUAAUAUCCAAAAAGGAUAUAUAUCUAAAUCUAGAUUUUUAGAUUUAUAUAUCAAAUUUAUAUAUUUACAUUGAAUUGAAAUUUUAAUAUAUAAAUAAAUGUGUUAAUAUACUAAUAUUAUCACGACUAGCAGGAUUUGUUGGCCGAAGCUCAUGAAGCAUAUAACAGCCGAGUGUGCUUGCCUGCUUGGUCAGUUCUAUUUUUUUUAUUUCCUAGCACAUUUUCUUUUUUGUUAUUUGUUAUUUUUGUAUGUACUCGAAAGAUAUUGGCUUAGGUAUGCAUAAGUUAUGUUGAAAACAUUACAAUGCGACUUAUAUAUGUGAACUAUUUAUAAUUUGCUUCUACACAUUUAGGGCUUGUUUGGCACAGCUUUCACUAGUAAAGCUGUUUUUUUUAGAAAAUAGCUUCAUGAGUGACUUUCUAGAUGAAGCUGAGCUGUUUUGGAAAAAGUGUUUGGCAAAAUAGCUUCACCAACUACUUCAUAUAUAGUUGAGAGAGAGAAAUGAGGGAGAAGCUGCAAUAAGCUAUUUUUUUCUAGCUUCAUCCAACUUAUGUAUUUGUGAGAGGAGGGGAAAAACAGCUUUAUCCAUGAAGCUGUUUUGGAAAUAAGUGUUUGGCAAAAAAAACAGCUCACAACAACUCAUGAAGCUGUUGUGAGCUGUACCAAACAGGCCCAUAAUCUACUAUCAUAUUCGUAUCCCGGACAAUCGGUAUUUGUUGUUGUAUCCGUUAUAUCCGUGUUUGACUCCAAAUCCAAGAAAAAAAAUAUAAAAAUAAAAAUGAUAUCAACAAUAUCAGUUUGUACAUCAACCCGUUUGCAUCCUAAUUGCCGACUCUAGGAGGCACACAGAGCAAAGCUCACCGAUAGCAGGAACCAGGUGGGGAACGAGGGUGACAGAUGAACGUAAAAAAUAAUAUUCUUUAUAUUAUAGAUAUAGAUAUAAAUAUAGAUAUACAUAUACAUAUAAAUAUAGAUAUAAAUACUGAUACUGAGAUAUUGAUACUGAUAUAGAUAUAAUUACAGAUACCGAUAUAGAUAUAGAUACCGAUACAAUAAAAAUAGAUACAGAUACCGAUACAAUUAAUAUAGAUAUAGAUAUAGAUAUAGAUAUAGAUAUAGAUACAGAUACAGAUACAGAUACAGAUACAGAUACAGAUACAGAUACAGAUAUAGAUACAGAUAUAGAUAUAGAUAUAGAUAUAGAUAUAGAUAUAGAUAUAGGUAAUCUUUAAAAAAUCAUCUACCAUGAUACUUUACAAGGGUACACACAUUAUUUAAUAAUGUGCGUAGUUUGUAAGUUUCAUUUCUAGUAGAAGUAGAGCAACUAAUAAUCAUAGUAAAAUAUUUUUAAUAGCAUGACCAUUUUAGAUUUUGUCUUAAUAUUUUAUUUAUUAUUGAUAGAUUUUAGAUAUUUUUGAAACCUUUGCAAAGUCACAGAAAAAUAUGACAAAAAAGAACACCAGUGGUGGGACCCACUAGUAAUAAUCAUAGAUAAAAAAAUUGACAAGGGUAUCAGUAACUAGAAAUCAAUUUGUUGACACUCAUGUUGCACAAAAAAUUUGGUUUCAACAGAUUUGGAUUCGGGUUCUUUAAAACUCGCAUAUAAAAAUGAAAUAUUUAACCGUAAUACACAAUAUAUCUGCAAGUCGGGAAGCACUGGAAUAAGUGAAUUUCGGCCAAGAUCUUGUAGCCUACUCUUGCUAUGGCUCUGUCCGCCUCGAAAGUUGUCUCUGCAGUGGCCAUACCACAUCCUCACGAAAACCUGCAGCCAUGCAAGGGUCUCACUAAUAACUGAUCUGUCACGCAUGGUGUGCAUCUUGCUGGACAUUUCAUUUUUGAUGAUGAAAUCCAAGCCGCAACUACCAGAUUAUAUGUCAUAUAGUACUGCUUUAAUUAUCGUUAUUAUUAUUUUUUUUCUAUAGUACAAAGUGUAAACUUCAGGACCGGUCCUCGAAUCCAAACUCGUUUCGAUGUAUAUAUAAGACCCCAAAAAAGUUCAAGGACUAAAAUGACAUAAUUUCUGAGUUCUAGGACCAAGAUAACACAACUCCAUAAAUUCGACGACUGGCCACAAACUUUACUCUAACUUUAUUAACCAGUAGUAGAAUAAAUCAGCAGUACCCAGGAUAGCUAGAGCUCAUUCUAUAUAUUCUAGCUAUUCACUUCUCAAAUUCCGAUCUAGCAGGUUUUUUCUUAGUCUCGAGCAGAUCGAGAGGUGAGUUGCCUCCAAAUCAUGUUAAUCUAUAUAUUCGAUAUGUGUGUAUUUAUAUGUAUAUGCGCUUAUUUGUGAUUCAUGGCAGUCACUGUACCUGUACGGCUACGCUAUCUAUUUUCAACUGUGUUCCGGUUCUUCUUUUUCUGUCAAGAAUUUCAGCUCUGUUUCCAGUUCUGAGAAGUUUGUGCUCCUUCUGUUGUUUCAAUUUCUGUGCUCCAGAUCUCCAGUGUCUACGUUUAUUAAACAGAUCUGCAUGAUUUUCUUAUUAUAGCAAUUUCAGAAAUAUAUAUAGGGAAGUGAUCCAUGGAUCCAUGGCAAGGAAGUUCGUCAAGGAGGGGCACCACCGGUGCUGGACGUGAUAACAAGCACAAGGAGGUUAUGCACGAGCAAUCGGCUGUAGGCGAAAUGGCAGAAGCUCCUUCUUACUGUCUGUUCCCAGAGGAGACAGGCCGCAACAGUGGCAGCCUCCACCUCCAGCUCCAUGAGUUGUUCUCUGCGGAUCGCCAGCUGCAGCCAAAGCCGCUGGAGGUAUCCUCCUUCAUUUUUAAUUAAUUCCUUUCCUUUGUAUGUAUAUAUACUGCUGUAAUGCUACUAGCUAUUAUAUUUAUCAUCAUCUUUGAUUUAAUUGUUUGCCAGAUCUAUUCCUAUGUGUAAGUGUGUCCCGCUGCUUUGAUUUCAUUUAUUUACUGCUAGCGCUAGUUCUUACUUAUUAAUUACUUUCCUUGUUGAUUGUAUAUAUUGUCAUUUAGUACUUCCCACUGCUUGAUUAUCUGCUAAUGUAUUAAUGGCAUCAUAGUAUAAGUUUUUAUGCUAGACAGCUUUGCUAAUGAUGAUAUGCCUUAUUGAGUAACGUUUUCUCUUUUGCUCAGAUUGAAAUUGGUUCUUUUCUUUUUCUCUUUACCUGACAGCUGGUCAGUUUGCACACCUACUUGCCUGCCAUCUCUUGUUCAAUUUUUUCGUCGUAUAUGUUGCUUCAAGAAAAUUAUAUGCACGACCGUGUAUGUUAAGCGCAGCAUGACGACAUAAAUUGAGUAGAUUGCAGGAGAAGAUGAAGAUUAGCCAUUAAGUUAUUAAGGGUUUAUCAGUUGCUCGACCCCUCCCCCAACGCCACCCCAAAAGACCAUGGCCGACUGGAACUCCAUGAAGGCAUGGUUAGGUGGGGCAGGGUCAAUGAGGUAGAGAGUAGAUGAUAGGGCAAUAGUGCGGUGUAUGGUAACAACUGGCCUGAAGGGGAGACACAACUAUAAUCACUAUUUCCAUAGGGCAAAAGUGAUUUCUUCCUGAGAUAGUUGAACAUACCACUUCUAGAUCGAAGAUGUAUGAUGAACAUACCACAUCUAGAACAUGCAUGGUUUUUGUAAACGAAGACUUUGUAGCUAGAGUCGGUUGUAGUCCUCCUUACCUAAAAAGGUAUACCGUCUCGACUUCUCUCCCCUCCCAACAACCUCCUUGUACGCUAGCUCACCCCCGGAGGUCUGGGUGAGGCUAGGAGGGUGGUGCCAGGGCCUUAUAUGGUGGAUCUGAAAGACUGUUUAUGGUCAUCUGCCUGGUGGUGGCACAUGGAGUUAGGUCUUGCGGCAGCGACCAGCUACAGCGCCAAUGGCGAUGAUGCCGGUGACGAUCAGCAACAAGCGGUGGGGUGGCUGGAUCAAACUCACACAGGUUAGAUCUGCCCGAGCUUCGAGCAGAUGGUGGAGGCCUCAUCGACAACACGAUAUGGUGGCCACCCAACAACGGUUGGUGAGGUAGUGCAUAACACUUUGACAUUGUGCACCUUCGUCUCUCUCUCUAAUGUGGUGAGUAUGUGUGAGGUGAAAGCAAUGCCCAGUUACAAUCGGAGUCGAUGACAACGACAUCCCUGGUGCCGGUUGCUUCCUUUGAAGUGUCAUCGAGAUGUGUUCCCCUACCUCUCCAGAAGAAACUUUGCCUAGGGCUCUACAUAGGCAAUGAUGGUGUGCUUUGCAUCGUAUCCUUAUUGAAGGUGUCGUCUUGGAGAGCUUGCAUUGCCUUGGGAGUCGAUAGUCUGCUCCUUAGGAGUUAGCAUCUUGCUCUUAUUUGUGUUGAGGACAAGUCUAACAUCAUGAAUCUCUAAGUAGAUGAAGUGGUGGAAGAUUGUUGUUGAGAAAGGAUGGAUCAAGUUUGAAGCAAGGGCACAUGAGAAGUAUGAUACUUGGUCGUCUUUCUAGAUUUCUUUCCUUACCGUAUGAUUUUCAACCUAUUGAUUUUAUUUUCCUCGAUGGCGAGGGUUAGAGUCUAAGUGCUCUUGUAAUUGUUCGGUCACAUGUAUCCCUUUGGAUAUAAAGACUGGAUUAUGAUCCUUUAUCUAAAAGAAUAUCACCCGCAUGUGGAACUCAAUUCCAAAAAAGGCGCAACAACGACAUCAUUACACAUCGACCGGUACCACCAGUCCAACAACAUUUUUAUGACGAUUGUUUCUUCCACUAGCUGAACAAGAUGCAGGAUGCCUUUGUGUCCUUCUUUGUGCUUCAUGAUGUGAGGUCAUGAUUAAAAACAUGUUGCACAACUCGAGCACCUCACGGAGCUUCUCCUCGUUCUAUAGGAAGAAAUGAAUAUGACAUGAUUAACAACACAUGCGAAACAAAUAGAUUUUCCAUUCGUGGUAAAUCAAGAUCGAUCGAUCUUACAUGGAAGAUGGAGCCUUCCUUGCUGAUGUGGAUGAGGAGGGAGCUAACAAAGGAAUCACCAAUGCUAGUGGCCUCAUUCUUCCAUACCAAAGCAAAGCAAAGCUUUAGUGUAGCCUUGAAAAAUAUAUAAGGGUAUGUUGGGUAUUUUUGGGACCGCUACUCAACUUAACUCGCAAAAAGAUUAACUUAUGCUUCCAUAGCAUAGCAAAGCAUGCUUUAAUGUAACUAUUUUGUUUCCUAAUGGAUGCUUUUUUUCUGCUCUAACACCAUACCAAGUUACUCAUAUGGUAGUACCUCCAUGCUGGUGGAGUUUUUCUCAACUCUAGAGAUAAGGAUGACAACUUAGUUGUUGAUCACUAGAUCACGUUAGGAGGAGCUCAAUUGAAUCCUCCACCCAAUGUCUACUUUAAAGAACCACAUCACAUUCUUUAUCAUUCUCACUCAUGUAAACUAAAUGGUGAGGACACCUUUUGUUGGUAAUAAUUGUAGUGCCAAGCUUUUAGAAAAUAGGGGGCCACGGUCCAACUUGUUUGGUGGUCGACAACUCCACUAGCACCACAUGAUGUUGACUAUGUUCAGGUGCCAAAGAGUUCAUUUUUGUCAUCUGUAGUAUUUUGUCAGUCCCAUGCGAAGAAGUUUAACCAUAACAUCUUAGACCAUCAUUUAAGGCACAAGUACUACAAUCCUAGUGACGAACUCAUUGUGGCCACCACCUUCGACUCAUAGACUUUAAUUACGAAAAAAAUACUAGCAUAUGAGUGCCUACUUGGCUAAUACUAGUGGACAAAGAAAUAAUUGAUGAGCUAAAUAGAUUGCCUAGAAAAGCAAGCUUUUUGCUCGAUACCAAACAUGCGAUAAAUUUGGAAAAUCAUAGCAAGUAAAGGAUUGCAUGGUGGCACUUGACCAAGUCCAAUGUUGACUAUUCUCCUUCCUACCAUGGUAAAGGAUUCUUCCCAAACUAGAAAUUUUGGGGGGGGGGGGGAAGGAGUCAGAGUAAAUGUGGCAACCUUGGUUGAAUGACCACAUCACUAGAGGUCAACGUUGUAGGGUGCUGAGGAUGAUUAUCCAAAAGAAGAGGAGGGGCAUCGAUUGAUGUAUGUGCUUUGGCUCAUUAUCCCAAUUUUUCUAAUGUCCCUUGAACCAUCAACACAAUGAUUCUACAAUAUAUGACCUGGUUAGUUUCAAAGGAAAAUUUUGUUUUGGGUUUACAUUGCUUCAUUAUAUGGUAGGCCCAACUAGAAUAAACUUUGGCCCAAGCCAAGCAUUAUGAAUAAGCUCGGCCUGCUACGAUGCACCGUCAUAACUAGGGCUUUUCUAUAUAAAGUUGCCCGUACCCAUUCCUCGAUCACAUCUCCCCAAUUCCGCCGCCACAACACACAUACUCCGCAAAUAUUCCUCGUUGCCCUACUAGCACCUCCCCCACCAGAUCUAUAGUUUGUACUAUCAUUACAGGGUCUUCUUUUAUUUUGCUUAACACCAUGGCGCCUUUAAGGCCACCGAAAGGUAAAUCACUAUAUGUUACACCAACUUCUCCAAGUUGGGCCUUGGAAGAUGAGGAUUUUAAAUUUCAUUCUAUAAGAGUGUUGACCUGUGAUUUUUUUUCUUGUUGGUAACAAAUAGUUUUUCUAAGAUCCUAUUGGUGAUCAAAGAUCUAAGAUUGAGGCCUGGUGUAGCUCAAAAUAUACCAUUCUGGUCUUAGAUCUGAGUUUGAAGUACCCAUAUAGUUUUCCUUGCCAUGGGGAUUCUAUAUCUAACCAAGUAGUAGGCGAGGCAAUCCAAUCACAUAAGCAAGACUGGUUUAUGAUUCGGGAUUAGUAUAAAAUUUAAUGUUUUCCUACCAUGGGUAUCUUGGAUCUAGCAAAUUGGAGGAUGUGGUACCUAUCAUACUAGCCACAUCGAUCUAUUUUCUUUUGCGGGAACUGGCCACAUCGAUCUAAGAUCUAUAGAUCCUAUGGACCACAAGUCUCUUUGAUCUUAGUAUUUAAGAUCUAAUCUAUGCUGAUAGGGUGGGGGUUGAACGGUGGGGAGAGCGGGGUUAUCUAUUUGCACAAUCCAAUGUGGAUUCAUCACAAGUCAUUUUUCUAAGGUUGCUUAAUAGGUUACCUUGGUGGUUUAUAUGGAGUGUUUACAUGCAGGUAUUUAAUCUAAAAACACUUUGUGCUUACGAAUAAUGAUAUUGUCCCUUGAAAAUAUAGUUUUUCGGACAAUAAGUUACCUUAUACCUAUUAUUUUUCUUUUAGAGAUUUAAUUCUAUUAUGGUAAUAAGAGGCUGGGAUUUAUUCUUUUUUAUUCUGGGAACUGUUCAUGUACUAUAGGAGAUUCUUAUAUUUCUUUGAUUCUGUACUGGAUAUGAGUCAUUGUGCUGGAACUUGUUCUGGGCAUCAAGAUUCAAUUUCUCACUACAUCUGUGCAUCUGAACCAAUGUUGUCAAUUUCCUCGUCAGGUUGAUUCAAAGGCGAUUACAACACUGCAACCGUGCCUCCAUAUUCAGGCCAGGAGACAACUACCAACAUUCUUUCCUGGAGGCAUCCAUUCCUCUUCUUCACAAGGAAUGUGUGCGCAGGAUAACAAUGUGAAGCGAACUAUUGAAAAUCCUGUGGCUAUUGCUGCUCCUGCUUCUGUCUAUGGUGGCAAGAAUUUUGGUGCUCUAGGGAAUGCUGAGGAAAACCAUGAAGAAGCAACACCGUUGAGCGAAGAUGCCAUGAAAAUAUAUGAACAUUUGAUUGGGGUCCAUGUGGCAUAUUUUCGUGCUUGCAAUGUCCCUUACAUGACAACUUGUAGGAGCCUCCCCCAGCAGGUUGUCCAGGAGCAGAACACCCAGCGUGCUCAUGAUUCUCAGGUGUCAAAUUAUGGGGACAAUCUAGUGGAGGCAGAUACUAGUACUACGGCUGUUGAACAAUACGAUCCCUUCUAUUCACCAGGAGCAAACGGUGGCUCCGGUGACGAAGCCUUCCUUGAGGCUCAUGCACAUCAAGGGCCAAGUAGCAGCUUCCUGGUGCGCAUAAAUAUUUAAUUAGUUUCAGCCUGCCAAUAUUGCUCUAUAUAUGAUUUACCUUCAAUUCCUAUCUUUAAUCAACUUUUGCAUGCAGUGCUGAUGCCAAUGGGAGCCGCUUUGUACAGCAGGCGAUCCAGGUGGCAACUCCUCAAGAGAUCGUUAUGGUUUAUGAGGAAAUCAUGCCUUGUGUCCGCACGCUUGCUGCUGAUGUGUUUGGAAAUCAUGCAGUCCAGAAGGUUUAGGUUUCUCCAACUUGAUCCAAUAUAUUAUAUAUGUAUGCUGGCAUUGUUUCUUUUUAGAAGAAUUUCCGUAGCACAUGCGCAAGGACAUAAGUUGAGCAUGAACUCCUAUAGAAAUUAAAUAACUAACUCAUUAUCUUUGUUUCACCUUCAGAUUCUAGAGCAUGGACCACAGUCCUGCAAACGUGAGCUCAUCAGUCGUCUGAUGGGCCAUGUGCUUCCGCUAAGCCAUGAUAUGUACGGUUGCCGUGUCAUCCAGAAGGUGAGCUAGCGAAUAUUAUAUAAUUUCAGAAAUGAUUUUUACUAUACAGCCAUGUACAUGUACAUAUACAGUAUUUAUCUGUAACUGGCAAGGCUGCAAUCAUGUUUUUUAUGACCUGUGCUUGUUGUCUUCGUUUCAGGCUUUGGAUGUAGGGGAGCACAAUCAGAAGAUUGUGAUAGUGAAAGAGCUCAAACACAAAGUGCUCAAAUGUGUUCGCGACCAGUUCGCGAGCCAUGUUAUUCAGAAAUGUGUAGAGUGCCUGCCACCGAAGCAUAUCCAGUUCAUCUUCCGAAGCUUCUGUGGAUGGGCAAAGGCACUAUCCAUGCAUCCCUAUGGAAGCCGUGUGAUUCAGGUAUAGUUGCUCAUAGAUUAUUUGUGUUUUCAUUCAAUGAUGUGUGUGCCAUCAUGCCUCUAAUUCAACUCAACUUAUCAUCAUCUGAGCUGAUUCAGUUCCUUUUCCCAACUGCUUGCUGUUCCCAGAAAGUGUUGGCCCAUUGUGACAACGCCGAGGUGUGCCACACGCUGACAGCAGAGAUUAUUGAGUUUGCUAACAAGCUGUCAGCAGACCCGUUUGGAAACUAUGUGGUGCAGCACUUGCUCGAGCAUGGAGGCCAGACGCAGCGAUCCAUGAUAGUGAGGAAAUUUGACAGGCGCGUGGUGAGCUUGUGUUAUCACAAGUUCGCGUCGAAUGUGUUGGAGAAGUGCCUAGUAUUCGGGAGCCAGGAGGACAGGCAGCUCAUCAUAAAUGAGAUCCUCGGCAAUGCCGGCAGCCAGCACGUCGAACAUCUCGUGGUUGGUUACCUGUGGCAGAUUUUUUUCCUACUAGUUAUUAUAUCGAAAAUACAUAGAACAUGAUUGAAAAUAUAUAUAUAUAUAUAUGUGUGUUUGUGUGCAGGACAUGAUGAUCAAUCCAUACGCGAACUUUGUCAUCCAGAAGAUGGUGGUGACGGCGGAGGAGCAGCAGGUGGGUCUGUUGUUGGACGUGGCCAGGAAAAAUGCAGACAGCCUGAAGCGAUACCCACAUGGCAGGCACUUCAUCGCCGCCAUCGAGAAGUUCCUCAGUGCAAAUGGUAUGUGCUAUAUACAUGCCUUGCUAAUGUCCCCUAUUGCCGAAUGCUGGUGACCAGGAUCCCGCCUCUUCGCUGGCAACGAGCAACAUUGACCUGUCUUGGCUUCUUCUAAUGUUGAUUUUGUUGUUGUACUUGCAGAGGGGAGCCCUGUGCAUCUGGUGAACAAUGAAUGAGGAGGAUGGAUAGCACCUACCUCUCCUGUCAGCCUUCUGCGCCCAUGGCCUCUUAGGCCUUGUUAUGCUUUCAAAAUUCUAAAAGUUUACAAGAUUUCUCGUCACAUCAAAAUCUUUAGACAUAUGUAUGAAGCAUUAAAUAUAGAUAAAAAUAACUAAUUGCAUAGAUUGUCUGUAAUUUGCGGAACAAAUCUUUUGAUCCUAGUUGAUCCAUAGUUGGACAAUAUUUGUCAAAUACAAACGAAAAUGCUACAGUAUCAAAAUUUCAAAAACUUUUGGCAUAUAAACAAGGCCUUAAUCUUACUGUAUACUCCAUGUGUUUCUAAUUAUAGAUUGUUUUAGCUUUGUCUAAGUCAAACUUCUCUAAUAGUCUAACUACGUUUUUGAGGAAAUAAUAGUCUAACUACGCCCAGCAGAAUAGCAGAUGACGAAUGAAUAAAUCAUCUUUCCGAGAGCUACAGCAGAUUGCAUGCCUUCUGCUCUUCUAACAAAGGCAAUCCGGUGGGAAGGCUACAUGUGCCUACUCUUCGCCGUUGACCUCUUGUUCUUUCUUGACUAAUUAUUUAUUUAAUUUAGGCUGCUGGAGUAGUAGCGUUCGGCAUCAGUCUCAGGCAAAACUACAGCAGGUUUCAGUUGCAUAUUGCAGACUUUGCAGGUACAUGGUACUGAUGACUAAUCCUAAUUUGGCCGAUCAGAUAUCUCAUUUGGUCGUUUUGCACUUGCUAGUAAUUACCUAAAUCAUUUAUGGUAGUACUACUACAAAUUUAUAAACUAAUCUAAAUUAACAACAUGCAAAAUUCUUCCAUGACAUUGCGGGGUGUGGAAUAGAAUUUUUUUUCGCGAUGGGGGGUAUACAAGUGUUGUUGGAUUAAGGCGAGAGACCAACGCCCAGCGAGCGAACCUAGCUACUGCAAACCAAACUGCAGAUUACAUAAGACCAAAAAUACUGUUACCAAGCUACUGUCGGCAGAGAAAGCGAAUCAAACCCUGCCAAGACUCACUCGUCCGCAGCCGCGGUUACCGCCUUGCAGAUACCGAAGGCGUCACUGACCACCGAUCGUUCGAAGGUUACCGAGUUCCUCUCCUUCCAUAGGAUCCAGGCAACGAGCAGAAACAUCGAGUCGAAGAUGGGUUGUGCUACCGAGUCCAGUCGCUUACGUUGACGUAACAACCAGGGGCCAAGACUUUCCUCGCACUCCGGCGCCAAUGAAGUCAAGCUCAAAGGUGACAGAAGCAUGAACCAAACCUGUCUAGCGAGGAUGCAUCCAAGGACCAGAUGCCCCACCGUCCCCGGUGCUUGGCCACAGAGGACGCAAGCGUUGUAGUCUUGGAGGCCAUGUCUCUUUCUUCUGUCUGCCGUCCAGAUACGUUCGUGGAGCGCGAGCCAUCAGAAGAACUUGACCUUUGGCGGCGCUCUUGUCUUCCAUAGUUCCUUAGCUCUGAGCAACACCAUAGAGCAGACAAAGAAAGCUCUGUACAUCAAAGAUGCGGAAUACUUGACCAUUUCCAGACGAACCGGUCCGACUGUGACUGAUUGAGUACUACACCCCGCGCGAUAUCCCAGACGCGCAGAUAUUGGCAAAGGACCUGGACAGUGAGGGUGCCAACAAUGUCCCUAGCCCAACAGUUGAGUACCAGCGCCUCCCUGAGCGUCCUUUUCCGACCCAUUCUGGAGAUUGCCGCAAACAGCUGCGGUGCAUACCUGUGAAGGGGGCCGACUGAUGCCCAGUUAUCUGUCUAGAAUAGGACACAUGCACCAUCCCCAUAGACUACAGACAGACUGACUGCAGCCAUGGCCGCAACUGGCUUUUCUAGGCGCGCCGGCAACCUUGCCCAGCAACGGUUGGGUUCGGAUCGUCGUAACCAUUCCCAACAAAGUCACAAAGCAUAGCCAAAGAAGCGCAGGUCGACCACGCCCGCCAGCCCACCCAGGGACGUCGGCUGGCAUAUGGACCUCUAGGCGACCCUGCACAUUGAUCAAGCAGUUUGAGGCAUAGCUGUAACUAUUUGAGGUCACCUGCCUCAUACCCUGCACCUGUUUGUUGUUUUGAUCAAGUGACUUUCAAUGUUGUUGCUUUUUUUCACAUAAGAAAGUUUACUUGGUCUAUAUGAUGGCACAUAGUAUCAUUCAAAUCAAUUGUAAGUGUCUUAGAUAUGUAAUGUAGAAACAUAUUUAGUACACUUUAGGGCUAUUGAAUCAUUUUCCAUAUUAGAUUAUACUGGCAUUUGUAUUAAAAUUUUAGGUAUAUUCUAAUUUAUUUUUUAUAUAUAGGAAACAGUGAUUAAUUUAGAUAUAUAUUAAAGGUGGUAGUUUAUAUUAUCUUUCAUAAUGAUAUGUCGGUAAUUUGAGGUAGCUUUGAUAUAUAUCUAGCAUUGAUCAUGCAAGUGGGCGAAAUGUUUUACUAAAACGCACUUUGUGUUCAAGCAACAAGAGUCUGUCUCUUUUUGUUAGAAACAUCAACUUGCUCAAGUUGUGAUUGAGGGUUUGCUGACCUACACUACAAAGGAGUAUCUGGUGCUGCCAAGAUGAAGGAACCUGAAGCACCCGGGGAGAAGCGCUGGGUGAGCCUGACUAAUUUUGUAACCUAUGCCCUUCUCGGUAUGAUGAAGGAGGGGGGACUCCUAUAGAGAGAUGAUAUAUAGGCCAAUCAGACGAGAAACUUUGGGAUCAAAACCUUUGACACUCGGCUCAGGUUGAGCGGAUCUAUCGGCCUGAGGUAGAAACCGAGGAACCCUAGGGUAUCAUCAUACAAUCCCCUACCAAAACCCUCUCUCAAAUUCCUGUUGUAAAGCUCGGAUUGGACAUUCUUAACACAAAGAACACCAUACUGCUAGACGUAGGGAUAAGAAACCCAAACUAGGAUAAAUCGUUCAUGUCCCAUGCGUGUACAAUGAGCCACUGGAGACCCACACAUCGCCUCCGACGAAGAAACUCGAAUUUGCUGCCGUUCCGAACCCACGGCAGAUGUUUUUAAUCUGUAAGAAUUUCUAGGAUUUAUGUGUGAACUCAUGAGAAUUAACACUGACACCUCUAGUAAUGAUAUAUAUCUAGCAUUGAUCAGUGGCCAAAUAUUUUACUAAAAUGCACUCUGUCUGCAAGGUACAUGAGUCUUCACUACUAUAGAAGAGGCCUUUGGACGAUUGCCAAAAUCGUCAAUAGUCUCGGCAGUUUUGAUCUCCGAGACUAAAGACCCCUUUAGUCCUGGCCCGUAACACGGCCCGAGACUAAAGGGCCCCGCCCAACGGCUACUACGCAGAGCUGUAAGUCCUGGCUCGUGUAACGGGCCGGGACUAAAUGAGCCUUUGGACGGUUGCCAAAAUCGUCAAUAGUCUCGGCAGUUUUGGUCCCCGAGACUAAAGACCCCUUUAGUCCCAGUUCGUAACACGGCCCGGGACGAAAGGGCCCCGCCCAACGGCUACUGCGCAGAGUUGUCCGGGCAGGGACCCUUUAGUCUUGGCUCAUGUUACGGGCCGGGACUAAAUGGGUGACUUUAGUCCCGGUUGGUGCCACGAGCCGGGACUAAAGGUGCACGGGUUAUAUCUUUCUCCCUUCUUCCUCUCCAAGACCGAGCCCAUUCAAAAUUAAGUGAGCUUGUUUCCUCUCUCCUUGCUUGCCAUUGCUUGUUCUUGCUUGUUCUUCAUCUCCAGCGCCCAUUGGUGAUCUUCUUCGACACGAUCAUCGUUUCCUCGGGUCUAGGGGUAACUAACUUCAUCCUCUCUUAUCUUUUUAUGUUAUUUUUUGUUUUUAUGAUUUCUCCUCCAUUUUAAGCUCAAAAUCAAUGGUUAUAGUUUGAAUCGACAUCAUCGGCGCCUAUUGGUGAUCUUCUUCGACUCCACCAUCGACUCUUCGUGUUUAGAGGUAACUAGCUUCAUCCUUCUAUGUCAUUUUCAUCCUUCGGGACUAAAAAAAAUCUUCCCCGAGUGCCAAGCCCAUGGCACUCGGGGAAGAGACUCUUCCCCGAGUGCUAAGCCCACGCCACUCGAGGAAGCCAGCAUUUUCCCCGAGAGCCAUGCCAUAGCACUCGGGAAAGGGCGCCUUCCCCGAGAGUUAUCUUUGCCACUCGGGGAAGAUUUUUUUUUUCAUUUUAAGCUGGGACGGCGAUGUUGGCUUGCGCCGUCAAUAACACUUUUCUUCCCCAAGUGCGGUUCUUCCCGAGUGUUGCGCUCGGGGAAGAGGGCCAUUCCCUAGUGUUGCUCUUCCCCGAGUGCAAGGUAAGCUACGGACUCGGGGAAGCCUCUCUUCCCCGAGUGCAAUUCUUCCCCGAGUGCCCGAUAUUUAGCACUCGGGGAAGCUGUGACACUCGGGAAAUUUCAGUUCUCCCGUAGUGCUUCCUAAAUUGGUGAGUGGGGGCGUCAUUCGCAGGUAGAGAGGCAGACGGACAAACUAAACUUUUUUGUACCAAAAAUUGUCUACAUUUUGGUCUUUUUAGUUGUAUAGGAGAAAUCAUCACGUUGGCCGAGACCUGGGAUAAUACAACCACGAAUCCAGACAUCGACACUUGGAAUCUGGGUCCAUACAAUUUUAUUCCGGUGGGGGAGGACUCAGCAGCUAGUGUUUACCUUGCCCUGUUCAUUUCGGCUCGUACAACGUUCUCUUGUCUUUUGGACCUUUGGCAAUGACAAAAUUCAAAAUGAAACGACACACACACAUGCCGCGCUCAUCAUGGAAGAUGCAAUUUACACCGUGGCACUCCAGCUGUCCAGAAUUAGAUGCAAAAGAAGAUGGAGCAAACCAUAUGCAUGCCGCGCUACCACGCAAAGCCUACAUUCUCUUCGGCUUUGGAUGUGAGCUUUUUGCCGGCAUGCAAGUGUCCAUGGUCGGUGCAGGCUGAAACCAGCAGACGAUCGAUUAGCAUAUAUAUAUAUAUAUUCAUGGUGGGUGCAGGCUGAAACCAUCGAUCACUCGCCCCAGCUAGCACAGUAGUAGUAUAAAUAUAAUAUUUACUGAUUGUGGGUAGUAGGAUGAGCAACCAAACAAGCCAUUACAAUGUUCUUGUGCAGCACUUUUGCCAAAACCCAGGAAUUGACAAGUACGCUGCUAACCUCACGCGCAGCUUCAGCGAUGAGAGCAAUGAGGUGUCCAUGGUGGCGGCCUCCGUGAUCAUGCUCCUCCUCGUCGGCGUCUUCUUCAACCUCAACCUCUUCAGCCGCUUCUCGGAUGUGAGCGCCAUCCUGGACCCUAAAGUCCGCAUCCUCAUCUCCUCGGCACUCUCGCUCUUCCUCCCAGUCAUGUCUUACCUCUUCUCGGAAGCCAAGAAUAAUGUGAAGAAGAAGUCCGACGACGACCUGUCUCUGGGCGCCGGCGUGAUACUGGUGUGGAUGCUCCUGGUGGAGCUGCUCCGCAAGAAGGUGGACGAGAUCCACAUGCGCGGGUACUCGAGCACAAUCCAGCGCGCUGGGCGCGUCAUCUGGUUGGGGAGCCUCGUCUUCUUCAGCUUCCAGAGCGCUGGCCGGAAGGCUGUGUUCGGCAUCCUCUGGAUCCUCUGCGCCGCCAAGGUGGUGCAGAGGAUAGCCUUUACGGAGGUUGGCAAGCGGUCGUAUGCCCACGGCAAGAACGCCCGGCUCAUCACCUCCUACAUGUCUCGCCGGAGGGCGCGGCGGCGAGAGGCGCAGGAGGAGAAGCAGGAGCACGUCGUCGUCGGAGUCCGAGACGUCGUCGUCACCGGAGUCGGAGACGACCUGCUGAGGGCGUCCGACUUCAUCGUGAUGGGAGAACAGGAUCUCAUCCUGGAAGCCACUGCCGAUGGGUACAAGCUCAUGGACGUGGCCGCUGCUGCUAGGGCUGUCACCGUCGGUAAAAUCUGGCGUGUUCUGAGCAGCAGCGGCGACAUCGACCCAGACCAACGGCUGAGGCGGCUCUGCCUCUCGUUCGCGCUUUUCAAGCUGCUGCGGCGGAGGUUCGACCACCUGCCGGUGACGGAGGAGGAGACCCAGGACUGCCGUGACCUCAUCUUCAACGGGGUGUACAACGGUAAGGAGGAGAAUGUGGACGCGGUGUUCCAGAUGGUGACCACGGAGGUCAACUUCCUGAGCGAGUACUACCACUCCGUCAUACCUGUCGUCUUCGCCAGCCCAUUCUUCUUCCUCGCCAACUACCUGCUGCUCCCCGUCGUGGUGCUUGGCCUGUGCCUCAUGACCGUCGUCCUCUGCGGCAACGGCAGCGCGCGCUACGCCUUCCGCAGCAUCGGCCAAGACAACUUCGCCAUCUCAGCAGGUCUGUUGAGCACGACAGCCUGCCUCCUCCUCAAAUCCUCCACGUCGCCGGACGCCUUCUUCACGACCAUCGACUUCUUCGUCACCUUCCUCCUCUUCAUCAUCUUCUUGUACGAGGAGAUCUGGGAGUUCGUCGUCUUCCUCCUCUCCAACUGGUUCAUGGUGUCGCUGCUGUGCAGCUACGUGGGCAGGCCACAGUGGCUGAGCAGCCCCACGUUCGGUGGCAUCGUCCGGCGCAUCCUGUGGGUGCGGAGCAAGAUGAGCCAACCGGACCUCAGCUUCAAGCAGUUCUCCGCCCUCAACACUCGCUGGCCGCUCGCCGUCGGGAUGCCGUCCAUCCUGUCCAACCUGCUGCGGACGGCACCGGUGCCAAACAAAGCCAAGCACUCCAUCAUGGAGUGCCUCGUGAAGCAUAGCCGCGGCCUCGGCGGCGCCCGUCCGCCGCCGCCACUUAGCAACGGCCAGGCCGUCCUUGUUGAGCGCCAGGAACGGCGCCGGCCGGAGCUGCUGGCCGAGCUCCGGCCGGCGUGCGACAGCGACAGCGUUGCCGAGGUCAUCCUCACAUGGCACAUCGCCACCAGCCUCCUCGAGGACAAGGAGGGCAAGGACGACGACGGCAGAGUAGUGGCGACGAGGCUGUCCAGGUACUGCGCCUACCUCGUUGCCUUCCACCAGGAGCUCCUCCCCGACAACCCAGACAAGACGGAGAAAGUCUUUGAGGGCAUGAAGGCGGAGCUCAAGGCCAAGCUCAACUGCGGCGGCUACUACUUGUCGCGCUGGCGUGCGAGGCUCCAAGUCAUCGCCGGCGGCACGGCGGGCAGCAUGGCGUCGGCGCAGUGGAAAGACAAGCAGGUGGUGCACAACGGUGCCAAGCUCGCACAUCUGCUGAGGGAGUAUUGUGAUUGUGACGACAGCCAUCCGGAGAGAACCUGCUGCUGGAAGCUAUUGGCUGACUUUUGGACGGAGCUCAUCGUCUACAUUGCCCCCUCCAACGACGUGGAGCGCGUCAUGGGCCAUGAGAAGGUGCUAGUGGACCCAGGCGAGUUCAUCACCGCGCUAUGGACUCUCACUACUCACACCGGCAUAACCAGACCCAGCACUGCUUCUGCUUCCAUCUGAUCCAUCUAUAUAUAUAUAUAUAUAUAUAUAUAUAUAUAUAAUAGUGCGUGCUUCUAUCACUGCAUCAGUAUGUGACCAGUGUUGUGCAUCUUUCUAGCUACCUAAUAAUAUGUUUUGCAUGCGCCGCUGCGACUGCGAGUCUGCGUCUGUCUGUUGAGCUAUAUAUAUAUAUAUUAUAUAAUAUAUGGUGUGUGCUCUUUUUUUUUUGGCCUUCGAUGGAGUCUAAGCAUGAAUGACUAAUAUGCAUGUAUAGAUGACAACCAUCCAUUGGAGUCAAAGAAAAACAAAGCUGGCAACUCUAGAUGCUAUCCGACAAGGGUCAGGUGAUCCCGUAGAUCAUUAUGCCGCUGCAAUCUUGUCCAUUGCCGAAGCCAGUGCGUUUCCCUGCAAAAAGUAACAAUGAAUUAUACUUUUUGUUCGCUAUUUUUGACCACCUAUUAAAAAGGUCAAAAAUAGCUCGUGGAGACGAAAUACCAAAAAGUAAAUGUACAGCACGCUACAAGAAUUUGCAAUAAAAACAAUCUAAAAAAGGUGUUAAAUGGUUUGUGGAAGAUGACAGAAGCAACACUUCUUAUCACCAUUCCAGUUUCAUCGGACCAGAUUAUCCUUAGUUAAAAUCACACCUUUUUCAGAUACCACAGAAAAACUUUAAUUUGUCAUAUAUCUUGUGACACUCUAACCCCAUUGUUAAUUAAUGCAACAUAUAUAGAAUUCACCGUAAAACAUCCCGAUGCAUUCAACCUCUAAACAAAAACAUCUCUUUCCUGCAGUAAGUUAACAUCAUGUAAAGAAGCGACAAUUCUAUGCCAGUCCCUUAGGUUCACACCCACUAAGUUUCAGCGAAAAGAAACAUUAAAUGGAGAUGAACUUGGGACUUGUGGCACAGAGUCUUGUUUUCUUCUUACUACAUUAAACAACGCAGGAAACUAUCUUUAAUAGGUUUAUUCCCAACCAAUUGUCAAUCCAAAACUUGGUUUGCGAUGCAUCUUUCACCUUAAACAAAUCAAAGUCCAUAAAAGAGUCUUUAAUAUUCAUUACACUUUUCCAGAAAUUAGAGUCCCUUGGUUUUAAAUCUAUUCAAACUCAUUAAGUAUAGCGAUUUCUACCUUCUUAUCUAAUUCAUCCAAUUUGUUUAGAAUGGUCGUUUUUUCUUUCUUAUAGGCACCACUCAAAUUUUUUGCCCAGCCCCUAAGGUAUUGACGCAACCUUCUGACUUUAGCUUGCCACCUCUCUAAAGGCACGCCAACAACUGGUGUACUCUACCACAACUCACUAACCAUAUCACAAAAUCCAUCUCUUAGCAACCAACCCAAUUCAAACUUGAAUUGAGGCUGAUAAGAUAAGGAUGCAUUAUUUGUGGCAAAAAGAAGAGGAGUGUGAUCAGAAAUCUCUCUAGUCAUGUACAACGGUAAGUGGAUAUUUGGACUCGAAGUCUGUGCAAAUGAGGAUCCUAUCUAUUUUUUGAAAGGUAUGGAUCUGUAAAUGAUUAGACCAAAUGAAAUUUCUCUCUGUCAUUUCUAUUUCUUUGAGAUUUAAGGAGUCAAUCACAGCAUUAAACAAAAAAGGUCAUCUAUCAUUAUAAUUAUCAUUGUUUUUCUCAUCCGGUCUAUGAUUAAUGUCAAAAUCACUACCUAUAAUAUUAGGUAAAGCCUCUGUUGAACAUACCCGUACCACUUCGGAUAAGAAUGGUGAUUUUUGAUCCAAUUGUGUUGGCCCACAAACAAAAAUCAGAUUGAACUUAAAAUCAUCUUCUUUACUUCUCACUUUGAAACGUAUAAAAAUCUCCUUCAAUUUCCCCAAUGUCAAAAGUCAAUAGAUUUAUACCUAGAAUCAUACCACCGGACCUACCUCGUGGAGCCAUGCAAUGCCAAAGAAAAUCUCUACCUGCACAAAUAUUAUUCAAAGUGGAUUACAGAAAAUUGGUUGUACCAGUUUCCAAUAAGGCAAUGAAAUCUAGGUUAAUUUUCUUUUGUUAGAUCAGAAAGAAAUCUAUAUUGUUUACAAUCAGCGAACCAAUUGCAAUUCCAAAAAAAUCCUUUAAUCUAGACAGAUUCUUAUUUUUUUUCUUAAGCCUGAGGCGAGACCUUUUCGUCUGUGAUAUAGGGGUUUGUAGACACAUAGGGUCGCAGCCCCCAUCACCAAGCCCUUCCAAAAUAUCUGAACAAAUUAGGUUUAAUGCUUCUUAAUCUAAGUUAUCAUCUGUAGAACAAACCGUCAAAGCAUCAUCCAACAAAGCUAAAUUUUCCUCCACUAAUUUUUUUUUUGCCAUUUAAUGUAAAUAAUUCUACCUCUCUUAAAAACUUUAAAGAAUCUGAAAUAGCUUGUUCACUAGCCCCAAGAACAAACUCUAAAGAUUUAGCUGAAUCUAACAAGAAAGAAUCGUCGCGAGAAAUAAAAGAGCAUGGCUAGGGUUCUUUACCUUUAUCUGGCGCAGAAUCCAAGUUUUUGGGAGCUUUCAACUUUGUUGUCUUCUCCAACGAAUCUUGAUCCACAGUUGUUGCCUUCCGCUUACUUAAUCUUAUAGGCGACAUUUUGCAAUUUCAUUUUAUUAAGAACCCCAGAGUCAAUUUAUAUAUGGAGUCACCAGAUUAGCCUUACAGUGGUCACUACCAAUUGCUGACCUCCCAUUCUGAGAGAGCAUUAUCACUGGUUUGUUACCUGGUUUCAUUUGUUUGCUUUGAAGGACUAUAGGGAAGUACCAAACGACCUUUACGGGGCCUCCUCUCAUCUUGGUACCAUUGUUUGAUGGCCCUUCUUUGUACCGUGGAGCUUUACACUGCAACCACUUAUCUAGGUUUUUGUAUUUUUCUCCACGGUACAAUAUGCAAUCAUUGCUAUACAUGUGGAUUUUCCAACCUCAAGGCUGAUGGGGUAGAUCAUUUGCUUGGCCUGGUAUGUUUUUUUCUGGCAGCUCAAUGAUAGAUCAUUUGCUUGGCCUGGUAGAUCAAUGUGGAUUUCAGUCAACUUUAUGACUCCUCAAGGUGUGAACAAGAGGUUGCUGAUAUAAAAAAAGAGUUAGAAGAGUUGUACAAGAAGCAUGAGUUGGAACAACAUAGAAAAAUGGGUGGCAGUAGCAGUUCAUCAACCACUCAAUCAGCCUCAUCAUCAAAGGAAACACAGCCAGCUCAAUGGCUUGUCUUGUUUCAAGUGAAUUUCAGUCCUUUCUAGAGUCUAGUGCUUCAGUAAGUUCAAAAUCUGAGUUACUUAUCUAUCUAGAUGAAGCAAACCAUCCAUUAAAUGAUAAGAAUUUUAACUUACUUCACUAUUGGAAGGUGAAUGCUCUUAGAUUUCCUGUUGUAUCUAGUAUGGCGAAGAAGUUCUUAGCUGUCCCAGCUAGCAGUGUAUCAUCAGAGUCCACUUUCAGUUGUGGAGGUAUAAUUCUUGAUGAUUAUAGGAGUUAUUUGAAGCCAGCAACAGUUCAAGCACUAGUUUGUGCAUCUAGUUGGAUACGAGGUUCCAAAAGUCCUUCUAUUAUUCUGGUAUGCCUCUCUAUUUUUUAAGUCUAUUGUUCCCAAAGUUUGUGUAUGGAAAUAUGUAAUGCUUAAUUCUUUUACUGUUUCUAUAGGGAGAAUAUGGUGAUGAUGGUGACAUUAAGAGUGUGGAGCUUCCCAGCAGCGUGGUAGAAAGCAACUAGUAACUAGUAAGUCUAUUUUAGAAUGUCCAGCAGUGUGGUGGAAAUCAUAUUUGUUUUCACUUGAUUUGUUGUUCACAUAUAGGUAACAAGAUAUAAAGGGGGAAGGGAAUUAGGGACCUGUUGGUUGCACGCCAUGGCUGCUUCUAAGUUAUGAACUGCUUUUGGUAUAUAUAUAUAUAUAUAUAUAUAUAUAUAUAUAUAUAUAUAUAUAUAUAUAUAUAUAUAUAUAUAUAUAUAUAUAUAUAUAUAUAUAUUACUACAAACCUGAUCAGUCUACCACUCUUCGUUCUUGAAUUCUGUAUGGAUGAUGUGUAAACUAUAUGGGCAUGAGUGUAUGACUAUAAUGGACUCGUGGUCAUGGUUGUGGUGGGCUACCUGACAAAAACUUGGAGGAAUUCUGGAUCAAUCGAUGGAUGGAUUAUAUUCCCGUUUUUUAAAUUUAGAAGUACUUUGUGUUUGUUGCUCACGUGCUUUCAUAAUCUCCCUGAAUGUGUUUUUAUGAUUUGGCUCGCGAGCCAAAUGAGCUAGCUCGAGCUGUUUAGCGAGCCGAGCCGAGCUGCUCUUCUAGUUCGUUUGUAUAGCGAGCCAAGUCGAGCCAGAAUGUAAACGAGCCGAGCUAUACGAGCCGAGCUGUAACGAGCCGAGCUGGCUCGAUAUCCAGACCUACAGCUCAUCUUGUGCUGGGAGUAUUUUCCUUAUUAUACCUAACAACUGGUCAAAGCCUUUAUCGCUCAAUCCGUUUGUAGAUUUGAACUCUAAAAGCAUGAUGUCAGCUUCUAGUUUGGUGAUUGGACAAUCCUUGUACAAAGGUGUUUUGUCAUCUUCUCUUAGACAGCUCCGACAAUACUUUGAGGGCAGAUCCAGUGCAGCUCCGAUCGCAACAACUCGUCGUGGUCGUUGCGGGCUCCUAUGGUGCGCACGGAAGUUGCCGGCUUCUAUGCUCCACGCGCGAGGGAGGACGCCGGGCUCCGCACGAGCUCCUCAGCGCUGCCAGGGGCACGAACUCCUUCGCACUGCCCGGCUAGGGGCGCAAACACUCCUCCACCGCCAAGGACGCGACCUCAUCCGCGCGAGCUCCUCCGUGCCUCCACAUAGGCCCCCGCCAUUGGAGAGAGGGAGGGAGAUGGAGAGGAGAAGAAGGAGGAGCAUCUGAGGGAGAGGAGUGGGGCGCCGUGGUUGGCAGAGGGAGGGGCCGCGCAAGAGGGAGUCUAGGCUGCGGUGUUGAUAUUUGGGAACGCAAUAAGGAAUUGAUCCGCAAGCGCACGGAUAUCGGUGAGCACUUCACCCGGGAGGUUAUCCAGAGUAUCGUAUUUAUUUUUUUACCACUAGGAGAAAGAGUGCAUCUGACUAACCGGUCUAUUACUACUAACCCUUUAGGCGACAAAGAAUGUUUCUCGAUGUGAGUGAUAAAUAGAGAAGACUGCAACCGUAGUCUCUUUCUAACCUUGGUAAGGAUGAUCUACUGUUCUAUUGGGGAGGCUAACGGAAUCUAGACACCACAAAGGAUGUUCAACCCGCACCUAUAAACCCUAUCCUUCCUGCUAACGAGAUAUGGUCUGCAAAGGUAACUCGGAAAUGUCACAUUCCUCGCUACUACCACGGUCUAGCUAGUCAGGGAAUAUCUAUGAGUACCCCAGCCUAAACACCACGUUUACGCUAGCAAUGAUUACUCUAAACUCUACGCGAAGAGAUUAAAGUAAACUCAUAAACCAAAAGAACAAUAAAACAAGAACUUACUAGGAUUUAGAAGUCGAAAUACUGAAGAAUCCUAGGAGCAAGCUUCGGGUUAGGAGAACUUGAUCCCGCAGGUACAAGCUCAGAGUAGACACCGACAGGCCGGGCUUCCUCCGAUCUACACCUCCACUCUAUCUCUCUCAAUCUUGUAGAAACUAGAAGAUCUAUUUCUACUUUACAUUGGUUGCUAAGCCUAAAAAGAAAUUUUGUUUAGAGAAGAGGUUUUCCUUCGAGGGCACCCCUCAAUCUCUAUGAUAACUUCUUGUCUCCUCCAGGGGCCAAGGGGUCUGCUUAUAUAGCUCUCCUCCUCUGUGCAUUUUUGGUCCAGCAGGCGAUGUGGUACUACGUUAUCUUUGAUCUUUUAGGUCGGUGGAACGUCGUGUGCAAAGAGAGUCCUGAUUGGCAUCCAGAGGGGGGCGGGCGCCCUGGGCCUGGCCCCUUUCGGCCUCUGCUUUCUUCCCGUGGCUUCUGGAGUCUUCUAGAUGGUAGAAAAUUGCGCGGUGCGUUGAUAUCUCUAUGUAAUUCUGACAUGUGGGCCUUUCUUCCUUAUUUCCUGAUAACCCCCUGCAGAAACAGAUAAACAACAAAACUCGUGGAAUUCUGUCAGAUCAAACACUAAUUCUAGGUGUUGGUUGCAUAUUGGUCCUUUCUCUUAUUUAUUUGAUAAUUAAAAUUGAUACUUAAGAACCGUCAACAUGCGACGCUCGGGUCGGAAGAAUGAGAGAGAGGGUGAGAGUGGAAACCCUAAUUGUGAUAUUUAUAUAAGCCUGCGAUGUGGGAGGGGCGUUGGGCUUUUGCAGGGACUGAUGAUACAAUAGCAGGCUAUUUCAGAUUUUAGGAGGCAGGCCUUAUAAAAUAACCAUAUCGGUUAAUAGAUAUUAACCAAGGCAGUUAUGUUACAUUCUCCAUCUCGGUUAGUGGAUCUCAGUUAAUAAAAAGUGACCGCCUCAAUUAAUCCAGGCUAUUAACCAAGGCAGUUUGAAAAUCCUGUCCUGCCUCCGUGCCUGUUUUUAGAAGGUCGUGGUUAAUCUUUUGUGUUGUAGUGAAACACCAUAUUAGUAGCUCCCUUGAUGUUGACCUCGGUGCUUAAUCUGGCUAGAUUCACCCCUAUUGAGACUGUGGAAUGAAGUUGUGCAUGUUUGGAGCUAUUGAUCAUCCUAAAUAUAUUUAGAUGACGUGACACUAUUGGAAACCGCACAACGAAACUUCGAAAUAGGGAUAGCCUUAGGUUAGGAAUAAAUGUCAUGAAAUUAUGUUUUGUCUUAUUUUUCGCUUAAGUGGAUCGGAGGGAGUUGAUUAUUGAUUUCAAAACGUCUGAUUGCAAUACUAAAAGAUCUGCUAAUAAUAAAUUAUUUCAGAAAUUAUCAUUUUAAUGUCCCUUUAUUAUUACUUUGCAUAUAUAUGGACAUAGCCACACGGGCAUCCUCGGGCUGUGGAGGCUGUGCGACAUAGGCCCCGAAAUUUAGGCCUUGUUUAGUCACCCAAAAACCAAAAACUUUUCAAGAUUCCCCAUCACAUCGAAUUUUGCGACACAUGCAUGGAGCACUAAAUAUAGAUGUAAAUAAAAACUAAUUGUACAGUUUACCUGUAAAUUAUGAGAUGAAUCUUUUAAGUCUAGUUACUCUAUGAUUGAACAAUUUUUUUCAAAUAAAAACGAAAUUGCUACAGUUCCGAAAACCAAAAAAUUUUCGGAACUAAACAAGGCCUUAGUAGGUUUGUUUAAUUUAAUUGGUAAAUCAGCCACAUAUAUACCCAUAAAUAUAAUGUGGCCUGUUACUUCCUGCGGAAGAAAAACACCACACAGAGUUCAACAUGGUACGUAGUCACAGAAAAAAAAGCAUUCAGACAAGCAGAUCCAUCCUUUUUAUUCAUUUGAAGAAGAAUACACACCGUACGUACCGAAGCGUAUACAAAUUGUAUAACACAAUCCAUAUAAAGCUUCAUUUCAAACCAUUAUAUUCGGCAAAAAAGAAAAAAAAACCGCAUGCAGCGUAUAUAUAUAUAGAGUAGUACGUAGCACACAUGCACAUUCACACAACAAAUAGUAAUUAAUUAUUUAGGUCAUGCAUGCAAAAUUUAAUAGCGAUAGGCAUGUAGUAGCUGGCUAUAGGUAGGCAGCUAGGAGGUUGGUAUGGUAGGUUAUUGAGCGCUCAGCAUGCACCACGGCGGAACCCAACGGAGCCGCCGGCGACAUUAUACAGCACCUCGAUGGUCUGCAGCUGAAGGAAGCCGAUGAUCCCAGUGGCGCGGUCGUCGCCGGCAGUGGAGGCGAAGGCGAGGCAGCUGCCGAACAGGACACCCGAUGGGUCGAGCUGGACGCCGGCGCCGGUACGGUCGAAGACGAGGCUGAUGGUUGGAAGCAUGAUGCUGCUGACGCCGGUGAAGUCGUAGCAGGUGUCGAGCUGGCCGUUGGCGGCGGCCGGGCGGUACAUGCUCAUCUUGUCCCUGAAGGCGGAGCGCAGCGCCUGGUAGGCCGUGGGCGGGAGGCGCGUGAUGACGGUGCGGGAGUCGAGGGCCGCGCCGGCGGCGAACACCGUGGGCGGCACGUCGAGGCGCUGCCCCGCGACGGCGAUGGCCUCGAGGCGCACCUGGUACAGCAUCGGGGUCUUGAGCAUGGGCGUCACCGCGUACCUGGAGGAGGACCUUCUGGGCACGCCGAGGACGAAGAAGCCCUUGUGGCUCGCCGUCGGCGGGAAGCAGUAGGAGAAGACCUGGCCGUACUUGGUACUGGUCUGGGACACGAGCGACUGCACGCCGCGGCCGAGAGCCAUUAUCCCGGCGGUCUUGCUGCGGCUGAAGCUGCCCCGCGCGGCGUGGCUGCACCCGAACUCGAACUUUGGGACCUGAGACGUAGGGCUCAGGCUCAGCUGGUCGGCGACGAGCGUGCCCGACGUCGUGGAGCCGUCAGGGUACCGCACGCGGUACUGGCACUGGCCUGCAGAGUUGCUGCUGCUGCUGCAGCCGUUGGCAUACGGCCCCAGCUGCCUGCAGGUCGGGGAGCUGCACGCGAAGGACUCCGACGAUCGCGACUUGGAGGGGUCGUACAGGACGUCCGUCUGCGCGUAACACUGCGAGGCGGGGCAGGGGAAGCACUGCACCCACGCCACGUCGCUCGCCGUGUCCAGAAGCAUCAGCUGCCUCACACCGGGCCGCAGGCGGCUGCGUCGGCUGCCGCCGGUCGCCGCCGGAUCAGCAGCACUACUCAGCUCUUCCACCACCUGAUGAUGGGUGUCCUGCUGCUGUGCCUGUACGUACGUACUACUAAUAAUUAAUGUAAAAUUCAUAUAUGGUAUACCUGCAGCCAGCCAGCUAGGUGCAUGCAUUUACCUUUGCCAUGCCGCCGGUUCCAUCGUCGCCCAUGCUAAAAUCUCCGGCGCCGCCGCCAUUUACGCUCUCGAGCGUCGUUGUGCUGUCUGAAAUUUCUGUAUCUUCAUGAGAAACAUUACCGGAGAGCUUCCUUUGGAUGUAGCCGGCGCGGUGCUGAUCCCAUCGCAGCAUGUCGUCGACCAUGGACGACGCACUGUAGUCCAUGGCCGCCCCCUCCUCCCACGACGGCGAGCAAGGACCAUGAGGAUUACUCAGCGGUGUCCAGCUGCUGCUGUAGUUGUUGACGGAUGGAUGGACUGCAUGCAUGCAUUCCAAGGUAAUUAAUCACUAUAUAUGUAUGCUACUGUAAUGCAUCAUGCAUGCAUAUAUAUAUAUAGUAACUGAAGAAGCAUGCAAAAACAAGAACGGCGGUAAUUAAUUAAUUAAUACCCCUGUGCCCUUUGCAAACGGCGCUUGGCUUAAGCGAGCUAGUCUCCACGACAACGUAGUUGACCUGAUCAUCUGCUCCUGCAUCUGCAAGGAGAGAUGUGGCGAUACACAAGAUCAACAACCUUGCAGCGCAGACCAUUGCUACUGACUUGUAUUCUACUGCCACACAACCGUUGAACCAUACAGCAACCUCUCUACAUCUAUACAUAUAUAUAGACGAUACGACCACAUGCACCCACAACGUAUGCGCUUCAAAAAAAAUAUAUAUUAAUAAUAAUAAGCAUCGUGACCACGUGUGUGAAGAUCAACCAAUAAUGCCUCUGACCAAAAGAAAAAGACACCCCGGUGCGUCCUUAUUCGAGGCAUAUCCAUGUGACCAACGCGACGACAAGGGCGUUUCAAUUAUCGUAAUUUUGUUCAAGUUUCAAAUAAACCACGACAGAUUCAAUUAUUUCUGGGAGGCACAAGGGACAUUUCACUAGAAUAGGAUUUCUUUUGUGUGGCGUUGGAGUUUUUGAUUGAAGGGUGGGCAUAUUUAAUUUUUGCCCAACUCCAUUGUUCUUAGCUAAGCGACCCACAACUAACCCCUAAAUAGUCCGUCUCGGUUAAACGUUAACGAAUGCGGCACGUUAAAAAUCCUAUCUCUAUUAAUCCAUAUUAACGAAGGCGGUGGCCGCCUCUAUAAAUCGAAUUUAUAGGUGGCCACAAUAUAAGGCCCGUCUCCAUUAAUCCAUACUAACGGAGGUGGUUAUCUUAACAUGCCCACCUCCAUAAAUCAAUUUUUGGAGGCGGGCACACUAUAUAAGGCCCGCCUCAAUUAAUCCAUACUAACGGAGGUGGUAGUCUUAUUAAGGUGUCCGUCUCCAUAAAUCGUUUUUUAGAGACAAACACACUAUAAGCCCCGCCUCCAUAAAUCAAUUUUUGGAGACGGGCACACUAUAUAAGGCCCGCCUCAAUUAAUCCAUACUAACCACUACAGGAUUCUGGUACUUUGCCGAGAGCCCGAGCGCUCGGCAAAGGGCCACUAAGCUCUCGGCAAAGCCUUUGCCGAGCGCCCGCUCGGCAAAGUCUUAAUCGGCAAAAGGCAGUCUUUGCCGAGCGCCACGUGGCAGGCUCUCGGCAAAGGCUUUGCCGAGAGCCACGUCAGCACUCGGCAAAGGAUGACGGUCGUCUCAAGGGAGGCGUUAGUGGACGGCUCUUUACCAAGCGCCACCAUGGCCGGCGCUCGGCAAAGAUUAUUUAUUUUUUUUUUCAAAAAUUCUUUGCCGAGAGCCUUGCUGGCUAGCUCUCGGCAAAGAUUAUUUAUUUGUUUAUUUGGAAAAAAAAUUUUGCCGAGUGCCUUCCUGGCUCUCGGCAAAGAAUAUUUAUUUAUUUUUUUGAAAAUUUCUUUACCGAGUGCCUGGUGGCCGGCGCUCGGCAAAGCGACAACAACAUAUACUUAGGUUCAAACAUGGCGCCAGGGGGUAGAUUCAGGGGGAUCACGAACACAGGCCAACAAGUGUAGGGGGCCGCCAACAAUCCAUACGGGUUGAACUCAUCUGUUGCAAUCGCUACACGUACAUUCCGAGCAUCCAUAGCUUUGCCAGGAUGCUGCUCAUCGAAGUACUUCCAUGCUUCACCAUCCGAUGGUUGUCCCAUCUUGUCACUGUAUCUUUUGCCAUUCUUGUGGCAUGUUAUCAGUUUCGCGGACUCUUCUGUCAUGUACAACCGUUGGAUCCUCGGUAGGAAUGGAAGGCACCGUAGGACCAUCUCGGGGAUUUUAGACUAUUUCUUCUGGCUAGGACUGCUCUCUACCUCCACAAACCUAGAGGCUUUGCACUUUGGACAGUGCGUUGCUCCCUUAAGGUCAUGUCCCCUGAAUAGGACACACCCAUUGGGACAAGCAUGGAUCGACUCAUACGGCAUCUUAAGUGCACGAAGGAGUUUCUGGCAGCGUGUGACCCUCUGGAAACAUUGUGCCCAGAACUGUCAACAAGAAAUUGAACCCAUCUCGACUAAGGCUCAAUCGCGACUUCACAUGUAAUAGGCGUCCAAUGGCAUCCAGUUGCGAAACUAAUGUCUUCUCAUGAAGGGGCUUCUAGGCUGAAGACAUCAUAAGGUAGAACGCCUUUGCGGUUUCCUCUGGAUCCUCAGGCUCCAUUGUCACGUGCAUAAGUGAAGUCUUCCAUUAGGUCGGCAAUCCCGGCAUCUCCAUCAUACUCCUCGAGGCAUGGUCUCACCACCUCCUCUCUAAUACGGUCGCUUUCACCAUGGUGGAUCCACGUGGUAUAGUUUGCCAUGAGUCCGUGCUUGUGAAGAUCCUUCCACAUGUCAUCUUUACGUUUUCUUUUCUCGUUCUUACAGUCUGUGCAGGGACACAACAUCCUUAUUGACCCUUUAGCAGCCUCACCAAAUGCUUUAUUCCACAUGUGCUCACAAGUGGAGAUGUCUGGAUUUUAGACAUCCGACGUUGCAACUUGCUCCAAAUUUUCUCAAAUUUUAACCAUAGCUUCCACAUGCGAUAACACGACGCAUCACCAAGUUUCGCGAUUUUCGGACUUCGUAUGGAUUUUAUAUAAUUUUAAUCCACUUUUUGCUUACGUAACUCGACAUGUUACCUCAGCGAGAUGGUCGAGAUUUCAUGUGAGGUCUUGGAUACGGACUCAAAAUACACCUAAUACCAUGAAUAUCAUUUUCUGAAGCACUGGGUUGCGAUAUUUCAUGUACCUAUAGUUCACAUUUGAUUUAUCCAAAACCAUACAAAGAAACAAAAUAAAUCAGUUAAAUAUACCAAAAAAACUCAAAUUUCUUCCAAACUUUAAAAUAUAGUUUGCAAUAGUGACACAAAGCACCAAAAAAAACUCAGCACAAAAAAAUAAAAAUACUUUGCCAAGAGCCAGCCAAGACACUCGGCAAAGAUUGCUUUGCCGAGGGCCUGGCCAGCUGGCACUCGGCAAAGGGGACGCCGGCCGCCGGCGUUUGGUGGACAGAGACUUUGCCGAGAGCGCGCCUUUGCCGAGCGCACUGCUCUCGACAAAGAGCCUCUUUGCCGACCGCCUUAUUUCGGCUCUCGGCAAAGAGCCCUUUGCCGAGAGCCUGACGUGGCGCUCAGCAAAGAAAGCUCUUUGCCGAGUGUCUACUCGACAGCUCUCGGCAAAGAUGCCGGCUCUGGGCAAAGUAGGAUUUUCCUGUAGUGAACGGAGGUGGUAGUCUUAUUAAGGUGUCCGCCUCCGUAAAUCGUUUUUUAGAGACGAACACACUAUAAGUCCCGCCUCCAUAAACCGUCGUCACUAUAAAUACAAGAAGUUAGAAUUUCUUCUUCGUCGCACGGAGGCCAAGGGAGGAAAGGCCUCCUCGUCCCGUCGGCGGCUAUCCCUCCCUUUGGUGGCUCUCGCUCCCUCCCUCUUAGAUCCGGCAGCGCAGGUGAUUCACCCUCGCUCAACUUAGAGGUCCAGCAACGGCAUGGCGGCUCUCCUUCGAGAAGGCCGUGAAAUGCCUUCAUCCUCUCUCUCUCUCCCUUCUCUCAGAUCCAGGGCUGCCCUUCAUCUCACCUUCUGUGUCGCAGAUCUAUGACGACAAUGAUGGACAAGUGGCUUCUGCUCCCUCUCCUAGUCUCCCCAUGGCACUGUGACAACGGAUUGGGUUGAUGGGGCGACAGAUCCAGGCGCAGAUAACCCGUUUUGGCAAGCGGAUGGCUGGAACCCGCGAGUAGCUUCUGGAUUCAGCUAGUGGGCGCAGCGACGGUGUAGAUCCGACGUGCGAGCGCACCGGCAGUACAAAUCUGGCCAACAGUGCCAGGAUGGGCUCAGUGGGCUGGACUCACUAGGCUUUUUUUUGCCCGCCUCCAUUAAUAUGAUUAAUAGAGGCGGAUACUAUGACCGCCUCGGUUAUCCAUUGAUUAACAAAGACCUUUCAUUGGAGGCGGUUAGAUAGGUCUGCCUCCAUUAACCAAAAACAAUUUUCUCCAUUAAAAUUCCCGUACUAGUGUUUGCCUCUCAAGCAUGUUUAGGACCCGUUUGGGAUAGCACACAGCUUUACAAGCAAAACUAUUUCUUUUUCUAUUUUGUUUUUAGCUUCGUGAAAAGCUUUCUCAGUGAAGCUGAGAAGUUUUUUUAUCUCAUUUGGCAAGACAGGCCAAAUGAAUAAUAGACUCUAAUUAUCUUUCUUCUUCAACCGGGUGUUCUUUCCAUCUAUUCCCAGAAUCUCCGACGUGGAAUGAGCACGCAUCUCCGGUUGGGGCCAAGCUCGCGCCCGGCGGUGACCGAGCUCGCCCUCCCGGCGUGGUUUGUGCUCUCAUUCGGUGAUGACUCAGCUCACUCUUGUGGCGGAAACAUAUGUUCUUCAUCGUGGAAACAGAUCUGAAUUAAUUUAGCCAUUGCUGCGUUCCUGUGUAUGGGAGCUGCAUGGGUGCACAUGGAUUCGUUUUCUGAGGGGGGAACAUGGAUUCAUUUUAUAUAUUAGGGCACAUAUGUGGAAGACGCAACUGAGAUAAAGUACUUUUUUUCAGCUUCAUCCCACCAUAUCCCUUUGUGAGAGCAUAAAAAAAGACCUUCACUCAUAAAGCAAUUUUUGAAAUGGGUGUUUGGCAAAAAAAAAAAAAAGAAGCUUAAAACACAAACUUAUGAAACUGUUGGUGAAACUGUACCAGCUAAGAUCUUAAUGGUAACCAUUAAUCCAUGCUGGAUCGCUAGCUGUUCUGUCGAUUUGUCAAGUUACAUGAAACUAUCAAAUUUGUAGAAAAAAUAAAGUACAUAUUCCUGGUUACUUUGGAGGUGGACCAAAAGGUUCAUAUAUAUUCCAAUCUUUUGUUCUUUCCGUCGACCUACGUAUGCCCUCCGUUUUCCUUUUCUUUGCGUGUUAUGUUACCACUAGUAUCUGGAGAACAUCGAUUUAAGACAACAUCACUAUUGCAGGAAUUAUUUUUAGGGGGUGAUGAUCAAAUAUUUUUAGUGUUGAUUUCAAAACUUGCUACCGAGCCAGCGAUUGUAAUAAACAUCUAACGUUUUCACGGGCAACCGACCGACUCUGCUUGGACCGACCAGUUUCAUUUCAUUAGAUACUGGUUGGUUACGUUCAUAGCCAAUCGGUCGUCUUUGGCGUUCAGCUCCACUGAUUACACUGGAGCACCGUACCCGGCAACAAACCAGCCGUUAUAUAUCCAGCGUCUUGGCAAACCAGUUAAGGGCCUAUGCAGUUAUUUGGGAAUGAAGGCCUUGAACAAUUCUCAGUUGAAAUGCUUCACUAAUGUAUAUUGAUAUGCUAGAAUAAUUUGUGUUAUCAAUAUACAUAGCCGGAGUUACUUAUCAAUAGUCACUAAUUUGUACAAUGUAUAUUGAUAACACUAGUAACAUAUAUAACCGGAGUUACUAUAAUUUAUUCUCAGUUGAAAUGCUUCACUAUACUUAGAAUGGAGGAAGAAAUUAUAUAUAGUAAACCACUUACCAGGUUUCGGUGAGACCGACCGGAUUUUUGCUUCCCAAGGGGAAACACCUCCCGCCCUAUCCAGUCGAAGCAAAUAAAAUACAAUUUACCUUUUUUUAAUCAUCAAACCCUUGAUUACUUUUCCAACCUCCAUUGUUGUCUUUUCUUUGUCGUUCUAAACAAGGUUUGAGUCAAAUAUUAGAAAUAUAAAUCAUCAAAUAACUUUUAAAUUGUUGAGUUUACAAAUUUAAAAAUAAUUUCAAUAGAUUUAUCUUAAAAAUAUUUCCAAAAAAUAUACAUAUAUUAUUUUUUCUUAAAUAUUUUUAUAAAAAUAAGAGGUCAAAAUUGUGUUUUGACAGCCGUGUCGCUAUCUUAAAAAUGACUUUUAUAUAUAUAUAUAUAUAUUUCUCUGUAGCUGGCUACAAAAUAACUUAUUCUGUAGCCACUUUGAGAGUUACGAUAAUUACUAUGUUAAUUUACGAGAUUAUAGUAACUCUAUACUAAGUGGUUUACGAUAACAUUACGGUAAAUAUCAUCAUGUGUUAUAGUAACCCAACUAUCGUAGAUAUGUAUACAUAUUAUCGUAAAUUAGUAUAUAAAAUUAUCGUAAAUGGAGGUGGCUAUAGAAUAACAUAUUUUUUAGCUAGCUACAGAGUAUACUCUCCCUCUCUCUCUCUAUCUAUAUAUAUAUAUAUAUAUAUAUAUAUAUAUAUAUAUAUAUAUAUAUAUAUAUAUAUAUAGAGAGAGAGAGAGAGAGAGAGAGAGAGAGAGUAUAGGAGUAUUGUAGUUUCAACAAGGAUACCAUGAAUGAGCCGUCGCGGCGCAAGACACGCGCUGGCCCGCCCAAUGUGGCCCCGGCACGCCCAGGCGAACGUCGCAUCGCCGACAACUCAAUGAAUGAACUUCUUUUUUUCUUUUUUUUUUCUCUUUAUAUACUAUGGUCGUACUGAGUGCUUUAUGCAUGCAGCAUAAUAAUUCUUUUUUCCUGAAGAAGCAACGAACCUAGCUGUGUGCUGUCUUUAAAGGCCAGAUGCCAAUAUCAAGGCAUCAAGCUGUCCUGUCUCCCACGAAAAAUUCGGGCCUUCAAAAACAGGAUAUAUAGGUUCCAUCAACUUUGGAUUGUAUCAAUACCAAUAAUCUUCAUUAUAUUGAAACUAAAUAUGCUUGCUCUCGCAAUACAUGCGUGUUUGCAUUGUGAAGACAGACGUAUGCUUGCUUACAAUACUUGAGCCUUUUAAAAAUACCUAUCUCCUUUGUAAUCCCUCUAUGUAGUAUUUGCAUAAACAUCUUCUUGCCUAAAUAAUAUUUGCAUGUGAACUGCUUCGGUACUCCCCUUUUAAUUUAUAGCAGAAAUAUUAAAGCAGUCCACCAUUUUAAAUAAUUAAUUUUAUAAUUAUUUCUCGUCUGGAUUUCGAGUUGGCCCAGCCUAGGCCGUGUUCAGCCCAAACCUGCAUCCGUGAUCCAUUCCCUUCCUUCCCCCUCCUCCGCGUUCAUCUCUGAAGCCGCUUGAGCUUCAACACAGCACAGAGAUGAGAGCGGCAGCGGCCACUCACCGGCGGCGGUGUCGGAGCCAUGGAACUAACCAAGGACGGCGAGGAAUGGCUGCGUGAGGAGCUCCGCUGAGAUGAGAGCAGUGGUGCUCAAAGACUGCUCACUAAGUGUCACACCCAUAUUUUAAGAAUAAAAUAGGAUGCAUAAAAGACUCAUAUGUGCUCCAGAAACAGUCGCACAUAUAGGUAGACAAAUCUCAAAUGUACCAUUGCAGUGUUAUUACAUCGUGGAACGAUAGUAAAUCACAUAGUCUUAUACAAUAAUGAUAAUAAGAAAUAAACAACGCUCUCGACGGAAGCACCACACAGGGACACUGUUGACUGGUUGACUCCAAGCCUAGUACUCAUAACGGUAGUCCUCUUUCCAAUCAUCUUCGUUAACAUAACCUGGGGUGUUGGGAAAUUGCAAGAGUGAGCACAUAUCGUACUCAACAAGUAUAACCAGGGUUUCAUGAGGCUCAAUAAGCUGACACUGGUUAGACUGCAUUUAGCUUUUAUAUGUAGAUAGCAUAUUUAUAUUUAGAUAGCAAAUGUCAAGGUACCAUAAUUCAUCCCAUAACCACAUGAUCAAUGUAUACAAUAAUUAAGAAUAACACAUAUAAACAACAUCAUAAAUCAUCAUUUAUCAUCAUUAAUCAUGUUCAUCAGUGUCCAUCUAUUCCGUCAGUUUUCCGGGCCGCCCGUAUCCGUGGGCACGGCUAGUAUACCAGAUUUAACACUCUGCAGAGGUUGUACAUCUUUACACAUGAGUCGUGAUUUACCCUUUCGUCCGAGGUUAUGAGUCUCUAAACCCCCUUCUAAGGGAGGUCGGCAGGGAUCACUAUGAAGCCUUUCAAAGGUUUCGUUUAACAAGUUAGGGCCAUUAGAUUCACUCGACAUGCAAAUAUAGAGCCCCCCUUCCAUGGCACAUAACACACAGCCUAUACACACGGACAGAGGCCGCACUAUACCCAACGUGUCUAGCCAUUCUUACGCCAUUUAAGGUAACCACUAACAAGCUAGAAAAAAGGUCCUCAUACUGAGCUAAAGUCAGAGCCAUAUAGCCCUCAUGGUUGUACGAAUUGUCCCAGCUUUUGCCAAGGGAUAAGUCCUUAUGGAGGGUUAAGAUCAAUUUAGCAAAAGCCAGAGUUCUUUCCACCCUUUAUAUUCAUGUUGCUAGAAAGCUUAUUAUAUUGUUUAUUGUAUAUCCAAAUAUUCAUGUUACAAGAUCAUGGAUUAAUAAUCAAGCACUAGCAAAACUACCCAAUGCAUAUCCAAAUAGGUAUCAAGGAAUCCAUGUAACAAUCAUAUAUGAUUUUGCUAAGGUUAUCAAGGUGGACACAUGCAUAUGAUAUAUGUGGUAUUAAUUGUGUAUAGGUAACAAGGAUAGUCCCAAGUUAUACUUACCUUGUUCAAAGCUCUCCUGAGCCUGCUGCUGGUCUUCAAAAGAUUGACCUUGAUCACCAACGUAUCGCUCACCGUCUAUACCCGAUCAUCAAUCAACAACACGCAUUUCAAUGGACAAUCAUACACAAAGCAAACAAGCUAUAAUUAGAACAUUACACCAAACAGAGGUAAAUCAAAGAUAAAAGUUUAUAAAAAUAUUCUACGUAGCACUAGGAUCACAAUAAUCAGAAAUAUCCUUACCAGACAUGCUAGGAAAAAAAGAUAAAUACUAGAAAAAUCUCACAAUAAUUAUUGGCCCCAACGGAGCCUCCACGUUAAUCCUUACCAGACAUGCUAGGAAAAAAAGAUAAAUACUAGAAAAAUCUCACAAUAAUCAGAAAUAUCCUGCCAUCAAAUCAAAAGACUCUAGCCACUCAUAACCAUUAGAUCUAUUUUAUUUUAAAGAAAAUUACCUACCUCUGCCAUAGUACUAAAUAAAAUAUUUUUAAAGAAAAAUUAAUAUUAACCAAGUUAACAUGAACGGUAGGCCCUGUUAAAUAUUUUAUUAACCGGUUUUAAAAGUAAGUAUUAAUUAACGAUGAGAUUAACUGACGUGAACUUACACGGUGUCCUUUUGGAUAUGUUUUAUAUUGAUACUAUAAUAGAAGCAUCCCCGCACAUUGCCACGGGAAUUACCGAUCAGUGGAUUGCAUGGUAUACAUAUGUCAAAAUAUAUACAUGUUUGCUUGGCUCCAUGAUAGAACAUAAAAUAUACUUAUUUUUAUUAAGAGUGUAUAAGUCCAUAAUUUAGAAAGAUAUAUGUCAUAUUUUAUAAUUUUUCGAUUAUUUUUCAUGACAUUUAAAUUAUUUGCAUGUAGAUUUGAGAGACAUUUUUUUAUUCUUUAUAUUGACAAUAUUUGAUAUUCAAAGGUGUUACUAUAUAUUUUUCCCUAAUGGCAUAUAUAGGCAUUCUAAAUGCACAGGGUCAGUAUAUACAUCAUCUUUCGUAAAUGGUAGCUAGAUGUGGACAUUUUAUAAAAGAUAUCAAAUAUUUUUUUCAUUUAUGUUUGCAUAAUGGAAAAGGUGGAUAGUUGAAUUAUAAAUUUAGAGCAUUAUUUUGGAUCAUCUUUCAUAAUGAAAGAGAUAAAUUUAGAGUAUUUAUUUCAUAAUGACAAAUAUGGAUAAUGUAUAGAUGUUAAUGUAGGGGUUAUUUUGAAUUAUCUUUCAGUUGAUGAACGCUGAAAACUUCUAGAUGUACAUCGAACAUAUGGAUUCUUAGUUUCGUAUGCAUGACGUCCUUGUUUUUUUAAGACUGUCAGGCCUCUUUCAAGCAAGUACAUAUGUGUUAUCUAAUAGGUGGUUAUAAAAUUACGUAAUUUCAAGACAACCUAACAUACAACGUUAUAACGGUUGUCUUUUGAGUUGCCAUAGAGUAACUCUUAUUUUUUUAAAAAAUGUGUGCAUAAAACAAAUCAAUGUUGUGGGUUUCAUAGCAACAUCAACUCAUACAAUAGUAUACAUAAUUAAUAGGGAUUUAUAGUAUAAAUUUUUAGCUUAUGGGUGAUUAUUUCACGAAACAUCGACCUUCUCUAGACCUCACCUUCCUCUUUUUACUUCACAUAUCACAAAAUCUUAGGCCUUGUUUAGUUCGCGAAAAAUUUUGACUUUGGCUACUGUAGCACUUCCAUUUGUAUAUGACAAUUAUUAACCAAUUAUGGAGGAAUUAGAAUUAAAAGAUUCGUCUCGUAAAUUACAGACAAACUGUGCAAUUAGUUUUUGUUUUUGUCUACAUUUAAUGCUCCAUGCAUGCGUAUAAAGAUUCGAUGUGAUGAGAAAUCUUGAAAGUUUUUAGGAACUAAACAAGGCCUUAUAUAUAGCAUUUAUACAUGAGACAUGUAACUAUAUAUUUGCGCAUACACACACACACACACACACAUAUAUAUAUAUAUAUAUAUAUAUAUAUAUAUAUAUAUAUAUAUAUAUAUAUAUAUAUAUAUAUAUAUACGGUAGCGCUAUUCUACACCCUAGGUGUAGAAUAUUAUUCUACACCGUAAGUCAAAAUUGAGUAGAAAAAAUACUGAGCAGUACUGGAGAGUGUUCAGUAUCAACUUGUCCAACACUCAAGACCAUAAAAUACUGAACAAUACUGAAACACGAAUACUGAGCGAUACUGAAUUUUGCUCAGUAUAACAGUUUGGUGUAGAAUAGUAUUCUACACCUAGGGUGUAGAAUAGUAUUCUACACAUAGGGUGUAGAAUAGCACUUAUAUAUAUAUAUAUAUAUAUAUAUAUAUAUAUAUAUAUAUAUAUUAUAGUUACAUGCAUACAGGAAGAGACGGAGAAAGAAGGAACACACGUACAACAGCUCGAUUAUUAUUAUUAGGUGCUAAUAAACACUGACCGGCGGCUGCUGGUCCGUGCACGCUACGUCUGGCGCGUCCUCAGGAUCCUCACCGCCGACGGUGAUGGCCGGGCAGUAGUAGACGACUCGCUUCGCGGUGUCGUUUUGUCCCGCGUAAUUCUCAACAAUGCGGCUGCCGCUGAACUUCAAGAGGGCGUUGCCAAUGGAGCCGCCACCAGAGAGUUUGUUCAAGACAUCCGGUGACAGGUGCUCCGGUGAAGAUGUUACGGAAACGACCAUAGCAUCCUGCUGCGCCACCAUAAAAUUAUCGACCUUGCAGACGAAGAACUCGUCGUCGUCUUCUUCCAACGACGACGACGACGACGAUGAUGGUCUGCUGAUGUUGGCCAGGUUGUCGGUGAAGUAGAUGCGGACGCGACCGCUUGGAUUGCGUGCCCAAAGGGUGAAUGUGAAGGAGAGUCUUGUGUUGCUCACGUUCUUUACGGACACGUAGCCUUCGUCCAGCCUGACGAUGAGGUCUGCGGGACGGAGAACCGUGGCGACGGCGUGCACGAUGACCACCACGACGAUCACAGCUACCGCCAAGGCAACCGCGUAGCGCCCGGCGUCCAGACACCGGAACUUUGGUUUCUCAUCGUCGCCGCCGACAGCCAUGCUAGCGUGCGUGGUGGUUCGGUAGCUACCUAGCUCGAUCUGCCUGCGCUAGUUGCUUCUAUUCUAUGUAUAUUAUGUAGUAUAUGUAUGUGUGGCGCUUUGCCUUCGCAUACAUGUCUUAAUUGACCUCUUCAUCGAUCCAGUCCAGGUACCUAUUUUUUUUACAUUUUGACCCUUGUUUUGAAAACUUUUUACAUUUAGCUCUCUAAGUGAUAUAAACUAAUGCUUGGAUCCUUGGGGUUGGCGCUAGAACUCAUGGCUCUGAGGUAACACAUCUUGGCGCCACAAAUCUUGGCUCCGAGGUGCCUGACCGUGCACAACAAAGCAUCCUAGAUGGCACUAAUUAACAUGGCCAGUACCUUUGGAGCCACAUAUCUUGGCUCCAAGGUUGGUGCCACAGAUCAUGGCGCCGGCCUCGGAGCCAUGGAUCUUGGCGCUAAGCUCUACACGGUCAAAUUUUACUCCCCGAGACUCCUCUCAUUUGUUCCUCCUCCUUCUCGGGUUCUUACUCUCCAUAGAAAUAACUACGUGGAGAGAUGGGGGGCCGCCCUCAAGGCCGGUUGCGCGGAGGAUGACGAUGGGGUGACGAGGGUGGCCUGAGCGUGUGGACGGGGGCGCGAGGGAGGAAGUCGGCACGCGACCAAUGACGGUCGGGGCGCUGCUAGCUGCCAAGGGCGCCCUGCUGACAGAGGAGGCAAGCGGCUUGACGGUGACGGUGGUGAGAGAGGGAAAGAAAAAGACAUAGUUCGAGAGGGAGAGAAAGGCUAGCGACGACGGGCCUUUAGGUUUUCUCAAUCGGCACCAAGACGUGUGGCUCCAAGCUCGGAGCCACAGAUCUUGGCUCCAAGGUUGGCGCCGAUCCAUGGCUCCAAGGUCGGAACCACAAAUUUUGGCUCCGAGUACCGGCCACGUCAGCGUCACUUAGAGCAUCUCCAAGAGCUCCCAAUAUCCACUUUGUAUUCUAUAUUUUUUGGCAAAACCACAAAUUCUCAUCUCCAACAACUUGGUAUAUGCACUUGGUAUUUUGUCAACUUGGAAAAGAGGAGGCUCCGCGCGCGUAUCCUUCCGCGCGCGUAGAGAGCGUGCAUCGGCCUUCUUUUCCUCCCUCCCGCGCCCGCUUCUUUCUCUCCCGCGCGCGCCAUCCCGCCCGCGCCAAACUCCGGAUCGUUCCCUCUUCUCCCACCGCAUAAAAGAAGCCUCCCGAUCCCGUGAAGAUUGAUCCGCAGGCGCCGCUUCUUCUCCUCUCCCUGAAGACCGGGAAGCCUCCUCGCGCCGCCGUGAAGAUUGAUCCGCAGCCGCCGUGAAGCCUCCUCGCGCCGCCGUUCUCGCGUGGAGGAAGGUCCGGCACCGCCCUCCAGCAGGUACCUAGGUUCUUCAAGUUAUCAUCUCGUUGUUCAUGCCGAGGAUGAUUACCUGAUGCUAGGGUACAUGCCGCUAGGGGCUUUAUGGAUUGUUGUGGAUUAUGUGUAUGCUGUUCUUGAUAUGAUCUUGUGAUUCAUAUGUUGCUGCAAUUUUUGUUUUGUCAACCGAUUAGGAUGGAAGUAGAUGGAGAUUUCUUGUCCGACAUUCUUCUCCAUGGAGAAGGGGAUUAUGUGGCUGGUUUGGAUGAGGUUCACGUUCUAGACACCCAAGACACUAACCGUAGUGAUGAAGUUGUGGACUUCAACGACAGCAGCUGCCGCGCGCCUUGAGUUCAUCAAACCUUUUCAGUUUUUUUUCAGCAACAACAACAGGGUGCAGAAACUGCUCAGACUAUUUGCUAAUAUAAGUUUUUGUUGGUUAAUAAUUGUUUGCAUAUCUAUUUACUUGCAUUCUUGUAUCUUGUGUGUUAUUUGUAGUAAAGCAGCCGCGGUGUGUCAUUCAUGGUGUGAUGCUCAGGUUGCUUCUGUUGUGUUUGUUGACUGCAGCUCACUAGUUGUUUAUUCUCAUGAAUUUUGAACCUGAGUUGCAAAUCAUAGUUUAAUCAAGCAUUGAUUUGAUUGCCCUCUUGAAUAGUGGCUUGUUUAGUACAGUAACUUAAUCAAAUAUGCUAUGUUCGUUUAAUAUUUUUACAUGUAAUUAGGCCUCUGAUAGUAUAGUAUUGUUUUGAUUUGAUCUUAGGAUUUGUUUGUUUUGAUCUGAUCUCAGGAUGGAAAGAGAUGAUGGAGAAUUCCUGUCCAACAUUCUUUGCAAUGGAGAAGGGGUUCAUGUUCCUGAUUUGGACGAGAAGUCCAUUCCAAUCACUCAAGACAGUAAUCCUGUUGAGGAAGUGCAGGCAAGCCGCAGUACCAAGGGAGGAAGGAGGUCCAAAAAUUUUCAUUACAAGGAUGAUGAAGUUGUUUGCUUAGGAUGGUUGAAUGUUAGCAAGGAUCCCAUCAACGGGGCUAAUCAAUCGCGUGGAACAUUUUGGGGAAGAGUUCAUGCUUACUACGAGCAACACAAUGAAACUGGAGUUCCUCGUACAGAGAGUUCCAUUAUGCAUAGGUGGCUGACAAUACAAUGGUCCGUGAACAAGUUCUGUUCGUGCUACGAGGCCAUUCUUCGUAGGAAUCAAAGUGGUACUACUAUCCAAGACAAGGUAUGAAAUAUGUAUUGAAUGUUUUAGUUGAUCUUAUUUUUUAAAUGUAUAUACAUUGACAAUAUUUCUGUUUAGCUUAAUGAUGCAAAGAAGUAUUACGCGGACUUAGAUAAGGACAAAAAGGCUUUUGCUCUUGAUCAUUGCUGGAACAUACUUAAAGGGGAGGAUAAGUGGAAAGCCAAGAUGGCAGAACUUGUAGAGCUUGAGAAACUAGCAGCAAGCAAAAAGAAACAGAAGACAACAAAGGUGUCCAGGCCAAGAGAUGAAGGAGCCGGCAAUGAUGUUGAAGUCAUAGAUGUUGGACAAACUGAGCCUACUAGGAAGAGGUCAGAUGGGAUAAAGAAGGUACAUAAUUAUUGUCAAGCAUUUUAUGUAUUUUACAUGUAUUUUUUCUUCAUGAUAAAACAUUUAUUUUUGAACUUAUCUGUAGGUAAAAGAAAAUCUUAGGCGAGGAGGUGGUGAGGCUUGCAUGGAAGCUUUGGAGAAGAUGUGGUCAAAGAAAGAGGCCUACGACAAGGUCAAGGAGAAGGCCAAAGAGGACAGGUUCUUGGCGACACUAGAGAUAGAGAAGGCUAUGCUAGAGCUAGAGAAGAAGCCGGUGGAAAAUGAAGCAAAGAAAUCUGAAGCCGACUUGAUGAAAGAAGGAAAAGAAAUUAUGUUAGCGGACAUGACCUCCCUCAACCCGAUGCAGCGUGAUUGGAUUGAGAUUAUGCAGAAGAAGAUUCUCGCGAGACAUGCUGAAAAUUAAGUUUAGUUGGUUGAAUUAUGAGUCAAUUUAAACGUUUGUCCAAGUUUAAGUUCAUGUAUGAGAAUUAUCCAAGUUUAAGUUUAUGAAUGAGAUUUAUCCAACGUGUUGGGUUUUUUUGGCACUAUGUGCAAGUUCCUGUUUAUGGCGACGUGCAUGAUCCUGUUGGGUUUCUGUUGUGUCCAAGUGCUGCUGCUGUUGGUGGUGUUGUUGGUGGCCGGCAAUUCAAUGCGUCAAGCUGGUGCUGACUAGGUGCUGCUGCCGAUCAAGUGCUAUUUUUAUGAAUUUUAUCAAGUUAGAAUACAAAACUGUUGGAGAGAACACUUUUUUUCACUUGCCAAAUCAAUUAGCAACUUGCUAAAACUGAAGAUUUAGCAAGUUAAUUUUACCAAACUCUUGGAGAUGCCGGUUAGGCACCUCGGAGCCAAGAUCAGUGGAGCCGAGAUGUGUUAUCUCAGAGCCAUGAGUUGUGGUGCCAAGCCCAGGGUCUAAAGAUCAGUUUACGUUUUUUAGAGGGGCCUAAAUGUAAAUAUUUUUCUAAAAAAGGGCUAAAAUAUAAAAAAUUGGGGUCCAGGUAGUACUAUAUAUGCAAGAUAUAUACAAGGUUCAAGAGAGAUCGGUCGAUCGAUAUAUCUAUACCUAAUAAUAAAGAAGCAAAAUUUUAAGCUCUGUUUUUUGUCCAUCUAUUUGUUUGGUUUGUCUCUCUCUAACUAUUAGACAAUGGAGAGCUUCCUCCAUCUGGACUUAUAUAUAAACCAUGCUCAUGCGAGUUGUAGCUCUUAUCUAACGCGAUACGAAGUCUAAUUCCAAAACGUAUUAGAUCGUGUAUGUGAUCCGAACUCUCUUGAGAUAAAUUGGAUAGCUAGAAUUCUAGUCUAAUCCUAAACUGAAUAGGAAUAGAAAUCAUGAUCAAAUAGAAAAGGAAAAACAAAAUUACAAACCACGACUCCUCCGUUUAUUAGUUUUAUGGAUGGUGGAGUACAUUAGGUUUCUCGUGUUCUGGUUUUGCGAACUUAUAUGGCAACAAUUAUCUCGUGAUAUCUCUCUUGGAUUGUAUAAUUCAUUUCCUAUUCCGAUACACAAUUAACUCAUGCUAUCUCUGGAUUGUACAAUUCCUUUUUUUUAUUCCAAUCCGCGGUCUUCGAAUACUUACAUAUACAAUUCCUUUCCUAUUUCAAUACACCAUCUUUGAAUCUUUGAAUACUUAUAUAUACUUCAACUAUUGAAUCAACAAAAUUAUCAUGUCAUCUCUUUAUUAUUAUAUUGUCUUAAAAAAACAUUUAUGUAGGAUGUUCCAAAUUAUUUGCUUUUCUAUUAAAUUUUUUCCACACCACUUUUUUGGAUGGAUUUGUUCCCUCACGUGAUGUUUCUAUGUUUGCUUACGUAAUAUUUCCACUUUUAAUUUCACAUGUUUUUUAUAUGAUUUUUUAUUCCUUUUUUCACCAUUGUACAUGAUGGUUUCCGAUUCAGUAUGGGACAUGAUAUUGUUUUUUCUUUUUUUCUCAAGGUCGUUUCUGAUAUUUGUUUGGUAGUUUUCUCUGUUCUGGAGAUUUUUAUUUGUUUCUCAUAUGGAGAUCAGUGUUUCUUGUAGUUUUAUAUAUAUUUCUAUUUUUAUGAUGAAAAGGGUAAACUAGAAGCAACGAGAUACACUUACAUACAUGUGCAUGAUGAUUUCUGAUUUGUUUGGCAAAUUUUUUCUUCUGUUUUUUCCAACAUAAUCUAUAUUUAUUUGAUUCAAGGAUGGAUUAAACUCAUUUAAAUUUUACAAAAAAAUUAUACAAUCACCAUGUAAUAAAUCGUAUGCCCCAUUGCAAUGUACGGCAUGUUUUGCUAGUAAAUAAAAAAUAAUCAAAGGCAGCCAAGAGGCGGGGCUACUUCCUUUAAUAAUCAAAGGCAGCCAAGAGGCGUGAAUUCAGCACGUACAAGGCAAGUAUAAAGCAACUCUAGCAGCUGUGGAAAGCUAAGGAAAUUUAAAGUAAGCGCUCGUCAGCUAGAUGAUUUAUUACAUAUACUCCCACCACAUCGUAUUUAGAAGUCGUUUAGGACAAUGACAGGGUUUCCAAAAUACAACUUUGACCUCUUCAUUUUAUAAAAAUAUUUAAGAAAAGAUGAUAUGGGUAUACUUUUAUGAAAGUAUUUUUCAAGACAGAUCUAUUCAUAAAAUUUUUACAUUUGCAAACUCAACAAAAUUUAAAAGUUAUUGAUGAUUUAUAUUCUCAAUGUUUGACGGCCAAAACGACUUCUGAAUCCGAUACGACGGAGAGAGUACUGUAGCUGAAGCCUCAUGCUGCAUAUAGCUUAGGUAGGUGCAUGAACUAUAUUCAACCCAUGCCUGCCCCUCUCUCUCUCUCUGUGUACUGUGUCGUCCAAUUAUAUUGCGGCCACUUUAAUUUGUAGCUAGCUAGCUACUACUAACAACACCGGCGGCCUGCGCUGCUGCUGCUGCUGCCGCCGCCGCCCAUGGGUGACGACGACGAUCAUGUUCAGGACAAGUCAUGGAACAUGAACCAUUACAUCCUUGCAGGUCUGUGUGGAACCCUGAUGGUGAGCGCCGUCGUCACCAUCACCUCCGUCGUCCUCAGCCCAGCGCAAGUCACCUUCUCCGUCGUCCGCGCCACAAGCAUGCAAGUAAUGUUGUCAAACGUCACCAACCUGAUGGUCACCAUUGCUGUCUACAACCCCAGCCGUCGGUGCCAGGCUAGAUACCAGAGCGUCUCCAUCAACCUCAAGAACAGCUCGACCGGAGCGGGGACGAGAUCGUCCAUCCCCGCCAACGUCGUCCCUGCCGACACCUUCCCCAUGGACUACGUACGGGGUCCCAAUAUCACACGCAUCAACUCCAUGGCUGGCCUGGUGGAAACACAAAAGGACAGGGCCUCCGGUUACGCCUACAGGCUGCACAGCGGUGCUGCGUUCACAGUGGAGGUGACGGCGCAGGUGCGCUUCAAGAUCGGGGUGACCCCCACGAGGCUCUACGACAUGAAGGUCUUCUGCCCUGGUGUCGUCUUCAUCGACGACAACAACUCAUCAUCCACCGCUCAGCUGGCCAACCAACAAAACUUCAACUGUAGUGGUUAACAUAUAUAUUUCGUCUUGUGUGUGUUUCUUCCAAGGGACCUGAUUAAUUAUUUAUAUUGCUCGAUCCGGCCAGCUCCCAAGGCAGGCACUUCAGUUUUUCUGUCCAUCACUUGCUAUUGUGUGUGUGCAUGAGUCUAUAUAUAUGCACAUUUAGAUGAGUGAAAGAAAAGGAUUUCUGAGCGUCAAUUUAUAUAUAUAUAUAUAUAUAUAUAUAUAUAUAUAUAUAUAUAUAUAUAUAUAUAUGCAUGGGAUUGAAUUGUAUUCGAUCGAGGAAAUACGUACGUACCAUCUUCUCAUUUAAAUAUCAAGGGCCAUGGCUGACUGAGAGUAUCUAAUUGAUCAAAUAUUAACAAAUCUACUACGUACUCUGUGUCUCUUAUAAACCCUAAAACUCUUCAAACCACCUAUUCGUUCUACUCUUCAUAUCCACGUUAAUUUGCAGACAUUAUAGAUGUCCUCUUCUUUUUUUACGACGAAAGAAGAAUUAUAUUAGAUAUUAGAUGGGUACAUGAAUAUGUUACAAACACUCUGGACUAUACAAAUCUCCGGAAAAAAUCUUCUAAAUUAUACCUACCUAUACGACGCUUUGCAGCAUGGAUGACCACACAGGCAAACACUCGGCAAAAGGCCUAAGAACAGAUGUGCCCAAUGAACGACGCCCAACAUUCAUAUAGGCGGAGUUGAGAAACUUCUUGCUAGUGUCUUUCUUCUUCUUCUUUCUGCUACCAAAGAAUGAGAGACUGAUCUGAAACUUAUUUUUUCUUUCAUCGUGGCCAGAUCUAAUCAUGCUAAACUUAGAAGAGACCGGAAAAAAAUAUUUCAUGGCGGCGACAACAUCUCCAUCUUGAUAUCGUCGUCCGAAAAUAAAAAUCUCCAUGUCAUCAAAUCAGUGAGGAUGUCAACGCCGUAGUUGUUGCCCGCAUCUUCAACGUAGCCGCCAUGGAGAAAACGAUUCUGUACUACCAUCUCACCGUCGUUGGAGAAGAGGAGGAAGUAAGUCGCCAAAACCACGAAACUUGGCAUAGAGAGACCCUAACCGUAAAAACUCGAUCUUGUGAAAAAAACUCCCGUGAAGGGGGACCAACGAUGAUGGAGAUAGAAGCGGCGGCGGCGGUGGCGGUGGCGGCAGCGGCGAGACGCUGAGCCCUAAACUCCUUUUUAUUCGAGAACUCCUUUUUAUAGAUGUCCUCGCUGACCAUAAAACAAUCAUACGUGUGUCUGCCCCGACGGGGUCACUAUCAGUGCGCUCAAACAUUUCGUACCGAGAGACGUCAGUGCAAACCAAGUGAUCUAGUUUUCAGAAAUCAGGUAGUCGGGUUUUUAAGGUUGUGCCGACUGUUCUUCCCUAUCGUGAUUCGGGCAUUCUAGUGCAGUGUCUGGCUGAUUUGUGCCAUCAGACUUUUCAGUGACUGAAUAGGAAAUGUGGCCUUUCACAACUAGAAUCGCAAUAUUUGCCUAGGUUAUUGUGAGUUCCGGGCAACCCGUUGGCAAGGUUAUGAUUGCCAAAUGGUUUUUAUAUCCCCGAUGCUACAACUGAUGACCAUCGGUUUAGACACUACCGGACACAAGGGCUUUGCCGAGUGUCUGUAGCACUCGGCAAAGGCCCAAAUAUACUCGGCAAGUCUUUGUCGAAUGCCACAUUAGGCUAAGGCCACACGGUAAAUUUCUGGUCGGCAAAAAGGUCUUUGCCGAGUGCGUUUUGUUGGGUACUUGGCAAAGCCUGAAAAUAUAAAAAAUAGGGAUUUUUUUUUUGGGGGGGGGGGAGCUGCCAUUGGGCAGCGCAAAAUUCACAGCCACGCGGCCGAUGGGAUUCGAACCCAUAACCUCCCUCUCACGCAUCUCCCUUUUUUAAGCACUACACUACACUAUCACUUAUGUUUAUGUUGCGUUUCGAUUCCUCAUAUACUAUACCAAAUUAUAUGUAAAUUGAUUGUUUGAGCCUCUAAACGAUUUCAAAUCAAAAAGUUGUCAAACAAAGCUUCAUACCUUUUUGAGGUCUAUAAUUUUCAUUUAUGGAGUUUCACUAUCUGAGGUCGUUUAAAAAAUUUGAAUUUCAAAUUUGAAAAAUUCAAACGUUCUUUUUGCAUGACAAGAUGAUUUCAAAUAAAUAAGUUAUCAAAUACUAAGUUUCAUAACUUUUCGAGACCUAAAAAGAUUAUUAGGGAGUUUUUCCAUCCGAGGUCAAUUCAAAAAAUCAAAUUUAAAAGUUUUCAUAUAAAGUUGUAGUUUUGCAUGACAAGAUGAUUUCAAAUCAAAAAGUUGUCUACUAAAAAGUUUCAUAACAUUUUGAGAUCUACAAAGUUUAUUUAAGGAGUUUUUCCAUCUGAGGUCAUUUCAAAAAAUCAAAUUUAAAAAUUUUCAAAUAGACGUAGUUUUGCAUGAUAAGAUUAACUCAAAUAAAAAAGUUGUCAACUAUAAAAUUUCAUAACUUGUCAAGAUCUACAAAGUUUAUUUUGGUUAUUUGGUCAUUUGUUCAUUUGACAUGGUAAUUCUAACAUUUUUCACAAAUCUUAUAUAUCUCCCUUAUAGUUCCUGGAACUAUAAAAGAUGUAAAAUCUGUGCACAAAUUUAUUUUCACUUCGUUAAAUAAAGAAAUGAACAAAAUAAAAGUUGUAGGUCUUGAGAAGUUAUACAACUUUAUAGUUGAAAAGUUUUUAAUUUGAAUUUAUUUGGGGCUUCAAAUAUUGAUUUGAAAUUUUAUUUGCCAAGUUUUUUUACACUUGACAAAGAAGGUCUUUGCCGAAUGUUUUUUUUGCCGAGUGUUUUUUUUAGCACGCGUAAAAGAGCUUCUUUGCCGAGUGCCAAAAAAAAAACAUUCGACAAACCACUUGACACUCGACAAAGAGCCGGAUUGCGAUAGUGACGUACAUGUAACGUUUUCUGGAGGCAUUCCGACGACAUACAUAAGAAGAUGCACUUCACUAAAAAUGUCAUAAAGGUAGUCCAAUUCUAUACUAUAAAACUAUUUGUUAUGUCAUAAAGACUGUUUUGCAAACGUUAUAAAUCCAUGACAAGGACAGUCUGUAGUAUAUCAUUUUAUUGAUCUUUUAAACAUUGUGCAAUGUGGCACAAGGGCCAAAUUGCCAAGAUAGGUCCCAUUGCCACCAAGCCAAGUGGGUGUCACAUGUCAUAUAUAUUUUCUCGUAGAUUACUCCACGUAUUAAUAUACUUGGACAUAUGCAUUAUACACGCUCAUCAGAUAGCCCAUUCGUCCCACGUAUUAAUAUAUAUACUACCGGCUUUGAAGUAGGUCACAUAAUGGAUUUCAUAACUGCCCGUGACACAUUUUUGCAAUCCAGGUUGCAUCCACUAACCCACAGUGGGAAAGAUACUUGUUUUCACAACUUGUUCAUGGGUCAAACUGCCGUGAUACAUAAUUUCGCUGCUGAUGCACACGUCCACUAGGGCCACCAACUUCACACCCGUUAGUAAAAAUGGCUGACACUGCUGAUUCACAGGAAACUAGACAUGAUGGGAAGUCGAUAAAAAAUUUUCUAGCGUAGUGUUAGCCAAUGAUGAAGUAUGUUUGCCAUUGUAACUAAGACAAAUUGUUUGAGAUUAUGCUUUUUUCCAUGAAACUUGAUGGAUUGAAUAUCUCUUGUGCCAAAUUGUUUGAAAAUGGAUUGAAUCUGUGUGUUGUGUAGAUGAACUAUGAUAUGUAGAGGAACUUGGCACACAAAUCGAUAUGAAGAGGAAUUAUAGCGUAUGAAUUAGUUCUUUAUUUCUAUAAACAAUAAUUGUUAAAUACAAACGAAAGUGCGAAAAUAGCCGAAUCCAAAAAUUUUCAUGAACUAAACAAGGCCCGAUAUUGGAAUUGAGUAAUGAUUAAAUGAAGUACACACAUAUGCAAAUGCACGUACGUCCAUUUUUUAUAAAAUCCUUGUUAUUGAUUGAAUGAAGUACACAUAUGCAAACAUGAGUAUGAAAGUAACCACCCUUGUUAUUGAUUGAUUCCUGUCUCCAACUUUGUUUGUGAGAGCUAACGAGCUUUAUCGGUGCCCCAGUUUAAGGAUAGGGUUCCUCUGGUUUUUUUGGAACUUUAAUUUCUGGACCAGCUGCUUCUAGCACAUGGAAGGAAGGACAGGAUGCCGCUCAAUUUUGUAAGUGACAAGAAAGAACAGGAUUCCCAUCUCCACUAGUAUUUAUUUGUUGGGACCACUCCAUCAGAUGGAAACAGACAGGAGCUUUGAUGAAGAAAACUAAAGAAACAAGGAAUACUACAAUCAUUAUGCAAGCACAUGAAAGACGCUAAGUCUUUUGAUUUAAACAGCAGUACUGGGCCUAAUAUGAAUGCAAAGAUGGAGCAAACUUUGGCAUGCAACCACGAGGUGCUCUGCUUCGUUGAAUGUUCUGCUAUGCAUGAUUUCGACCUUUAAUAAAGAAAAAGUAAAAUCCAAUAAUGGCGACUGUUAGUCUGUUACCGCGCAUGGCAUAUGCCGUUAUUUGGCACUGCAGCACGCAAGCAUGGGAUGCAAAGAUGAAGGCAACCUUGCCGCCCUACCAUGCUGUUAGGCCCAGUUUGGUUACAACUGAUAAACUUCAACUCCUAUCACUUCAAAUGUUUGAACACAUGCUUAAAAUAUUAAAUAUAGAUUAAAAAAUAACUAAUUGCACAGUUUGCAUAUAAUUUGCGAGACAAAUCUUUUGAGCCUAAUUACUCCAUGUUUGAUCACUAAUUGCCAAAUAAAAUAAAAAUACUACAAUACUUGUUAAACUUUACUGCCUCCAACCAAACACGAAUCUGAUACGUCUAGUAAUGCAUAGUGACAUAAGAUGUUGUAAACAUGGCUCGAUCUUCCGAUAGAUAUGAUAACUUUGAUUGAUUGAGAACUCGACGUUCACGUUCUAGGUUUCAAGCCAAGUCUGCUUCAGAACCCCAUAACCCUUACACUACUUCUAUUGGUUAUCAACCACGGACAGCGUCACUGACCUCGUCAAGACGAAGGCUUUCCUGCAAGCAAAUCAAGAACACAAGUAAGAACAAGAUGAAUUGUUACUUUCAUUAAACCAAGACAAUUUUGGUCCAGAACAUUAUUUUCAUGUGCGCAAGCUUUGCCAAAAAAUAUAGGGGGCAUAUUCUGAUGUGCUUAUAGCCAUUGAAUAUAAGGUGAGCUCAUUCUUGUGUUUGCAUAACUCUGUAAAUAGGAAUUCAAUGCUACCCAAUGUCAUUGCUUUUAAUAUGCUUCGGAACAAUCAUGAUGAUGUUGAUGUAAACUUGGGAAAUACGCUUCCUAUGGCCUCUGCAACAAAUGUGACAUGGAUACACCACGUACAAGACAAAUCUUGGUCAACUGCAAUCUCAAUCAUCGAAGCCCAACAUUGGAUUCAUUGGUAUCCCCAUAGUAAUCAUUUAGAAUGCCAUAUUUCAUCCAUCCAAAGUGACAUUAUGCUCCACGAGCACACGAUGAAAAGUUUGUUUGGCAAACAUUCAUAUGGAUCUUAUACCACAUCAAUAUCACAUCGGGAAGGUCUUCAAAUAUUAUCAAGACAAGCUGUUGUUCUUUCUACCUAUGGGCCUAUCAAUCAUCCUUAGGAUCCCGUCCAAAGUGACAGCACACCACGACCAUGCAUAGAAUAGCUCGACAAAGCCCAAGGACGUCCUCACCCAUGGGCACCACCUUAUAAGUCCAGCUAGGCACCCAAUUCAAGUUGGAGGCCCAAUACAUAAUAAGUUAGUCCAGGUUGAACCUCAGGAGCUACCUGCACUAAAAUGGAUGCUCAUGUCACAUACAAACUCCAUUUUGGAUGUUCUACAUAUGCAAGGAAAGCUAAGGAGAUAAGCUUUGCAAUGGAAAUGGUCCCAUAUCAAAACUACUUCGAAAUCAAGGGGAACUGACAAAACAAUUGGACAUCCAACACACAUACUCCUCAAAUAUUCUUCACUGCCCUGCUAGCAGCUCCCCCACUAGAUCUAUAGUUUGGACUAUCAUUUCGAGGUCUUCUUUUACUUUGUUCAACAUAAUGGCGCCUUAAGACCACCAGAAGGUAAAUCACUAUAUGUUACACCACACCUUCUCUAAGUUGUGGUCUUAGAAGAAUGGGAUUUUUAAUUUCAUUUUAUAUGAGUGUUGACCUGUGAUUUUUUUCCUUGUUGGUAACAAAUAGUUGUCCUAAGAACUUAUUGGUACCUAGUGUAGCUCAAGGGAUACCUUUGUGGUUUUAGAUCUGAGUUUGAUGUACCCAUAUAUAGUUUUCCUAGCUGUGGGGAUACUAGAUCUAACCAUGUAGUGGGCGAGGCGAUCCAAUCACAUAAUCCAAGAGUGGUUAUGAUCUGGGUUCAGUAUAGCACCUAAGGUUUUCCUAUGAUUGGAAUCUUAGAUCUGGCCAAUGAGAGGAUGCGGUAAUAGUCCUACUGCCCAGAUCAAUCUAUUUUUUUUCUUGUCGGUACUAGCCACAUCGAUCUAAGUUCUAUAGAUCCUAUGGACUACAGAAGUCUCCUUGCUCUAUGUAUUUUAGAUCUAAUCUAGCCUGAUGGGGUGGGGGUUCCGGGUUCGAGAAAGCGGGGUUAUCUAUUUGCACAAUCCAAUGUGGAUUCAUCACAAUUCAUUCUGCUAAGGUUGCCUAAUAGGUGAUCAUCGUGGUCUAUAUGGAAUGUUUACAAGCAGGUAUUUACUCUAAUAACUACUGUGCUUACAAACAGUGAUAUUGUGCUAUGAAAAAUACUUUGUUGGACAAUAGGUUAUCUUACCUAUUAAUUUGCUUUUCAUGAUAUAAUUCUAUUAUGGUAAUAAGAGCUCGUUUUUAUUCUUUUUUAUUAUGGGAACUGUUCAUCUACUAUAGGGGAUUCUUAUUUUUCUUUGAUUCUAUACUGGAUAUGAAUCAUUGUCCGGUGUGCAUGAUUGCAUUCAUGUUUAUAAAUAGCAAGUAUGCACGGUAGAACUUGUUCUGGGCAUCAAGAUUCAGUUUCUCACUAUAUCUGGUAUGGGACAUCUGAACCAGUGUUGUUACAAAAGCGAUUGCAACACUGCAGCCGUGUCUCCAUAUUGAGGCCAGGAGACAACUACCAACAUUGUUUCCUAGAGGCAUCCAUUCCACUUCUUCACAAGGAAUGUGUGUGUGUGCAGGAUAAUAAUGUGAAGUGAAUUACCGAAAACCUUGUGGCUAUUGCUGCUCCUGCUUCUGUCUUCGGUGGUAAGAAUUUAGGUGCCCCAGGGAAUGUUGAGGAUGACCAUGAAGAAGCUACACCAUUGAGCCAGGAUGCCAUGAAGAUAUAUGAACGUUUGAUUGGGGUCCAUGUGGCAUAUUUUCGUGCUUGCAAUGUCCCUUACAUGACCAUCACUUCUAGGAGCCCCCCUCCCCCCACUACUGCAGAAAGAAUAACCGUGGCGGACGUUUUUCCUUUUCCGUAGCGGGCAAACGUGUCCGCCACAGCCAUAAGGCCACGGUAAAUCGUGGCCACUUCGGUGGCGGGCGCCUAUGACCACUGCGGUUAAUCUAUUAACUACAGCGGGCAACGUAUGCCCAUUUACCGCAGCGGGCACUUUACGUUGCCCGCUACGGUUAAUAGAUUAACCGUAGCGGGCGUUUUAUGUUGUCCGCUACGGAUAUUGCUAUUAACCGUAGCGGUCGAUUUAUGUUGCCCGCCACGGUUAAGUAUUUUUAAAUAAAAAAACACCUUGCAGAACCAUUACUGCAUAUGAAUUUAAACAAUUUACAAAUUCUAGAAUCUAGAUUUCAUUUCAGAAACAGAAGUUAUAUAUAUAGACACACAUAUGCCUGGAAGUUCAAUACAUAGGACACAACAUAAUAUAUAAAUCCACUUAGUUGUUCUCAUCAUCCACAUAUACACAUAUGAAACCCACGAAUCCGCUACACAUCACAAUUCUACUGCGUGGGUGUAAUUCGUCGGCCGUAGCAUGGUGUUCCAUCUCCUAAGCUUCUCGAACUCUGGUCGAACUGCCAAUUCACCUUCAUUGUCGAAGAAUUGUUCGCCUUUGAGCACGCAUUUCUCUAGGAUGAACUUACAGAUGUCCGCCUUGAUUUGCUUAAAAGCUUGGCGUUCAUUCUUCAUCGUCUCUCCAUGAUUCUUCACUACUUCUUUGAGCUUCUUCCAGUUGUUGGUGUACUCCUUGCUUUCCCUUAGGUUCUCGCAGGUGUACAAGCCACAUGCCUUUGAUCCCAAGGGUUGUUUGGUGCACUGCACGAUCGAUACAAAAGCAUUACAACACAUAUGUACCAAAAGCAUGAUUGAACUACCUUUAAAAUAUACUUACGGGAAAUCGCGUCGGAUUUUGAGGUGGUGCUUAUGCCUCUUCUUAAAUUUCUCCGUUCUCCGAUCCCAGCAUUGCGGAUCCUUGAGAUAUGCACUAUAAGCGCUGUACGAAGUGUAUUAGUGUUAGCGUCAAUUUGAAUAUGAUAACCGUAAAGGAUCAAUAAGCUCGGUGGCUUACUUUUUUAAGCAAUCUUCGAAGGCCUUGUACCCCUUUUUGUUCGGUACCUGUAACGAGUCAAAUAUGACAGCCCGGCCAUCUUGAGGAUAGACAAGGAAGGCAACCAGUGGCCACCGGCUAGGUCAUUUGUACACCAUUGAAACAAGUAUAGGUUAUGUCAACGAGAAGGCAUGACCCUAGCCACUUUUGCUCUACAUGGAUGUUUUCGACUUACCCAAAGUGGUAGGCAGCCAUAAUACAAUGCGGCACAUCCAGAUUGAGCUUCUUCAUUACUUCAAAGAUGUACCUUGACAAUUUCUUCUUCUCCUCUUUCAUGUUUUCUUCGUACUUCUUUUCCCUCUGCCGCACGGUCAACUCUGGGUCCGUUAUCUGGAAACCCUUGAUCACUCUCUCAGCAAUAUGCAUUGGAGAGAGGUAUAGGAUAGGAUGGUGCCUUUUGUUGCUAAUAGUGACCGUCAACCUGCACGAACAAGUCAUUGUGUCCUAAAAAUCAUAUAGUUCUCCAAUACAAAUGUAGAGAUUGGUCUAUGAAGGUCGCAAUCAUCACUUACAGAGAGAAUAAGGUUAUUUGGACGUUGUCAAGGUCUUCUUCCCGCAAUAGAUUGUACAUGUCCUAGAAGUCCACAGGCAGAUGAAUAUCGGCACCGGGCAAGUGGAACAACUCCGAGGGAAUCUUGACGGUGAAACCUGUCAUCUCGGCUUUUGCCGCUUCCAUAUACCACAGGUGGAACUUCCUUGUAUCCCACUUUUCAUCAUCGAUGAGCUGGGCCUUAGGUAGCAUGAACUUUCCAAGCUCAUAGUGGCUAGGACAGUCUUUCGCCUCGGGAAAUAGAUUGAUCUGGACAGUAUUUGUAGGCCUGGCAAAACAUAGUUACAAAUGUUAUUACCAUUUCAUGUGUUAGAAACAGUUACGAGAAUAUUAUGCUUGUUUGUCUCAUACCUUUCAGAUGUAGUAGUGUACGGGAGCAGUGUGGCGGUCAUGCCUGCAUCCUUGCUCGGUGGAGGAGGGGCUUCAAGCAUAGGAGUAGAUGUUGGCGGUGGUGUCUUAGUCCUUGUUGCCUCCUUCGUGCCUCCUUCUUUGUCUGCUUGGGCUCCGAGGCGGAUUAUUUGAAGGACGGGCACAGGUUGCACCCAUGUCUUUGUCCCCCUCAUCUACUUGUGCCUUCUCCUUAUCUCCGCCAUCGUCCUUGUUUUGUGCCUUCUCCUUGUCCUGGCUAUGUCUAUUGCCAUCACCUUGUCCUUUGCCCUUGUCCUCGCCAACGCCUUCAGCAUCAUCGCCACUGCCAUCAGGAUCAUCUGGGGGACAAGAUCCAGCCACUGAUCGUUGUGAUCCGAUAGUUGAUGGCUGCGAUGCUGGUGUCGGUGUCGGAGUUGGUGUCGGUGGAAUGAUCUUGAUGUCUUCCUUGUUCCACAGAACUUCAUGACCAACGGCCUGCCGAAGAAAUCUGACGUGCUGUAUGUUUGGAAGGUCCAAUUCAUACUCUACUUGCUCUGGCACAUUCCAGAGUGGGGUCACGACCACAUAGCCUUCUGGGAUUUCCUCUGGGAUGAAAUCUAUGCUUUUGGGAUAUAGCAUUCCCUCAGCUAUAUACAUCUUCUUGGAUCUUCCGAACGGAAUCAGGAGCUGGACGUGUGUGUCUUUCUGGACGUCCUCGGUCCAGUGCCUUGGUGGACCCUCGAUCAUCGGCAGCCCUUGUGGUUGUUGAAGUGGAGCCGUGGCCAGGCCAGCCUCGCGAAACGUCUGUGACCUCAUCGCCACCAUUUCAGGCUCAUUGCUCGUGAAGGCUUCUUUUAUUGAUUGUUUGAUCACCUCAGCCAUGCCUUCUUCGAAGCCUUUCUGAUACAAUGUGUCCUUGUACUUCUGCCUCGACUUGUAUGCGGAUGCGUCGGCCUACCACGACUCGACCAACUUCCAGCUCAUCUUGCACUGGACUCCACGAACACGGCCGCGAUGCUCUGGGGUUCUGAGGACCUCGGUCAGCAAGUCAUGGCCCCUGCGGACCUCGAUGUUGUCCUUAGAUUUGGCAGCCUGGACGAGAGCCUUCUCCAACUCCUCAUAUUGCGGCUCGUUGUACUUGGUCGCGCCUGGCUUUAGCUUCUUUGGAACGCGGGCAUACAUGAACUCCUUAGCCCUGACAUCGACGUCUUCAUAUGGAUCGGGAAUCCCAGCAGCCUGUCUAGCCUGUUCUUCUGCCCGCCAUCGAGCCUUAUGUCCGACGUAGCCAAUCAUGCCCAAGUGGUGCAGAUGCUUGUUUUGUUUCGCCAGAGCAUGGAACUUGGCACUCUUUGCCUCUGCUUCGGCGGUCGUCCUCAUUUGGCAGAAUUCUUCCCACACAUGCUCCUUCACCAUAGUGUAUUUCUGGCAGGGUGACUUCUUCUUCUUCAGAAAGUCCUGUGCCAGCAUCGACUUGAAGUUGCGAAAGGCACAAGAUGCCACGUGCAUGGCCCACUCACAACACUUCUCCAUGUCUGCGCCUUCGGGAUAAGUGAACUUCCGGGUAACCUCACCCCAUACAUUGCCCUUGACGUCUUUCAGGACCUGGUGCAAGCUCGACCAAGUGAUCAACACCUUAUCUCUGACUAUGCAGGACACUUGGUUGCUGAACCGGCCAAGUACCUCUUGCGGACUCACUUGGUUUCCUUCUGGCCCCACCUCAAGGAUCACGUGCACCACGUCAGUCAACUCCCUCUGGUGCCUCCCGUGUUGCCUCCUCCUCCGCUUCUGCUUGGAUUCUGAGGUUGUCGUGGAGGGAGUGGGGCCUUCUUCCUGUCUGUUCUCUUCUCCGGUCCCAAAGUCUAACUGGCGAGGCUGUGCAGGAUUGGAUUCGGUAUCCAGGUGGCGAGACUGUGCACUGUGGGCUUCGUCAUGCGCCGGGUUGUACGUCAGAUCUACGUCUUCCUCGGUUCGACGUUUCUUUUGUGGUGGGGUCACAGACGCACCACUUGCAUAGCUAGUUGAAGAUGAGCUAGGUGUAGGCUCCCUCCAAUUCUGGAACGGGUUGUCCGCCAUUUCUAUGUGCCCAAACACAAAUAUAAAAAAUAUAUUUCAGUGAAAUAAUUAAUCAGGUUACUGCAGGAACUUAGGAACCGAAAGAAAAACAUAAUGGCAACAGGAGCUUAGGAACUGAAAGAAAAACAUGGCACAAGAUAUCACAAGCAUGGCAUUAGGAACUUAAAACCACAUUUAUGGUGACCAUAGUUACUCCAAAAAUUGCAGUCGAUAGCAUUAAACAAAUUUCACAUUUCAAAGUGCAUUAAUUCAUAAACAGUCCAGUCAGGCAGUAUUGAAAAUCAAGAACCAAUCCUGCAGCUAUAAAAAGUGCAUCAUUUUCCUAGUGCUACAUCAAGGUACUAAAUAAUUAAUCAAAGUGAUAAUGACACCAUACUUUUUUUAUAAAUAAAACUCUGCUUCAUGUUCUAAUUCUUUCAUGUUGCUACAUGCUCAGCUGCUUAUCUUAUGUGUUGGUUUGAAAAGUGAAAACUAUAGUGAAUGUAGAAGAUUACAUGCUCUCAGUUCCUUACAUUGUUUUAGUGUGAAAAGGAAGGCUUUGAACACAGGCUGUCAAUUUGUUUUGUUCUGAGUAUUGUAUACUGAGAGAUGCUAUAGGAUCUUCAGUGAACUGCCAAUAAUACAAGCUUGCUAAUCAGCCACUAAGCAUCAUUGAAUCAUUGAUCACAAGCAUCACUAAGCAAUCUUUGUUUGUGCACAGUUUUAAGUGACUGAUAAGGGAGUAGUAACUAGUAAUAGUAACAGCAGGUAUACCAACUAACCAAGUCACUAGCAUCGACAUCAGCAUUAUUACUACUUUACUACUUGAGGAACAGAACGCUACUCAUUCUGAAGUUUAUUACCCAAACCAUAUAUAUACCAAUUAUGGAUCCGACUGAGAUAGAUAUCAAUCAUUUGAAUGCAAAAUAAACAAAUAAAUAAAUUAAAGUUUAAGUGCAGGUAUGACAAUGAUCUGGACUAAAAAGGUUUAUAUAUAUAGCAGAUGUAAAGAGCAGAGAGGAGCGCGCUCUUCUACUGGCUCACCGAGAAACAUGGCUCAAUAUUAAAAAACAGGAUCAAAGAAAACGUUGUGGGAAUCAUUCCAUAGUCAGAUAAUUUGUAGGUCCCUACACUUGUCAGAGGGGAAAUGGGUAGUAUGACGUUUGUUUAUAGCAUUGACCUGACAUUACUAUGGGGAAGAUAUGCAUGGAUAAGCAAAUGUGAACCAGGGUAACUGAUUACAGUGAGCAGCAGAGAAACAAAUAGUCUGUAUCUCACAAGCCACAAAGAUAAUACACAUAGCCAAUUGCAAGCAGGGAAUGUAAGAGCAAGCAGGGAACAAGGAAUUCAAUUUCAAUCCGAGCAAGCAACAUUAGGGCUUCCUUACCAGCAACUAGGGUCCGGUCUGAUUCCCGCUCCGCUCAACACCGACCAAGCAGCACCAGCGCAGCGCGAUGGCGGCUGCGAUCGAAUCCUCGCUCGACUGGGCGGUGCGCUGGGAUUCGCUAGACCAUGGGCGGGGGAGCGCGGUCGCCGUAGGGGGGCGAUGGGGCAGCCGCCGGCCGGUCAGUGGCCUCGUAGCGCCGCCGCGUGUGGAAAAGGGGACGGAGUCGACGAUGACGGCACGGCCGGGGACUGAGAACGCGGCGCCGGCGGCGUUCGAAAUUUUGGCAGCCCUUCGGGGUGAGGAAGAACCGCGCGCAGGACUUAGAAAAAUUCAGUGGAGGGAGCGAGUCUUUAUAGGCCAGACAUAACCGAAGCGGGCAUCCUAAGGAGCCCGCUACGGUAAAUAUUAACGGUAGCGGGCAGUUAAGUAUGCCCGCUUCGGUUAACAUUUACCGUAGCAGGCAUCUUAAAAUGCCUGCUACGGUACACAGUGAACAGAAUGUUUUUAUUUUUUAUAAUGUAAUUUUUAUGAUAAUUUGACAUUUGUUAUUAACUACAGGGAUAUUAAUAAAUUGACAUUUAUAAAUAGCUAAAUUACAAAAUUACAUAUCUUAAUUAGCUGAAAUAUAAGGCUUCUCUUAAAAAGAUGUGUAUUAUACAAUAAUUGUCCACUACUUCAUUACAUAGAUGUGUGCUAUGUAAUUGUCCACUAUCUUAAAUUCUCCACUACUUCAUUAAAUAUAAGACUUGUCUUAAAAAGAGGAAUUACAAUAAUUGUCCAUUAUCUUAAAUAGUUCUCUCAUUUUGGUGCAGGCGCUUUCACGGACCGCACCUCACCAUCGUGUCGGGCCCACGGCUUCAUUCCACUCUUGUUGCAACGGUCCUCGAUGGCCUUCACCUUCUUUGGUAGAUCGGUAAAUAGCUCGAGCUCUUCAUAGUUGUUGUAUUGUUCUGGGCUCUGUACCCCAUCAUCUCCAACAAUCCGUUGCUUUCCUGACACGACCACAUGCCUCUUUGUGUCCUCCGGAUAGAUAUAGUAGGCCACUUGCGCGACAUUGGUUGCAAGUACCCACUGAUCAUCUUUGUAGCCGGUACUUUUGAGGUUCACGGUGGUUAGCCCAUAGUUGUCCACCACAACGGCUUUUGGGUUAACCCAGUGGCAUCGGAAGACGGUUACGCAAACGUCUUUGCCAUAGUCAAGUUUCCAUAUUUCUUCGACUUGCCCAUAGUAUUGCGUCCUUGAGUUUGUGGCCUCGUCGACACCCUCAUAUCGAACAUCGUUGUUCUGUGCGGCGCUCUUCUUGUCCUUUUCUUUCGUGUGGAACCGGUACCCUUUGACAUCAUACCCUUGCCACGUGGUGACUUGGGUGGACGGACCUAGCAGAAGCUUCUUAACGGUGUCUGUAUCUUCAUCAGGGCAGCCUUCUACGGGUACGUGUUGCUCUUUAAGCCAGGAUAGGAAAGUGCUCUUGUGCUCUUUCUGGACCCAUUCCUCUGUGUGUUGUCCAUCAUGCGCGGCGUGGAUCUCUUCCACAUGUCUGUCAACAUACUUCUCCAUGCUGACUAACUGAUGAAGGAUACUGUAAUGAGCUUGUUCCACAUCUUUGUAUGGUAUAUCGGUGCGUACUUUGCGUCUAGUACACCCCAUCCCCGCGGUUCUGCCCUCGUGCUGAUGGACAGGCAUCCCAAUCGCUCUCCCAUCUCUUAUGUACCUCAUGCACCAGUUCCUGGACUCCUUAGUUGUGUAUGCCUCGAUCAUGGAGCCUUCUGGGUAAGCACGGUUAUGGACGUAUCUACUGAGGGUGGACAUGAACCGCUCGUACGUCCACAUCUGGUGUAUGUACACGGGGCCAAGUUGCUCGAUCUGAUCAACCAUGUGCAUCAUCAGGUGUGGCAUAAUAUCAAAGUAAGACGGAGGAAAGCACAUCUCGAGCUGGCAGAGAGUCUCUACAAUGAACUCCUUCAGGGCAGGCAGGUCCGCCUUACUGAUGACCUUCUGGGUGAUACGGUUAAAGAAGUAUGACAUCCGAGUGACCACCAUCUUCACGUAUUCUGGACCGAUAGCCCUAAUCAUGAUUGGAAGGAACACCGUCAGCAUGACGUGACAGUCAUGUGAGUUGUAGCCAGCCAGUGUGAGGUCUUUCAUGGACACCAGACUCUUGAUGUUGGAAGAGAAACUGGUCGGCACCUUGAUACCCCUCAACAACUUGAGCAUAGCAAUCUUCUCGUCAUGCCUUAGGUUGUAGGAUGCACCUGGUAGAUCGACUUUGCCGUUAUGAGUCGGACCCGGGUGAAGGUCCUUCCUGAUGCCCUGGUUCACAAGAUCCAACCGUGACUUCAGGCCAUCCUUCGUCUUGCUCUUGAUGUCCAAUAGGACACUGAUGGUGCUAUCGAAGACGUUCUUCUCGAGGUGCAUGCAAUCAAUGGCAUGGGGUGUUUUCAGGGUUUUCCAGUAUGACAGGUACUUGAAGAAAAUCGAUUUCUUCUUGAAAGGGAUAGGCGGUGCGGUGUCCUCCUUCGUGUCCCGCUUUCGCUUGUCAAUUUUGUCCCCUCUUCUUCUUGCCAAACUCUGUGAUCUGUAUCCUUCACCAUCUCAUACACCUUUGGCCCCCAACUAGUCUACGUCGGUGCUUCACCCUUCGGCUCUUCCUGAUCAGUGAAGAACUGAUUCAUAACACUUCUUCUAUACCUAUGCUUCUUGACAAGGAACCGUUUAUGCCUCAUGUACACCAUCUUGUGAGAUCCCUGGAGAUAAGUGUAGCAGGUCCCGUCGAUGGACACUACACAGUCGGUCUUCCCUUUGAUCUGCCCUGAUAGUGAGAAGAGACCGGGGUAAUCGGUGAUGGUGACAAUGAUGAUGGCUUUAGGGUGAACUUCUCUUUGUGGGAUGCAUCAAUCAUCUCUACCCCAACAUCAAAUAACUCCUGUAUUUCCUCCAUCAACGGCUCUAGGAAGACAUCAAUAUCGUUACCAGGCUGCUUCGGUCCUGAGAUAAGCAUGGUCAGCAUAAGAUACCUUUGCCUCUGACACAGAUGGGAAGGUAGGAAGUAGACGAUGAGUACGACCAGCCAGGUGCUGUGCGAGCUGCUAAGCUCACUAAAAGGGUUCAUCCCGUCAGUACUUAGCGCGAGCCAAACGUUCCUAGGCUCCUUACCAAAUUUCGGGUAUGCCUUGUCAAAAUCUUUCCACUGUUAGCCAUCGGAUGGGUGCCGCAGCAUGCCAUCAUCCUUCUUGCGGUCAGCUGAUGCAUGCCAGGACAUGAGCUUGGCAUCCUCUGGAUUCCCGAAUAGUGCACACAAGUGGUCGGUCAUAGGCAGGUACCACAACGAUAGUGCCGGACUUUUCCUCCACGUGUAACCCUCUUCUUCCUCAUCCUGCUGAGACGAGAUGCGAUUGGCUGCGGCACUGCUAUUCUUGGCCCCCUUCUUCCUCUUCGGACCAUCCCGCAAGGCCACAUCGUCGUCUUAGUCCACAUGACAUCCAGCAUUAAUCUUGUAGCGACUGGCGCCGCAGUGCGGACAGCUCGUCAUAUUCUCAUACUCCUUGCCUCGAACAGGAUGCAGUGGUUGGGUUAGGCAUCAAACUUUCUAAGUUUCAUCGCAACUGGACGAAUCAACUUCUUCGCACGGUAGGUAUUUGUGGGGACCUUGUUACCUGUCGGGUACGUGGUAGCAAGGUAACUUAACAGGUCAUUGAAGCUAGUAUCAGACCAGCCAUGUCGCGCCUUCAUCAUCAACAUGUGGAGGUUGAACCAGAGCACCGUACACUCCUUUGGACAAUUGCCGCCGUCCUUAUACAGUGGAUCAAGUGCAGCCUGCUUCAUCUCCCUGAAAUUUUCCAACCACUUUGGGGGGCCAUACACAACGUCGUAUUUAUCGAUGUGGCUGACUAAACCCUCGAUCACCUCGAUAUCCUCUGGUUCUUACAUGGUAGCCACCUCGCCAUCUGCAACACCAUUUGCCAUCUCCCCAAGUAUAUCCUCCACCGUGAUGUAAUCACAAGCACUGUCAUUGUUGCCACAGGUUGGCCCUACAGUCGUUGUAGAUGAGAUGGGCGCUCUAGGUUCUUGGUUCACGGUCGUCGACGUCGAGCUCAAACCAGAUGCAUCGCCACUGGGGUCCACUCUUUCACCGUGAUGAGUCCAGACUGUGUAACCCUCUAUGAAACCAAACCAAAUCAGGUGAGACUGCACCGUACCGUCAUUAGUGAAGGCUGUCAAGUUCUUGCAGUGAGAACAUGGACAUAUGGUUGUCGUCCGCUUCGAUCUCUCACGGUGAGCUUUCGCCGCGGCAAUAAACUUCAUCACUUCGACAAGGUACCGCGGGUCAAGCACCCGAUUCAUCCCGUACAUCCAUUCCGACCUAUCCAUCUCAUGCCUACGAACCGUUACACAUCGAACAAAGAAGGUUUCAUAUGCAUCCAUUAAGAAUCUAGACAAAAAAGACAGCUUUCUCUCUCCUCCAUGAAACUAGAUAUAGAUCUACCUAUAUAUAUAUAGACAUAAAGGGAGGCUCAAAAGUGAGAGAAAGAGGAGGGAAAGAGGGGAGGGAGUUCCUGUGUACUUCUUAUGAUGUUCUACUCCACCAAAUCAAAGUUCUAAACCACGAUUCAAUUGUUUGGUCAAAUUUUAGGGCAAAACCACUCCCCCCCGCGAUUUGGAAGAGAGCAGCCAUGAGGAAGAAGAAGAGGGUCGGCUGGCUGCUAUUUAUAGCGACUGAACUACCGAAGCGGGCUUCAUAAAGCGCCCGCUGCGGUUAAUGUCAGUUAACCGAAGCGGGCAUCUUAACGCGCCCGCUACGGUAAAUGUAUUAACCGUAGCGGGCGGGUUAUGAUGCCCGCUUCGGUUAAUACGAUUAACCGAAGCGGGCACUUUAUAUUACCCGCUGUGGUUAAUCAUUUACCGCAGUGGGCGUUCCUGUGCCCGGGAGUAUUCGCGUGCGGUUGAACAACCAUGGCGGGUGAAAACUAUGCCUGCCACGGAGGUGGAAAUAGGCUCGUUGCGGUUAAUCAAUCCUGUAGUAGUGUCAGUAGUAGCCAUGUUGAUCUUGUUGAUGGAUUAGUCCCACUGGGCAUGCCAAAAGACGCGUUGAUGCAAAAGUUAAUCUGCAAACACAAAGGGCUAAUACCUGAUUCAAACGUUGAGGCGUGUCAGCCGAUUUGACCUAGCAAUCGACAAAGGUGAUAACUUGAACACUUUGGUCUUGACAAUAGCGAUGCGCCCGGAUGUCACGGCCAAGAGGUAUUCAUGCGGAACUCGAGAAUUCGUCGAGUAUGACUCGGUGAACCCUUGAGAACUCAUAGGAAAAGAAAAAUAUGCGAGUUGAGAAAGUCGUCGAAAAAAGUAGAUGUAAAACUUAUGUAUGAUAUUGAUUGAUUGUCUUCUUACAUCGCCACUAGGCCUAUAUUUAUACUCUGUCCUAAGGAGUUACAACCGUAUACAACUAGAAUUUAAUUCUAAAUUGUGGGGGUAUAAACCCCUAUACCCUUACGGCUAGACUUGGGCCAGGAGACUUGGCCCAUCACGAGACAGUUCGAGGCUUGAUCCAACUGCUCGGAGUUUCCCGCAAGGAAACAAGACGUGGAGAUCAAGCAGGAUUCUAGCCGGUUAGAAUAGGAAUUGAUAUCGUACUAUCUAUGGCAAUUGUAACCGACUAGGAUUAGUCUCCAGAUUUGUAAACCUGCCUCCUGGACUAUAUAAGGAGAGGCAAGGGACCCCCCUUAGACAAUUCCAUCUCAACACAAUUCAAUACAAUCAGACGCAGGACGUAGGUAUUACGCCCACACGGCGGCCGAACCUGGAGAAAAACCUUGUCUGUGUCUUAUGUCACCAUCAAGUUUGUAACUUGUGCACCGUCUACCGAUAAACUACUACCGUAGUUAGACCCCAAGGUAGACUGCCGACUAGCUUUCAUCGACAGUGGCGCGCCAGGCAGGGGGUGUGCGUACAGCUCUCCCGAUGAACAAGAUGGUCAUCGUUCCAGCUUCCGCGGUCGUGGCCGAAGGUCACACGUUCACCGUCAGGCAGAUCACUUGGACAACUGGUGAUGGCGGCCUUACAACCACAACUUCGGGAAAAACCCAGAUCCAAUCUGGGACAACAGAGGCGUCGAAUCCGAUCACGCCAACCCCGAGGACCCGACAUCCGCUCCCUCGCUACAGGGCAAAGCGAGUCGACAACUCGGAUCUUCUUCAAGCCCUCGAUCGCGCUGACCACAAGCUUCUCGAAGCCUCCAACCUGGUGGAUUCGAUUUCGCGUAGACCCGAUCAAGCGGCAGCAAUAAAUUUUUUUGACUCCCGUCGAUCAACUCGUGCUUCCACGCACGAACGACCGGAGACGUCUCUGACGAUAACGUCAACACCUGCGGGACGGACCGUAAAGCUCAAGACAGCCUCUCCAGACCAGAACUCCCCUUAUGGCCUGAGCAACGCAGCUGACCAGUUUUCGCAGCAUACUCAAUCCCUAUUUAGUAAAGCGGGCUUGUCGCUGAGCCCGAACAGCCGACCAGCUCGUCACUUCGUCAACAUGGUAUCCAUCCGAGUUCUGCCGGACGAUAAGGCCACCAGUACGAACUCUAGCACAAGAUCUGUCCCUACCGAGGUUUUACACCCCGAGGACGAAGACUAUGACCUGGAUCUACCACCUUACCCCCCAGGUUUUUCUCAUUUUCCAGUCUUUCCACCUCGACGAGGAGAUCUAAUUUUCAACGUCAGCAAUGACGAACCAGUUGUCGAUUGCGAAACCGAUGAGCAAAGACAACUCCGCGAGCAGCGCAACGCCGAUCGCGCUCAGCGGCGAGCGGAUGAGGAGCGGCAACUCACACCACACAACCUCAGCGAUGCUUUCGACAUGGUCGGCAAUCAGCAAGUCUACAAGACGCCAAGCGCCAACGUGGCUGUUGCAAUGGCAAACCUGGAUCGACUCCCCGACACUCCAGAGUACCAGGGCAUCCGAUCCAAUAUACGAGCACAUCUGAUCGCCGCGAUGGGGCAGACCGGUACUCUGCUCAAAAGGGUCCAAGCCGUCUCCUACACGGAGGUUUCCUCCGACCAGACUCACCGCAGCCGGACAUCACCAUAACCCAGCGGGCGCCAUCAUAGCCGCUCCCCCGCCAACGAUCGCAGGAAGGACACUAGACGCGACAACCAUGGUCGGGACACUGGCAGUUACCGCGAGCAGAGACGCGGACGUGGUCCAGAGGUAAACCAAGACCAGGGCUUGCGACACAACAUCCCUCCUAAGGACGUCCGCGAACGCAUCAACAGGCGCAUCACAGAGUGUGCAGUACAUGAAAACGUGCGACGCAUUGAGUACGAUGCAGCACAUGCCCCCCCGGCCUAAGACAGUUCUCCUCACACCUUCGCCAAGUCGUAUGGCCUCGCAACUUCAAGCUUGAGAAGCCUAAAAAGUACGAUGGCAAGGAGAAUCCUGAGAACUGGAUCACCCUUUACGAGAUCGCAGUCCGAUCAGCCGCAGGGGACGAACACGUCAUGGCAAACUACUUCCCAGUCGUCCUCGAUCAAGCUGGCCAUCAAUGGCUCCUCGGUCUACCCGAGGACUCUUUCGAUUCUUGGGAAGAAUUGCGCCAAGCAUUCAUUGAUAACUUCAUUGCUACGUGCGAGCAGCCUGGAAACAAAUACGAUCUUGAAAGGAUAAGGGACAGGAAGAAUGAGCCCUUGCGCGAUUACACCGACGCUUCUCGGAUAUGCGCCUCAAAAUUCCGAAGAUUUCUCACGACGAGGCUAGCCUUCAUCAAGGGCCUACGCUUCCAUAAAGCUUUACGAAGCAAGCUACUGCGCAAAAGGCCGACCACGGUCGCUGAACUGCUCGCCACGGCAAAAAAUUACGCCGAUGCCGACGACGCAGAAAAGCUCAUCCACGAAGACGUGAGAGGAGCCGAGCAACCUCCCUGGUGAGACGAUAGCCGUGGUCGUUUUGAUAACCGAAAUCCACGCCGCAACGAUAAUCGCGACCACCGAGAAGGGUGGGACAGGCGUCGCAAUAACUGCGACGAUUUCAGAGGCAAACGACCUCGCGACAACGAUCACGAGGUGAACACAGUCAAACGUCCCAAUGGACGACGGGACUACCAAAAAGACUACAACAAGACGCUGAAAGGGCCAUGCCAACUCCAUCCCAAGUCAAACCAUACGAUGGAAGAAUGUUGCGUCCGGAAAAGCAUCUACACACAACGGGCCGCCCAGGGAGAUACCGCCAAGAAAAACGGGAAGCAGGACAUACACGGUCAGGAAGACGAAGACGACGACCAGGAUAGGGACCCACGACAUCAAUAUGUCAGUCCCACGGACGUGGUACACUCCAUCUUUGAGGUUUUUUUCUUAGUCUCGAGCAGAUCGAGAGGUGAGUUGCCUCCAAAUCAUGUUAAUCUAUAUAUUCCAUACGUGUGUAUUUAUAUGUAUAUGUGCUUAUUUGUGAUUCAUGGCAGGCACUGUACCUGUACGGCUACGCUAACUAUUUUCAACUGUGUUCCGGUUCUUCUUUUUCUGUCAAGAAUUUCAGCUCUGUUUCCAGUUCUGAGAAGUUUGUGCUCCUUCUGUUGUUUCAAUUUCUCUGCUCCAGAUCUUCAAUGUCUACGUUUAUUAAACAGAUCUGCAUGAUUUUCUUAUUAUAACAAGUUCAGAAAUAUAUAUAGGGAAGUGAUCCAUGGAUCCAUGGCAAGGAAAUUCGUCAAGGAGGGGCACCACCGGUGCUGGACGUGAUAACAAGCACAAGGAGGUUACGCGCGAGCAUUCGGCUGUAGGCGAAAUGGCAGAAGCUCCUUCUUACUGUCUGUUUCCAGAGGAGACAGGCCGCAACAGUGGCAGCCUCCACUUCCAGCUCCAUGAGUUGUUCUCUGCGGAUCGCCAGCUGCAGCCAAAGCCGCUGGAGGUAACCUUCUUCAUUUUUAAUUAAUUCCUUUCCUUUGUAUGUAUAUAUACAAUCAUGAGCUAUAUAUUAUAUUUAUCAUCAUCUUUGAUUUAAUUGUUUGCCAGAUCUAUUCCUAUGUGUAAGUGUGUCCCGCUGCUUUGAUUUCAUUUAUUUACUGCUAGCGCUAGUUCUUACUUAUUAAUUACUUUCCCUGCUGAUUGUAUAUAUUGUCAUUUAGUACUUCCCACUGCUUGAUUAUCUGCUAAUGUAUUAAUGGCAUCAUAGUAUAAGUUUUUAUGCUAGACAGCUUUGCUAAUGAUGAUAUGCCUUAUUGAGUAACGUUUUCUAAUUUGCUCAGAUUAAAAUUGGUUCUUUUCUUUUUCUCUUUACCUGACAGCUGGUCAGUUUGCACACCUACUUGCCUGCCAUCUCUUGUUCAAUUUUUUCGUCGUAUAUGUUGCUUCAAGAAAAUUAUAUGCACGACCGUGUAUGUUAAGCGCAGCAUGACGACAUAAAUUGAGUAGAUUGCAGGAGAAGAUGAAGAUUAGCCAUUAAGUUAUUAAGGGUUUAUCAGUUGCUCGACCCCUCCCCCAAUGCCACCCCAAAAGACCAUGGCCGACCGGAACUCCAUGAAGGCAUGGUUAGGUGGGGCAGGGUCAAGGAGAUAGAGAGUAGAUGAUAGGGCAAUAGUGCGGUGUGGUGGUAACGACUGGCCUGAAGGGGAGACACAACUAUAAUCACUAUUUCCAUAGGGCAAAAGUGAUUUCUUCCUGAGAUAGUUGAACAUACCACUUCUAGAAGAUGUAUGAUGAACAUACCACAUCUAGAACAUGCAUGGUUUUUGUAAACAAAGACUUUGUAGCUAGAGUCGGUUGAAGUCAUCCUUACCUAAAAAGGUAUACCGUCUUGGCUUCUCUCCCCUCCCAGCAGCCUCCUUGUACGCUAGCUCACCCCCGGAGAUCCGGGUGAGGCUAGGAGGGUGGCUGGUGGUUUCACAUGGAGUUAGGUCUUGCCUGGUGGUCAUAUGCCUGGUGGUUUCACAUGGAGUUAGGUCUUGCGGCAGCGACCAGCUACAGCGCCAAUGGCGAUUAUGCCGGUGACGAUCAGCAACAAGCGGUGGGGUGGCUGGAUCAAGAUCACAAAGGCUAGAUCUGCCCGAGCUUCGAGCAGAUGGUGGAGGCCUCAUCGACAACACGAUAUGGUGGCCACCCAACAACGGUUGGUGAGGUAGUGCAUAACACUUUGACAUUGUGCACCUUCAUCUCUCUCUAAUGUGGUGAGUAUGUGUGAGGUGAAAGCAAUGCCCAGUUAAAUCAGAGUCGAUGACAACGACAUCCCUGGUGCCGGUUUCUUCCUUUGAAGUGUCAUCGAGAUGUGUUCCCCUACCUCUCUAGAAGAAACUUUGCCUAGGGCUCUACAUAGGCAAUGAUGGUGUGCUUUGCAUCGUAUCCUUAUUGAAGAGCUUGCAUUGCCUUGGGAGUCGAUAGUCUGCUCCUUAGGAGUUGGCAUCUUGCUCUUAUUUGUGUUGAGGACAAGUCUGACAUCAUGAGUCUCUAAGUAGAUAAAGUGGUGGAAGAUUGUUGUUGAGAAAGGAUGGAUCAAGUUUGAAGCAAGGGCACAUGAGAAGUAUGAUACUUGGUCGUCUUUCUAGAUUUCUUUCCUUACCGUACGAUUUUCAACCUGUUGUUUUUAUUUUCCUCGAUGGUGAGGGUUAGAGUCUAAGUGCUCUUGUAAUUGUUCGGUCACAUGUAUCCCUUUGGAUAUAAAGACUGGAUUAUGAUCUUUAUCUAAAAGAAUAUCACCCACAUGUGGAACUCAAUUCCAAAAAAGGCGCAACAGCGACAUCACUACACAUCAACCGGUAUCACCAGUGCAACAACAUUUUUAUGACGAUUGUUUCUUCCACUAGCUGAACAAGAUGCAGGAUGCCUUUGUGUCCUUCUUUGUGCUUCAUGAUGAGGUCAUGAUUAAAAACAUGUUGCACAACUCGAGCACCUCACGGAGCUUCUCCUCGUUCUAUAGGAAGAAAUGAAUAUGGCAUGAUUAACAACACAUGUGAAACAAAUAGAUUUUCCAUUCGUGGUAAAUCAAGAUCGAUCGAUAUUACAUGGAAGAUGGAGUCUUCCUUGCCGAUGUGGAUGAGGAGGGAGCUAACAAAGGAAUCACCAAUGCUAGUGGCCUCAUUCUUCCAUAGCAAAGCAAAGCUAAGCUUUAGUGUAGCCUUGAAAAAUAUAUAUGGGUAUGUUGGGUGUUUUUGGAACCACUACUCAACUUAACUCGCAAAAAGAUUAACUUAUGCUUCCAUAGCAUAGCAAAGAAUGCUUUAAUGUAACUAUUUUGUUUCCUCAUGGAUGUUUUUUUCUGCUCUAACACCGUACCAAGUGACUCAUAUGGUAAUACCUCCAUGCUGGUGGAGUUUUCUCAACUCUAGAGAUAAGGAUGACAACUUAGUUGUUGAUCACUAGAUCACGUUAGGAGGAGCUCAAUUCAAUCCUCCACCCAAAGUCUACUUUAAAGAACCACAUCACAUUCUUUAUCGUUCUCACUCAUGUAAACUAAAUGGAGAGGACACCUUUUGUUGGUAAUAAUUGUAGUGCCAAGCUUUUAGAAAAUAGAGGCCACGGUCCAAUUUGUUUGGUGGUCGACAAUUCCACUAGCACCACAUGAUGUUGACUAUGUUGAGGUGCCAAAGAGUUCAUUUUUGUCAUCAGUAGUAUUUUGUGAGUCCCAUGUGAAGAAGUUUAACCAUAACAUCUUAGACCAUCAUUUAAGGAACAAGUACUACAAUCCUAGUGAUGAACUCAUUGUGGCCACCACCUUCGACUCAUAGACUUUAAUUACGAAAAAAGAUACUAGCAUAUGAGUGCUUACUUGGCUAAUACUAGUGGACAAAGAAAUAAUUGAUGAGCUAAAUAGAUUGCCUAGAAAACCAAGCUUUUUGCUCACUACCAAACAUGCGAAAAAUUUGGAAAACCAUAGCAAGUAAACGAUUGCAUGGUGGCACUUGACCAAGUCCAAUGUUGACUAUUCUCCUUCCUACCAUGGUAAUGGAUUGUUCCCAAACUAGAAAUUUUGGGGGGAAAAGGAGUCAGAGUAAAUGUGGCAACGUUGGUUGAAUGACCACAUCACUAGAGGUCAACGUUGUAGGGUGCUGAGGAUGAUUAUCCAAAAGAAGAGGAAGGGCAUCGAUUGAUGUAUUUGCUUUGGCUCAUUAUCCCAAAUUUCUAAUGUCCCUUGAACCAUCAACAUAGUGAUUCUACAAUAUAUGACCUGGUUAGUUUCAAAGGAAAAUUUUGUUUUGGGUUUACAUUGCUUCAUUAUAUGGUAGGCCCAACUAGAAGAAACUUCGGCCCAAGCCAAGCAUUAUGAAUAAGCUCGGCCUGCUACGAUGCACCGUCAUAACUAGGGUUUUUCUAUAUAAAGUUGCCCGUACCCAUUUCUGAAUCACAUCUCCCCAAUUCCGCCGCCACAACACACAUACUCCCCAAAUAUUCCUCAUUGCCCUACUAGCACCUCCCCCACCAGAUCUAUAGUUUGGACUAUCAUUACAGGGUCUUCUUUUAUUUUGCUUAACACCAUGGCGCCUUUAAGGCUACCGAAAGGUAAAUCACUAUAUGUUACACCAACUUCUCCAAGUUGGGGCCUUGGAAGAUGAGGAUUUUAAAUUUCAUUCUAUAAGAGUGUUGACCUGUGAUUUUUUUUCUUGUUGGUAACAAAUAGUUUUUCUAAGAUCCUGUUGGUGAUCGAUCAAAGAUCUAAGAUUGAGGCCUGGUGUAGCUCAAAAUAUACCAUUCUGGUCUUAGAUCUGAGUUUGAAGUACCCAUAUAGUUUUCCUUGCCGUGGGGAUUCUAUAUCUAACCAAGUAGUAGGCGAGGCAAUCCAAUCACAUGAGCAAGACUGGUUUAUGAUUCGGGUUUAGUAUAACAUUUAAUGUUUUCCUACCAUAGGUAUCUUGGAUCUAGCAAAUUGGAGGAUGUGGUACCUGUCCUAUACUAGCCACAUCGAUCUAUUUUCUUUUGCGGAAACUGGCCACAUCGAUCUAUGAUCUAUAGAUCCUAUGGACCACAGAAGUCUCUUUGAUCUUAGUAUUUUAGAUCUAAUCUAUCCUGAUAGGGUGGGGGUUGAACGGUGAGGAGAGCGGGGUUAUCUAUUUGCACAAUCCAAUGUGGAUUCAUCACAAGUCAUUUUUCUAAGGUUGCCUAAUAGGUUACCUUCGUGGUUUAUAUAUAUGGAGUGUUUACAUGCAGGUAUUUAAUCUAAAAACACUUUGUGCUUACGAAUAAUGAUAUUGUCCUUUGAUAAUAUAGUUUUUUGGACAAUAGGUUACCUUAUACCUAUUAUUUUUCUUUUACAGAUUUAAUUCUAUUAUGGUAAUAAGAGGCUGGGAUUUAUUCUUUUUUAUUCUGAGAACUGUUCAUGUACUAUAGAGAUUCUUAUAUUUCUUUGAUUCUGUACUGGAUAUGAGUCAUUGUGCUGGAACUUGUUCUGGGCAUCAAGAUUCAGUUUCUCACUACAUCUGUACUGUGCAUCUGAACCAAUGUUGUCAAUUUCCUCGUCAGGUUGAUUCAAAGGCGAUUACAACACUGCAACCGUGCCUCCAUAUUCAGGCCAGGAGACAACUACCAACAUUCUUUCCUGGAGGCAUCCAUUCCUCUUCUUCACAAGGAAUGUGUGCGCAGGAUAACAAUGUGAAGCGAACUACUGAAAAUCCUGUGGCUAUUGCUGCUCCUGCUUCUGUCUUUGGUGGCAAGAAUUUUGGUGCUCUAGGGAAUGCUGAGGAAAACCAUGAAGAAGCAACACCGUUGAGCGAAGAUGCCAUGAAAAUAUAUGAACAUUUGAUUGGGGUUCAUGUGGCAUAUUUUCGUGCUUGCAAUGUCCCUUACAUGAUAACUUGUAGGAGCCUCCCCCAGCAGUUUGUCCAGGAGCAGAACACCCACCGUGCUCAUGAUGCUCAGGUGUUAAAUUAUGGGGACAAUCUAGUGGAGGCAGAUACUAGUACUACGGUUGUUCAACAACAAAGAGUUCCUUCUGCUGGCUCCUCUCAUGUCCAGCAUUAUGGAGCUAGUGGAUUCAACAAUACGAUCCCUUCUAUUCACCAGGAGCAAACGGUGGCUCCGGUGACGAAGCCUUCCUUGAGGCUCAUGCACAUCAAGGGCCAAGUAGCAGCAUCCUGGUACGCAUAAAUAUUUAAUUAGUUUCAGCCUGCCAAUAUUGCACUAUAUAUGAUUUACCUUCAAUUCCUAUCUUUAAUCAACUUUUGCAUGCAGUGCUGAUGCCAAUGGGAGCCGCUUUGUACAGCAGGCGAUCCAGGUGGCAACUCCUCAAGAGAUCAUUAUGGUUUAUGAGAAAAUUAUUUGUUUCACCUUCAGAUUCUAGAGCAUGGACCACAGUCCUGCUAACGUGAGCUCAUCAGUCGUCUGAUGGGCCAUGUGCUUCCCCUAAGCCAUGAUAUGUACGGUUGCCGUGUCAUCCAGAAGGUGAGCUAGCGAAUAUUAUAUAAUUUCAGAAAUGAUUUUUACUAUACAGCCAUGUACAUGUACAUAUACAGUAUUUAUCUGUAACUGUCAAGGCUGCAAUCAUGUUUUUUAUGACCUGUGCUUGUUGUCUUCGUUUCAGGCUUUGGAUGUAGGGGAGCACAAUCAGAAGAUUGUGAUAGCGAAAGAGCUCAAACACAAAGUGCUCAAAUGUGUUCGCGAUCAGUUCGCGAGCCAUGUUAUUCAGAAAUGUGUAGAGUGCCUGCCACCGAAGCAUAUCCAAUUCAUCUUCCGAAGCUUCUGUGGAAGGGCAAAGGCACUAUCCAUCCAUCCCUAUGGAAGCCGUGUGAUUCAGGUAUGGUUGCUCAUCGAUUAUUUGUGUUUUCAAUGAUGUGUGUGCCAUCAUGCCUCUAAUUCAACUCAACUUAUAUAUCAUCAUCUGAGCUGAUUCAGUUCCUUUUCCCAACUGCUUGCUGUUCCCAGAGAGUUAUUGAGUUUGCUAACAAGCUGUCAGCAGACCCAUUUGGAAACUAUGUGGUGCAGCACUUGCUCGAGCAUGGAGGUCAGACGCAGCGAUCCAUGAUAGUGAGGAAAUUUGACAGGCGCGUGUUGAGCAUGUGUUAUCACAAUGUUGGGAAGAUGCGCUUCGCACGCCCCAGCAGAACAGUAGAUCGAGAACCUUCUCACUCGGUGCCGUGAGAGGCUUGAACAGUAACGUACAGUGGGCUCAACAGUAGGUGAAUACAGUGAAUGCUCUCCCUCUAUUAAUGGCGGCAUCACGCCCUUUAUAUAGGGCCCGGAAACCGACCCAACGACAUUUACAUAAAUGCCCCGUGACGGUGGGGGAAUAUUCCAGCAUAUUCUUUCAUCGCAGUCUACUGACCCCAAUAUACUCGCGUAAUUUCACGUUGCGAACCCUUCGUUCAUCCUUUGACUGGGGCCUCAGCAGGUCGGAGGCUCGGAUCCUCCGCCCAGUUGCGGAUCCUCCGACGCUUUGGUGUCGGAGGUUCCGCAGCCCGGCUGGUCGGAGGUCGCUUCACCCGGCCACCCCGGGAGUUCCUCCUUGGCCUGGUCCAGUCGGAGGUUCCUUGGCCUGGCUGCGUUCUCCUGCCAUCCUCGGACUCGGGAGGGUCGGAGGUUCCAACCUUUUCCUCACUCGUGGACCUCCGCCGGUGCUUCAGUCCCUGCACACACUCUGCACGACCAGACGAGUCGUGAACAUUAGCAUUUCCCGUCGAAGGAUAUCCUCCGACGUUUCAGGCGUCGGAGGUUCCUCAGGUGAAGGAUAACCUCCGGCGCUACCAGGGGGAAGGAUGCAGCUUUUCCCCAACAGUUCCCCCCUUUUUGGGCUAAUGGCACUCCUGCGGUCCAUGUGCUCAAAAACAUGCUACGCUGCGGAGGUCACGAGCAUGGUUGCUGCCUUCCCCCCUGGUGCGCAGGAUGUGUUUGUUAGCAAAUGUUGGAUAACUGUUUCUUUUACUUAGUCGUAAUUUUUCUUGUUUCUUUAUUUUGCCGGGAUCCUCCGAUCAUUGCUGCUAAGUAUCCUACGCGCGUUAGAUUGCGGAGGAUUGCGGAGGAUUUUAUUGCCGUUGGAGUUAGCCGUUGGCAUUGAUGAAGCGCAACGGUCUGUCCGAUUCCUCCGCUUAUAGCCGUUGGGCGCGGGGAAUCGCAACGGCCGCGCGGUCGCAGGCCCCCCCCCUAUAAAAGGAGGUGCUGGGGAGCUUUGAGCUCUGACCCCUGCUGCUCAUUGCCUGCACACCUUCCUUCGCUACGUCUUUCUCUCUGAGCUGCUCGAGUGCGUUUAGUUCUAAAGUGUUGUCGGAGGUUUUACGGUGGCUCAGUUUCCUUCACCGCGUCCUUCGAGGUCAGAUUUUUCUGGUCCUUUGCGCAGUUUCCUUAGCGUGAGGUCAGGAGGUUGGUUGCGGAGGUUUGAGGAGUGGAUGCUUGAGGUGGCUGCAGCUCAAGAUCUGGAGGAGACGUUGUCCGACGUCGAAGCUUCUGUCGGUGAUCUGAUCAGUGCGAAGGAGUUUGAGGGGAUGGCGGCGAUUACUUUUGAAUUCGGGCAGUCGACUGUGAGGGCGGAGGAUAUCGCUGACAUGGUUGAGGCAAGAUUUUUCAAGGAAGGUCGUGCGGAGGCUCCUCCUGCGGGUCAGACGGUGCCUGCGCCUGAAGAGGGGUAUGCGGUGGUAUUCAGGGACUUCUUUACUUGCGGACUUCGGAUGCCUCCGUAUCAUUUCCUUCGCGAAGUGAUGGAGAGUUUCAACGUGGAGCUGCAGCAUUUCAGCCCUAAUGGGAUACUGACCCUUAGCAAAUUUGCCUGGGCGUGCGAAUCCUACGGGGCUAUGCCCCACAUCGACACUUUCUGCUCGUACUUUGAGCUCCAGCGCCAGCCUAAAAAGGUGAAGGAUGCCGAAGGUGUUGAGUGCAUUGCGCAGUUUGGAAGCUGCGCGUUCAUGCCGCGCCGCACAAUGCCUGGGCCAAGGUGCGAGAUCUCCUACUGCCAAAAGGGGAAGUGGGAGAAGGAUUGGAUGAGAGCUUGGUUCUACGUGAGGACCCCCGCUGCGUCGAAGACUUUAGAUGACGGCAGCGUUGAUAAGGUUUAUCCUUACGCGUCGCUGAUGAAGGAGUUGAAGCCUUUCUCGAAGGUUGAUCCUUCGCAGGAGAUGUCGGAGGAGCGAAUUGCUUGUGAUAAGGCAUUUGCGCUGGCAUGCCGAUAUUCCGGAGGUCGGGAUUUGGUUGAGGAGAUGGUCGCUGCUGACUAUUGGCCACUUGGCCGCAGGACCGAUGAGUUCACCAUUGAGAUGGUGCAAGUUCCUGUUUUUGGUCCCCCGGAGGGGUUGCCGUUUCCCCGGUUCGGCGCCGGUAUUCCGGAGGAUGAGACCAAGGAGUCCUUCCUUGAUCGUGUGGAGGUUUCUGCCCGGAGGAUCGUCGGGAAGAUAUCGGAGAAGGAAUAUCUCCAGCGGAGGUCUGCCCUUGGGACGAUGCCCCGGUUCAACCGCGUUUUUGAGGAAUUGGGGAUCGAGUAUGAGGAUUAUGUUAUUCCUCCGGAUGUUUUGCUUGGGUUGGAGAAGAAGAAGGACUCCUCGAAGGCUGUCGCCUUGGCGGAGUCGAAGAAGAGGAGAGGGGAUGGCGCAGUCAAGCAGCUUGCGAAGAAGCGGAGGGCGGAGGUUGUGCUAGAGAAUCCUGUGGAGUCUUCCUCCGCCCGCUCAUCUGGUGCCGAGUCGAACUCGGUAGCUUCUGCACAUGCGGAGGCCGCUGCUGCUGGUGGAGCUCCUGAAGCUGAAGCUUCGCGUGCGGUCUCCUCUGUGCGCGCGCCUUUCGCGUCUCUUCUUGGGGAGGAGUCUUCCGACGCGGAGGCCCCUGAGGCGAGUCCUGCGCGGGAGGCGAAUCCUGCAGCGUCUGAGGGUCCGCGCGUUGCUUCCGUUGGCGGAGGGUCUCCGCCUAAGGAGGUUCAGGUGGAGUCCAGCGACGAAGCUGAGUCCGCCUCCGUUCGGAGGAUCAGGAGGGCGGAGGCUCCCCUUCGUCCGGCUGGUGACGGUAUUAACUCGUUAUACAUGGGUAAUGAUUUUUUAUUGAUUAUUUUGUUUUUAUGCAAGUUUUGAUUGACUUGUUCUCAUGUUUUUGGUUUAUCUUUCAGCGGAAGUUUUUGCUGGGCUGGCUACCGCGGAGGAGAUGGCUAAAGGCGCCAGCGUUGCGCAGGAGGGGCUUGCCGUUCCUCCGCCGCGUGAGCCUGCGCCUUCUGCGUUGGCCAACAGGCCUUCGCCUGCUGAUGUUCUUGGUCCUGGUGAGUUUCCUCUUUUUUGGUUUCAACGGUUUGGUUUGUUUUUGGCAUUUUAUUCUAAGGUUCGUUUUUGUUAUGUGCAGGUGCUUCUGAACCUUCGAUCACAGGUUGGACUGAUGCCUUGCGCGAGGUUCAUUCCUUGGUCGGAGGUUAGUGUUCUGGCCUCCGCCAAUGGUUUUUUGUUUCUUACGAUGGUUUUUCUUAAUUGUUUUUGGUUUACAGAUCGUUUUCGUCAGAAGCUUCGCGGCAUGGACUUUGACACGCUCCUUCGCGUGCAAUAUGAGCACCAUAGCCUUGUAAGUUUGCGCUUUGUUGUAUCUUCCUUCGCGGUUUUUCACUCGGAGGUUUGUUGUAACUAUUUAUUUUUGAGCAGGGUCAUCACAUGGCUGCCGCCUUAGAGGAGCGUUGCUCUCGGGAGGUUAUCUGCCGUGAUGAGGCAAUUGGUGUUCUGAAGAAGGAGAACGAGACCUUGGAGGCUGAGAAGGCUCGUCUGUCGGAGGAGGUUAGGGAGUUUUCCUCCGUCAGGAGGGAGGUUGACUCCCUGAAAAAGGAGAGGGAUGACUACAAGGCUGGGUCGGAGGCUCUAAAGAAGGAGAAAGAGGAUGCCGAAGCUUCGGUGGCGGUCCUCCGCACAAGUGUUGCUGAGGCGGGGAGAGUUAGGGACGUAGCCCUGCAGCGAGCUGAGAAGGCGGAGGACAUUGCUGAACGCCUUCGCAAAGAGCUUGACGCUGAGCGGACGUCUGCGGCUGAGCUGCAGACUCGCAUACAGAAGGCGGAAGCGGAGGCUGCAGCUAUUGUCGGGCUCUAUGCCGACUCGCUUGCGAAGUUUGGGGGAAGCACCUCUGCUCCUCCGCCCGGCGGCGAUGUUGGGGCUGCCCUCGCGUGGCUGAAGUCUCAUAUCCGCAUGCUCCCCGACUUUGUCGGAGGUGCUGUUGAUUUUGGGGCUUUGGCCGCGGUUAGCUCCUUCGCUAGGCUUUUGCGCCGCGGAGGUUGCUCUCACGCGGAGGGAGUCGCCAAGGAGGAUUUUGCCGCGGCGGAGGACGUUGGCGAAGGGACCCCUUCCCUGCGCAAAUCUGUCCGGAACUUUAUCAGUUCGUUCUGGAUUAGGUUUGGGCGGGAUGAGGCGAAGAAAAUGGCGGAGGAUCGUCGAGCUGAGGUUUGUAUUAUUUGGUUAUUUCUUUUUUGUACUUUGCUUCGCUGCUUUGCAAUGUUAAUUAAGAUGGGUAUUUUGUAGGAGAUUGCGAAGAAGAAGGCUAAGGUUGUCAAGGCCGGUCCUUCGCGUCCACCGAGUGAGGCGUGUCCUCCGACCCAGCCUGAAGCGGAGGCUCGUGAUACUGGUGCCGAAGCUCCGGAGGGAUCUGGUGCCAAGGUUUCAGAGACGCCCGAGGCUCCUGCUCCUCCUCCGCCUCAGGUGUGAGGCCUUUUAGUUUUUAGGUUUUUCUUAGUCUUUUUUGCGUCCAAGCAUGUGACGCUUUUUUUGUAAGUAAGGCCGGAGGUUGUGUUUUAUUUUGUAAAGACUGUUGAAAAUUUAAUAUAUUGAGUUGUUUUCAGAUAAGCCUUUGUUUUACACUUUGAUCCUGCGCAGGUCUCUGGCGGAGGACCUGCGCAGGAUCGUUUCAUUACUCCCCUUUCGUUUUUUUACAAAGGGAUUUAUGUUUCUGGCGAAUUGUGGGAGUAUUGGCAAGUUGCCUUCCCUAACAUGAGAUUGGUGGAUAUGUUCGAGUUUGUUGGAUAUGAUAUUGAUGGCGAAGGAUCUGGAUUUAUCCAGUCGUUUGCGCGCCGAGGUUCAUGGCCUCCGGCUUAGGUGGAUGAUUUUGUUUUUCUUUUCGUUUAUCGUAGGUUUUGGUUAUAUUUUUUAUGACAUGAUUUGAUGUGUUUAUGUAGUUGUCAUAUCCUAUCCUUCGCAUCUUUGGUGAGAGGGAUAGGGUACGCUGGGUGGCGGAGGCUUCUGAGGAUGUUGCUGAGCCUUUUCUUCAAGGUUUUCCGGAGGUUCGAAAGCUUCGUUUGGCUUUUUAGUUCUAUCCUUCGUUUUUGUUGGAUUUGAAGUUGUUAUUUUCUGCGCGCAGGUUGUGAAUUCCUCUCCGCUGGAAGAUCUUCCUUCGAACUUUGUCGAAGGAAGUUACGUUACCCCGGUGACGUUCAAGCGUGGAGAUUUGUACGCGAGGGGUUAUCUAAUUGACUGGUGGCGCCACAAGUAUCCUACGCGUAGUAUAGAUGACUUAGUUGAUUUCCUUGUUCGUGAUUACUGUGAUGAUCUUAGGCUUUUUCCAGAUUCGUAUGUUAGAAUUGUGCGAGGGUCUUAGAACCUUCGGCGUUUUACGGUCGGAGGAUGUUUCUCAUUUUUUGUUGUAAGCUUGUGUUAUGUACAUUGUAUACGGUUAAUAAAGGUCAGAUAUUUUUACUACAUGGUCUUCGCGCCUUUUAAUUUUGACAACCUUCGCGCUUAUAAUUUGUAUGUGACUCAUAGAUCCUUCGGUUGUUUAGUUGAAGGAUGAUUUUUAAGUUGAACUUGUACAAGCUAUCUGUAACCUUCGACUUUUUCUGGGUCGAAGGAUGAUUUUAUUCAUUUUAUGUAAACGAACUUUUGUAAUGAUUUCUUCAUUGAUAAUAAAGUUUUUAAGUUUGCUACAACCUUCGAUCUCAUUUUUAUUACAACCUUCGCGCUACAGCACUUAUAUAUUGCAACGUUACGGUGGUGUUGAUCCUAAGGAUCUUUGUGUUGCUGUGGCUUGCUUGUUCUUGAUGCCUGAAGUUGCGAAGGAGUUGUUGAUUUUCUAUUUCGCGGAGGAUCGCCGCUUCUUGGCCUUAGAACCUUCGACUUUUUUGGCGCGGAGGAUCCUUCGCCGAAUUGUGCUAUUUUUUUCCUUUGCUCGACUCCCGUGGAGUGUUGUCGAGGAGAACCUUCGGCUGUUUAAGUCGGAGGUUCUGAAGGGAUGUUACGAGACUUCGUGCGAUACCCUUCAGAGACCUCUGAGUCUGACUUCCAUUGUUUCUGUUGUGGCUGUUCACGACUUUGUGGUCGAUGUUCAUCACAACGCCGUAGUUCUAGUAUUACGAAGCUUCGUGCGAUACAAACUUGUGUUGGUGUUGUGAGGCUAACUCCUGCUUCCAUGGUGGCCUAGGAUUUUGCUUUUUGACUGCUAGGUUUGCACUCGAUGCUCGGGUCUUUGUGUGCUGAUCCUGAUUGAGGGUGGUGGUAAGGUGAGCCUGGUUUUAUAGGGUUUCACGCAUUUAUUUUAUGUACUCCGUUAGGUCAAAAUUUAUUAUCGGGUUAUUGAUGGUUGUUGUGGUAGUUGGUUUUGCUGUAUCUGACAGAGGGUUAUUGUAGUUCUGUUUGGAUUUCACACUUUGUUUGUUGGGGGUCUGCUUAGAGUAGCAGGAUACCUUCGACCUUAUUUUGGUGAAGGUUUUGUGAAUUUUGUUGGGGUCUGUCCUGUGAAUGUUAGACCUCUGCUGCCUUUUGGUGAAAAUAAUGUGGUUCCUGAUGCCUGAUUCUCCUCAGGUCUUUGUCAGGUUUGAAGGUUUUGCUCCUUCUGGCCAUGUUGUGAUGCCUGAGAAGGACAGGACUUUUUCACUUUUUGGCCGUGUUAUCCUUGCUGCCCGGCUCUUGGCUAGGUCUUUUGCUAAGGAUUUGGUGUUUUUUCACCUUUGAGGACGUUCCGAGCUUUCUGAGCUGUUGAAUGAAAGCUGCGGAGGGUCCUUGUGAUCACGUGAUGUUUUGUCGAAUGCUGCAGCCUCGUUACUGGCUGUUUUUCGACUUUUUGGGAUUUGGUUCUGGGGUGGAUUCCUCUUUAUAUUUCAGAGGUUUUUACAUAGGUUCUGCCUCGUUAAAAACCUCACCUCCUGGUAGGAGUACCCCUGUGAGGAAAAGAGUGCAGACCUUGGAAUGCGAAAAUGUAGAGAAAAAGAAAACUAGCGUAUUUGGGGAUGUGGAUGCCGCCGCUUAUUUUGCAGGGGUCAUCCUUACACUCAAAUGUAAAAUCUACGUAGGUUGUCGACGUUCCACGUGUGGGUGGAGGUUCUUCCUUCGAGGUCUUUCAGGUAGAAGGAUCCCGUCCUUCCUGCUUGUAUUGCUGUGUAAGGUCCUUCCCACUUGGGUUGCAAUUUACCAGCGUUUGGGUGAUCUCCUUUUUUCCUGAGGACCAGGUCUCCGUUUUGUAUGUCUUUUCGUACUACCUUGCGGUCUCUCCAAUUCUUGGUUUCUCGUUGAUACCUUGCAAUGUUCUCCACUGCCUCAAGUCUUAUUGAUUCUAAGGUUUCCUUGCAGUACUCUUCAUCUUCAGCCAACUGCUGCUUCAUGGAACGCAGGCUUUGGUGCUUGAUUUCUUCGGGCAACAUUGCCUCUUCCCCAUACAAGAGCUUGAAUGGAGUGAAUCCAGUUGUUCUUGAAACUGUUGUGUUAUGUGACCAUACAACUCUUGGUAGUUCUUCAGCCCAUUUCCCCUUGCGUAGGUUGAGUAAGGUCUUGGAGAUUGCGGAGAAUAUUGUUCUGUUUGCUCUCUCUACGGCCCCGUUUGACUCUGGGUGAUAAACAGACGCGAAAGCAAUUUUGGUUCCUAUGUGAUGGCAGAAUUCCUUGAACCUGUCUGAAUCAAACUGCUUCCCGUUGUCAACUGUGAGCAAGCGUGGGACUCCGAAUCUGCAGACUAUGUUCUGCCAGAAAAAUUUCCUGAUUGUUUCAGAGGUUAUGGUUGCCAGUGGCUUAGCUUCAAUCCAUCUUGUGAAGUAUUCGAUGGCCACGACUGCGAAUUUGUUUCCCCCCUGGGCAGUUGGCAUUGGCCCUACCAGGUCCAUUCCCCAUCUCUGCAACGGCCAUGAUGCUGGUAUGAGCUGAGUUAGUGCUGAAGGUCCUGACUGAAUUGGUGAGAAGGUUUGGCAGGCUUUGCAUGUCUUCACUAUUUCUUCAGCAUCUUUAAUGUGAGUUGGCCAGUAGAAGCCUUGUCUUAGUGCUUUAGCAGACAACGCGCGGGGUCCAAUGUGAGACCCGCACAUCCCUGAGUGUAUUUCUUGUAGGAGUUCUCUGCCCUCGCUUUGUGAUAUGCAUCUCAGCAAAGGUUGGACUACGCCUUUCUUGUACAGGAUCCCGUUAAUGGAGGUGUAAUUCCUUGCUCUUGCCUCCAUCCUCUUGGAUGUUGCUUCGUCAUCUACAGCUGUCUCGCCUUUGAGGCAAUCAGCUAUUGCCUGCCUCCAAUCUUCGCUUUCUGUCAGCAAGACUGAGCGAAAGGCUUUUUGCAACGAUUCGGUUGCGGGUGUUGUGACAAUCUGGUAGAAGGUUCCUUCUGGCAAGGGGGUGUUGUUGGCUGCUGCCUUCGCUAGCUCGUCUGCUUCGUAGUUUUCGGCUCUUGGAAUGUACUGCAGAGUGAAUCCCUUGAACCUUCUCUCCAGGCCUCUUACGACGGCCAGAUACCUUGCCAGCUCCGGGUUGUGUGCUAGGUAUUCCUUCUCUACUUGCCCUGCCACCACCUGGGAGUCUGUUUUGAUGAGUAGGGUUUUUGCUCCCGAAGCCUUAGCUUUGUUCAGCCCGAGGAUGAGACCUUCAUACUCGGCUAUGUUGUUUGUUGCUUUGAAUUCGAGCCGUACAGCGAACUUUAGUUUGAGUCCAGAUGGUGUGAUUAGGACGGCUGCUGCUCCUGCUCCCGCUUGGCCCCAGGCGCCAUCUGUAUACAGCGUCCACGGUUGAUCGACUACCUUCUCCUCGUUUUUGUCCGAAGGUGUCCAAUCUGCCAUGAAGUCAGCCAGGGCUUGAGAUUUGAUGGAGGUUCUGGGGACAUAGGUGAUAUCAAACUGUGAUAGUUCGGCCGCCCAUUUUCCUAUACGUCCGGAAGCCUCUUUGUUCCUAAGGAUAUCACCCAAUGGCUGUGAGGUGGGCACUUUCAUCUCAUGGCUUUGGAAGUAAUGCUUGAGCUUCCUUGAUGCACACAGGACCGCGUACGCGAUUUUUUCUAUCUCCGUGUAGUUCAGUUUUGCUCCUGACAGAGCUUCGGAUACGUAGUAAACGGGUCUUUGCACCGUUCCCUUAGUACCGCUUGUCUCAUGCACUAGAACACCGCUGACAGCGUGCUCGGAAGCAGCCACAUACAGUAGUAGUGGAGUGUCUGGCUCGGGCACUGUUACCACCAGGUUGGUUGCAAUGUAAUUCUUGAGUUGCCUGAAGGCCUCUGAUUGUUCCGGACCCCAUUCUGUUUUACCUUCUCCUCUCAGCACUUUGAAGAAUGGGAGGCUCCGUUCUGCCGAUCUUGAUAUGAAUCUGUUGAGGGCUGCUAUUCGGCCGGUCAGUCUUUGCACUUCUUUCUUGUUUGAAGGUUCUGCCAUUGACAUGAUUGCUUUUGUCUUGUCUGGGUUAGCUCUAAUUCCUUCGGAGCUGAUGAUAUACCCUAGCAUUUUUCCCUUGCUGACUCCAAAUACACACUUCUCCGGGUUGAGUUUCAGCCCGGCAGAUCUGAGGUUGCCGAAGGUUUCCUGCAGGUCCUUGAUAUGAUCUUCCUUGCGCUUGCUCAUGACGACAACAUCGUCGACGUAGGCUAUGAUGUUCCUCUGUAGCUGACUUCCUAGAACCUUCCCCAUCAUUCUGGAGAAGGUUGCUCCAGCGUUUUUGAGACCUUCUGGCAUUCUGGUGUAGCAAUACGUGCCGAAUGGUGUCGUGAAGCUUGCCUUUCCUUCGUCUUCUUUUUUGAGCCAAAUUUGGUGGUAACCAGAGAAACAGUCCAGCAGUGAGAAUCUCUGACAACCAGCUGCUUUGUCUACAGAGGUAUCUAUCCUUGGCAAGGGGAAGGAGUCUUUGACACAAGCCUUGUUGAGAUCUGUAAAAUCUAUGCACAUUCUCAUUUUGCCAUUUUUCUUGGGGACCAAGACCACAUUUGCCAACCAUUCCGGGUAUAUGACUUCUCUGAUGACCUUUGCGUCCAGGAGUCUUUGUACUUCUGCCUUCGCGGCUAAGGUUCUUUCUUCAGACAUUUUCCUCUGUCUCUGCUUCUUUGGCCUCAUUCUCGGAUCGAUGUCCAGCGAAUGCUCUAUUAUGUCUCUGCUGACUCCUUGUAGGUCAGUGGCACUCCAAGCGAAGAUAUCUUGGUUCUUUUGCAAUACGUCUAGCAGUUCGAGUUCUUCCUCUCUACCAAGGGUGGCGGAGAUGGUGACCUUCUUAUCUGGAACAGCUUCCUGCAGAGGGAUACACUUCGUUUCCUCCUGAUCAGCCAGGUCUGUUUUCCCCCUUGGCAUGUCUGGCGGCUGGGAAGCUUCAUGCUGCGCAGAGUCUACGGAGUUUAUGUUCCGGAAGGAUUUGUAGAUUGCUUUUUCUAUGUUCCUUGCCUCCUUUUGGCUUCCGUGAACCGUUAUCACUCCGUGCAGAGCCGGGAUUUUCAUGCAUAGGUAUCCCAUAUGAGCGGCUGCAUUGAACUUGUUCAAGAAUCCUCGCCCGAAUAUGGCAUUAUAUGGGUAGUGCAAGUCUACCACAUCGAAGGUGACGUACUCUGUUCUUGCGUUCUCUGUCGUGCCGAAGGAUACGGGCAAGGCGACCUUUCCCAGAGCAUGUAUCUGCUUUCCUCCGAACCCAAUUAAAGGUGACUCCGAAGGUUGGAGUUGGCUUCUGCUGAGCUUCAUUUGGUCGAAGGUUCCAGCAAAUAUUAUGUCUGCGGAACUCCCUGAAUCCACUAAGAUCCUGCUUACUCCCCAACCCGCAACAUUUGUUGUUAUGACCAAGGCGUCUGUGUGAGGGUAGCUUUCUAAUCUUAGGUCUUCCUCGGUGAAGGUUAUUGGGGUUCUGGACCAAUCAGUGCAUCUCACUGGCCCUUGAACUGCAACGUUGUUGAUGAGCCUGAGGUGAUCCUUCUUCUGUUUCUUUGUCUGGAACUCCAUUGAGGAUCCCCCAGCUAUUGGUAAGAUCAUUCCAAUUGUGGGCAGGGGUGUAUGAGGGCCGAUCUGGUUAUCAGGGUGGGGUUCGGUUUUUGGUGGUGGUGGGGCUUGGAGUAGCUGUAGCUGGUUUGGGGGAGGAGGUAGUGACUGCUGGUGGGGUUGCGGGGUUUCGAUGUACGUGAUAUGUGGAGGUCAUGGAGGAACAUAGUUUGGUGGAAGGUUGUGGUCCGCGGUUUGCUGGGCUGGGCGCCAAGCUGGUAGGAAGCUGGGAUAGUAAGCGGAGGCUAGCGCGCUGGGCUGAAGUGGAGCUGGGUGCUGCUGGCUCGAACCUCCGACAUAUGAAUGGUAGAAGGUUUGAGGGAAUGUGUGGUUUACUUCCCGAGGCUGAGCAACUGGUAUCGGAGGUUGCGGAGCUGACCUACUCUUGAUCCUCUCCUGAGUUUCUUUUGCAUCUGGGCAAUCUCUGGUGGAGUGACCCUUCUCUUCUCCAUGGAAGAAACAAUACUGUUUCCGUGGUCGCUGACUUUGAUUUUUUCGCCAUCCCGCAUUUCGACCCCCUCUUCCGGCUUGGUUGGGUAUGCGUUCCGAGCUCCGCGCUUCCACUGGUGGACGGUUAUUUUCCGGCCUGUCAUUUUUUGGUUGCUCGAUAUUCAUCAUCUGUCCACCAGCCUCUCGCUGUGGCCGGCGCUCAUCCUGGCUGAGGUUCUUCUUCUGUGAAUUUCUAUCAUUGCUCUGCCUCUUCUGAGAGUUUUGGUCUUCCAACCUUUUGCGGUAGUCGUUGUCUGACCUGCAAUACUUCUCAAACUCGUGGUACAGCUCGUGCAUGGAUGCUGGCUUUUCUCUGGCUAAAUGAGCCGCGAAGGGUCCUAUGCGAAGACCCUUGAUGGCCGCUUCAAUGGCAACCUCCUCCGGCACACCGGGUGCUCUCGCCUUAGUCUGCACGAACCUCUGGAAGUACUCCCGCAGUGCCUCUCCCUGAUUCUGGCGACACUGGAACAGGUCCGUGGAGGUUAGUGAUUCAACCGCGAAUCCCUGGAAAUUCGCUAAAAUCUUGUCUCGAAGGUUCUCCCAUGAAUAGAUCGACCCGGGUCUGAGCAUCGAGUACCACGCUAAGGCAUCUCCCUCGGCUGCGAUCACGAAGGAUUUUGCCAUCACAGUCUCGUUCCCUCCAGCUGAGGCCACGGCUGCCUCGAAACUCAUCAGGAAUUGGCGCGGAUCGGCCUUUCCGCUGAAUUUAGGGAGCGUGAUUGGUUUGUAGGUUGUUGGCCAAGGCGAGGUCUGCAAUCCUUCGGACAGAGGGGAACGAAGGUCCAGAGUGCCCCGCAGCAUGCCGCCGUAGUUCGUCGGUUGCACAUCUAAUGUUGGGCCGGCGCUGUUCAGAACAGCGGGCUGAAUUGUCGGCUGAGUUGGAGGUUGCAUGCUAAGGAUUUCUGCCUGCAGGAGUGAAAGCUGCUGCCUGAUCUCGGCCGCUUGCGUCGCGGCCACCGCUGCCUCUUGGCUGGCGGCGUAGGCAGCAGCGAUCCGGUCUCGCUCUUGCUGAAGGUUCCGCAAUUGCGCUUGAAGCUGCUGGAGCUCUUGCGUGGCCGAGGGCUGCGCCGGGUCUGCGGCGGGAGGAGGUUCCUGGCGUGUUUCCGGCUGCUCGUUCUCUGGCUGCUCGCCCUCAGAACCUUCUCCCUCCACGGUUGCGUACGCGCUCCGCACGGCCCUCCUUGGCCUCCCUCUCCUGGAGGGCUCUCCCCGAGGUCUUGUGGUGCUUGUUCUCUUUCCAGCCAUCGCAGGUUAUACUUCGGCCCCACGGUGGGCGCCAAUGUUGGGAAGAUGCGCUUCGCACGCCCCAGCAGAACAGUAGAUCGAGAACCUUCUCACUCGGUGCCGUGAGAGGCUUGAACAGUAACGUACAGUGGGCUCAACAGUAGGUGAAUACAGUGAAUGCUCUCCCUCUAUUAAUGGCGGCAUCACGCCCUUUAUAUAGGGCCCGGAAACCGACCCAACGACAUUUACAUAAAUGCCCCGUGACGGUGGGGGAAUAUUCCAGCAUAUUCUUUCAUCGCAGUCUACUGACCCCAAUAUACUCGCGUAAUUUCACGUUGCGAACCCUUCGUUCAUCCUUUGACUGGGGCCUCAGCAGGUCGGAGGCUCGGAUCCUCCGCCCAGUUGCGGAUCCUCCGACGCUUUGGUGUCGGAGGUUCCGCAGCCCGGCUGGUCGGAGGUCGCUUCACCCGGCCACCCCGGGAGUUCCUCCUUGGCCUGGUCCAGUCGGAGGUUCCUUGGCCUGGCUGCGUUCUCCUGCCAUCCUCGGACUCGGGAGGGUCGGAGGUUCCAACCUUUUCCUCACUCGUGGACCUCCGCCGGUGCUUCAGUCCCUGCACACACUCUGCACGACCAGACGAGUCGUGAACAUUAGCAUUUCCCGUCGAAGGAUAUCCUCCGACGUUUCAGGCGUCGGAGGUUCCUCAGGUGAAGGAUAACCUCCGGCGCUACCAGGGGGAAGGAUGCAGCUUUUCCCCAACACACAAGUUCGCGUCCAAUGUGUUGGAGAAGUGCUUGGUGUUCGGGAGCCAGGAGGACCGGCAGCUCAUCAUAAAUGAGAUCCUCGGCAAUGCCGGCAGCCAGCACGUCGAACAUCUCAUGGUUGGUUACCUGUGGCAGAUUUCCCUACUAGUUAUUAUAGACAAAAUACAUAGAACAUGAUUGAAAAAAAUAUAUAUGUGCGGGUGUGUGCAGGACAUGAUGAUCAAUCCAUACGCGAACUUUGUCAUCCAGAAGAUGGUGGUGACGGCGGAGGAGCAGCAGGUGGGUCUGUUGUUGGACGUGGCCAGGAAAAAUGCAGACAGCCUGAAGCGAUACCCACAUGGCAGGCACUUCAUCGCCGCCAUCGAGAAGUUCCUCAGUGCAAAUGGUAUGGUGCUAUAUACAUGCCUUGCUAAUGUCCCCUAUUGCCGAAUGCUGGUGUGACCAGGAUCCUGCCUCUUCGCUGGCAACAAGCAACAUUGACCUGUCUUGCCUUCUUCUAAUGUUGAUUUUGUUGUUGUACUUGCAGAGGGGAGGCCUGUGCAUCUGGUGAACAAUGAAUGAGGAGAAGACUGAAGAGAGGAUCGGCACCUACUGCUCCUGUCAGCCUUCUGCGCCCAUGGAGGAGAAGAAGAUCCGAAAAUUUUUAGAAUUUUGACACUGUAGCACUUUCGUUUUUAUUUGACGAAGAUUAUCCAAUUAUAGAGUAACUAGGCUUAAAAGAUUCGUCUCGCGAUUUACAGAUAAACUGUGUAAUUAGUUUUUGUUUUCAUCUAUAUUUAAUACUCCAUGCAUGUGCCACAAGAUUCGAUGUGACAGGAAAUGUUGAAAAAAUUUUGGUUUUUGGGGUGAACUAAACAAGGCCACUCCAUGUGAUUCAAAUUAUAGUUUGUUUUAGCUUUGUCUAAGUCAAACUUCUCUAAUAGUCUAACUACGCCUAGCAGAAUAGCAGAUGAUGAAUGAAUAAAUCAUCUGAUUUCCGAGCAUUAUGCUGUUUCCUUCUGUUCUGCUAACAAAAGCAAUCCUUCUGUAUCAAAGGCCAUGCAGAAAAUUAGGGACCCCCCAGUGCAAGAAUUUUCUUAAUAAUGUUUGUUUCUCCUUUUCCUUGGGCUUUGAGAGCCUUGUAAACUGUAAUACUGUAUUCUUUUCCAUAUAUAUAAAAUACCAAAAAUUAGGUAGGGGACUCUCAUGCUGACCUUUCAAAAAGGAAAUCCGGUGGGCAGGAUACAUGUACCUAGUUGUCACUUGGCCUCUUGUUCUUUGUCGACUCAUCGUUUAUUUUAUUUUGGCUGCUGGCGUAGUCGCAUUCGGCAUCAGGCUUUGGCAAAACUACAGCAGGUUUCAGUUGCACAUUAUUGCAGACUUGCAGGUACAUGGUACUGAUGAUUAAUCCUGAUUUGGUGUAUCAGGUAUCUAGUUUGGUCGUUUUGUACUUGGUAUAUGCACUGCGGGACAAUCAUUGGGCAAGGACAUGGUUAGCGCGCUAACAACGCAGGUACUGUGACAGUACUUGCGUGUCUGGGACGUUGUCCGUGAAGUAGCGCUCGACCCUCUCCAGCUCGACAGAUUCGUGUGGAAGUGGUCGUCUAAUGAGAAAUAUUCAGCGUCUUUGACGUACCGGGCUUUCUUGUCAGGAUCCUCCUCACUUCUAGGUGCCAAGGAGUUGUGGCAGACCAAAGCUCCACUAAAGGUCAAGUUCUUCGGUUGCCUCGCUUUUUAUGGGCGCAUUUGGACUGCUGAGAGGAGAAUGAGACAAGGCCUCUAGGACAGCGAUGCGUGUGUGUGUGCUCUGCGCAUAAUAAGCCUCAGAGACGGUGGGCUACUUCAGAUGUGCUCUCGCCCACCAGCUGUGGUUCAGGCUCCUGCAACCGCUUGGCCUUGUUGCUCUCACACCGGAACGUGAAAUGGGUUUGGCCGGCUGGUGGCUUCAGCGGCGUUGCAGACUGGACCCCUCAGCUAGGCCAAUAAUCUUCAAUUCCUGUCUCCUGCUCGUCGCUUGGUGCAUUUGGAAAGAAAGGAACGCUGUGACGUUUUAUCGUCGUAGAGUUAGUGAUGCGUUGACGCUAGCCAGGGUGGUGGCCAAGGAGGCCGAGGACUGGGUCUUAUCAGGGUUCGCAAAUUAUUAGCCUCUCGCCACUGUCCCUUGCUCUUGUAACAUUUGGUUACCUUUCUCUAAAUGAAAAACGGGCUGAAACCUUGAUCGUGAAAAAAAACCAAAUCAUAUAUUGUAGAAUUUCUACAAAUUUUGGGCAACCUAUUAUCCUUGCCUGGUUGGCUCAUGGACUGUAAAUAGUAUGUGUGCAUCAUCGAUUUCUACUAGGGUGAUCAGAAAGGAACGUUAAAAAAAAGCAAAAGAUAGCAGAACCAAAAAAAAGGGUUAUAUCUGUAUACGUAGUUAGAAAUUAGGUGUGUUCUUUAAUUUUCACCGAUUCCCCUUAUAUGGUACUUGUUCUGUUGGACCGAAGCACCUAUUCUUGUCACUUUCCUUACAAUGUAAUGGUAUGCAACAAUAAAGAUUACAAUAUUAUUAAUUUACUACUGUUAGAGAUAAUAAGGUGUUUGCACAAUGUUGGUGUCUCUACUGUGAAAUCUACAUCUGACCGCCUAACUUGACAGCACAUAAUUAAGUUCAUCCUUCCACGAGGUUUAUAAGAACUAAGACAAGGAACCGGAGAGAUCAUUCCAAUGUACACACAGGGUUGCCAUCAUGUGAUGAUGCAAGUCAUCUCAUCACCCCGUGGUCCAUCAAUGGCAACAACCAAACAAUCCUCGUAGUUUCCAUAUAUUAACCCACCCAGCACCUACAAAAAGACAACUAACCAUAUAUAUGGAGUAAAACCUUGAUCCCUGUACAGUCACUAGCUAGUCAUUUAAUCUGUGAUUGAACCUGCAGUGACCGAUGACUCGACGGUCCACCAUGGUCCCAUUACAACAACAAUGACGACCAGGGCCAGCAAAAAAGGAUUCCGAAGCUGCUGGUCACCAUACUCUCGAUGCUCUUCGUGGCCAUCAUCUUCUUGCUGUGCCUUCGCUCCCACCUGCACGGAGGAGCAGGAGCAUGACGUCGACGAUGACCAUCGAUCGGCGGGCGGCCGGCAAGGGUACGGUAUCUACCAAGCAACAACACCCAAAGUGGGUACAUACUUCCUCAACUACCGUCGCCUCCGGCAGGGAGGAACGUAGCCGGACGACGCUGAGAUAUAUAGUUCACCAUUGACAGUGGCUACCGCCCUCCAGGUGGCACCGGCACCGGUGGUAGGCAGUUAGCCCAAUGCAAGGGUCGGGGUCGACAAAUCUGGGUCGAAGGUGGUGAACCCAUUUUAUGUAAUUAACUCAGCAUGUCUACUAAGGUAUAAGACUAGGGUUGCAGUAUAAAAAAUACUCCAAUAUAUUUGAAGUAACUCAUGCGUUACAUCAGAGUACAUAUAUAGCAUGUUACAUUGUUUUGUGGACGAGUUGCAGCUUAAUUAGCGAUUACUUCACACCUCAUCUGUUUCAAUAUAUCUUGAAAUCGGACUCUAUAGCCAGCUGGUUACGUUCGACCAUUUCCAUCCAUAAACAUACGGUGGUAGAACCAAGUCUCUCACCUCGUAACCCUUCUCUUACCAAGCCCAUAGCCAAAUAUGUUCCUGCCCUUUACAUAUCAUCGACCUCAUGCAAAAUUUAUACCCUACUGGGGCUGGGGCUACCUCGUUUCUUAGAUAC
rnacentral:lncRNA from 1 species